rnacentral:lncRNA from 1 species
UGGCAAACAGAGGUGCAUAGACGUGGGGGUAGGGGACAAACGACAUUGCCACUGUUGGCAAAGGUGUUACCCAACCCACACACAAAACUAUCUAAGUCAGGGUACAAGGUAAUCCGUCUUUGUUUAGAAUUCUUACAAACGAAAAUGGGGGCCAAUUGAUCCAGACAUAAUUGCGCAUCUCCGAAACCUGGUGUGACUCAACAAAAUCCGCCGCUUCAUUCCCCGAUCUUGGAACCCAAGACCAGCUGCAAGUUUGAAGUGAGGCACCGAUAUCCAACGCCCGAGACAGCACAUGGAAGGCCUCCCAAAAAGCGUUGUCAAUAGAAUCCCUCAACCAAGCGUUGUCAAUAGUUGAAUCUAUUUUGACAUUUACUUUUACCAUUCAGUAAAGUCAAUCGUAAUUCAAUCUAUCUAUGAACAUUAUUGAUACCACAAAAUCAACAAGUUAUGAGAGAACCGGCAAGUCCUUUAAUUACAUUGAUAGUUUUUUUUUUUUUUUUUUUUUUUUUUUUUUUUUUUUUUUUGAGGUAUAUGGAUAGUUAUCCUAAUGUUAAUGCACACAAAUAUUUUUCACAAUAUGUAUAGGAGGAACAUUAGAAAAUGAGUAGAUAGAAUCAAAUAUUUGCAUGUUUAUUUCAUUUCUCAAGUUUCAUCCUCAAUCAAACACUACCAUAUUCUCACAUCAGUACAUUGAUUUCUAUCACUAAAUUUACUACUGCAUACCAAGAAAAAAAAAAAUUAAGGUGACCAUCUUGUAUUCCUUGGCACCAAAGCUACCACCAGCUAUCAUCUUCAACUCAUCCCACAGCAAGUCCUUUAUCUCUAUACGCAAGCUAUUUUAUUUUUACAUGAUUUCUCUGUUGAUUGUAUCGAAGAUUAAGAGGUUGCGCAUAGAGAUAACGGACUUGUUGGAGGAUGAGUUGAAUACAGUAACAGUCGGGUGGUGACUUUGGUGCCAAGAUAUAAAAAAUGGCGGCCCCGGUUUUGUUUGUGCAUAGCUUGCAUGUGCUUAACAAAAUAUAUGAGAUGGAAGUGGUAACAUGAGUUCAAGGACAAGGGACUUGUUGGACUUGGAAGCUGAAGGUGAUGAAAGUAGCACUCCGGUGAUCAAUUUGGUGCCGAUUGUGGAUGCCAUAAAUUCAGGCAGGUUCAUUCGAUCGACGGGAACGAUGAACUCAAACCAUAAUACUGCAUUGGAUCGUCUCCAAUUCCUGACAAAAAAUGCUCAGAUUAACUAAUUACAGAAACAAAAGAAGUGCAUAAGGAGAAAACGAGAGUGCGGAAAUUUCCCCCUAUGCACUCCGCUCUUUGUUUCUAGCAUUUGAGGUGAAUAAACGGAACAAAAAUCAAAUGAAAAACUUACUUGAAGUUGAAGUGGUAAAGUUGCUGAGCUGAUUUCUGCUGCAAUGGUAAUAGAGAGAUGAUGUAUUUAUAGGUGUUGAUGCAAUAUAAUCAAAAGGUUGGAGUACUGGAAUUUAGUACUCACUGGUACUUGUACAUCUAAGAUGUAGUACAGAUUGGUUAGCAGUGCAAAUGUAGUACGACUGAGAAGAUAACAGAAUAAGGCAACAAAUGAAAUCGCGUUUGCAUCGAGAUCCAACAACAGAUUACUGUUAAGAAAAAAAGUUGGGCUAUCAUAGUGAACUUUGUGUUGAACUAGUGGCAGUGGUCAAAAAUCUUUCGGUAUAUAAAAUAAAAAAUGAAGGACAUAAUGAUGUGGGAACAUCAUUAUGAGGAGACAAAUUAUUAUGUUUGUUGAAAAGAAAAAUGAAGAUCAUGAUGAUGCUUGUAGAUGAAUGAUUAUUCAUUUAGUUUGGAUUUUUUAUUGGAUGCUUUAUGAUGGAUGAAUGUGUGCAGCCGAGUGUGAGAGAGGGAGAGUACAACAUUUCUGUUUUAGUAGCCCAUCUUUGAGAGAGAAAAGACAGCCACAGAGAGCAGAAGAAGAAGAAAGUGCUCAUCUCUUUGGUUAGUAAUCACCCACCAAGGUAGUUGUUGUUGUAAUAGCUUUAAGCUUUGUAUAGAGAGGAAAUUAUUCAUUAUAUUUCUCUCUAUUUGUUUCUUUGGUGUGUGAGAGUGUUUGGACCCAAAUUUACACUAUCGGCCCGUGCAGUUAAGGCCGUUAGAUGAGUAAAGUUCUAGACCAUUUGAUGAUAAAGUGUUUGAGAUAAUUUUCAAUUAUUAUUAAGAAAUAAUAUUGUGAUUUUAAGCAUAAUAUUAUCUCUUAAUAUAUAUUAGAAUAUCUAAGCCUAAUAUUGGCUAUAUCCGGUUGGUUGUUUGAAGAUAAGUGAUGAGGCAAAUCAUAUUUCCAACUUAGAAGUACAGUUCGAAUGGGGUUUGGAUGUUUGGUAUGACUUACAUGGGAAUACAACUACGAAUGGAUUAGAUUGCAUUUUAAGUUAAUGCAUGUAUUGGAUAAAGGUGAAAUGGUGCAGCAGUGGCCAAUGAUUUACAAAUGGCAGAGAAGAAUCAAUCCAUCAGGAUCAGGAUCAUGUAUUGGAUAAAGGUGAUUUGAUGGUGAUCAGGGUCAGGGUCAGUUUGUGAUAAUGGCUGCAAUUGACAUGCAAAUGGAUAAGACAAACAUGAAAAAAGGAAGAUUUAUAUGGUCUCCACGUGGAAGUUUACUGCGAACAUAAGAAGAUUACUUGACACGGUAGUUUUAAAGGCAUGCAUUUUAGGAAUGUGUGGAAAAAGGUUAGUCCAUUGAUUCGGCUAGCAUUAAGGCAUCAUGUAUUAUUCUGCUAGUCAGAUUAUAUUGAAGUGCGUCAAAUCAGAAUUCACCCACUAUAAAUACAAAGUCGCAUGCAACAUUGAGACCAUCUUCAACACAACACACAAACUAUCCUGUGCAAACCCUCGCUCUACGAGAAACCUCUCAAAUAUCUUGAGAUUUUUUAUUUUCUUUUUCGCCAACACAUCUUCAGUUUGGAUAAACAACACUGUGAAGGCAACCGGUGAACAUCUUCAGUUUGGAUAAACAACACUGUUGCCGUAGAAUCAGCCGACCUUGGAGCACUUUCAGUUUGGAUAAACAGCACUGCGUCGAGGCGGACUGGUUAUCUAUCCAAGUCUCGGUUGAGAAGGAUUUUCGAAUCCUUAUUGGCAGAGGUCAUCUCAUUAGCCUUAUCAACGAGGUAAGGUGUUACAAGUUACUACAUUCGGCACAUUGAAAGCUGAAUUUGAUAUUGAACUUCGCAGAACUAGCAGCAUUGUCUUCAUGCUUUAGAACUCGAAGGCCGAGAUGUGUUCCUUCCUCGGUCGCAGUCGCAAGAUCAAGAAGUCAUUAGCGCACCUAACGCAACAUCAACAAAUUUUACUCCUCGACCGAUGAGUUGGCACGCCCGGUGGGAUCCAGUGCUAAAACUACGAAGUUCACAUGAUAGAUCAAGAUUUCAACCAGGUUCCGUUGGAGAUUUGGCGCUAAGUAAAGCAUUGCUACAAGAAGAAAGCAAAACUCCUUGAGAAGUUGUCUAGAAUAUGGGGGCAAUUUUCCGCUCCAGCAAUAAUCAAAAUUCGGCCUAGGAAAAUUGUCAAGACGGCCGAAGAAGAACCUAGGCCAUUUGUUUGUUCGGUCGAGACUGAAAGUGUGGUAGGCCUAAAAGGAAAAGUUCAAGUUUCUGAGCCAGAAAUUGACUCAGAAAAUGAUUCGUCAGAGGAGUGUUCCAAUGACGAACAAGACCGAUACACGGCCUCAAACCAUAAAAUCACAUCGAUUGAUAUGGUAAUUGAAGACAUAGGCCUAGCCGAAAAAAAUCACGCCAAUUGAUAUGAUUAUUGGUGAUAAAGCCGAUAUGGAGAAAUCUUGUUCGGCUAAGAUGUUCAAGUUAAAAGACGAAAUUGGAAAAAUUAUUAUGCCUGGGGGGCAUAAUAAUUGUUCAACACAUUCGGCGGCCGAUGAUAAAAAAUCUUUCGUCAAGCCGAACAUAUUUGCAGAUGAUCUUUUAUUCGGCUUUGGAAAAUCUCAAAGUGAAAACUUUGAUGUAAAAAGAUCCCGGCUUAGAAUAAAGCAUCGUUGGCCUCCUCCUGAUUACGAUUUAACCGUUUUCAAUUUCUUUAUCUAAAAAAAAAAGAAGAAUAAAUUAUUUUCUUAACCAUUCGGCCUUUCAAGCCGAUGCAUAAGAAAAUAAGGGGGGCAACAUUUGGGGCGGCAACCCAAAAAAUGGUGUGCUCGGCUUAGAAAGUUUUUUUUUUAAUACAUUAGCCAAGCCGAGGAAGGAUGUGUGCAGAAGGCCACCCGUUGUGGGAGCUCUUUUUGAGUCGAGUACCAGGCCAAAUUCACACUCGGUGGAGGUAUUUAAGGAUCAAAGAGAAUUGAGAGUUUGACAGCUGAGUUCAUCAAAUACACACACACACACACACACACAUAUAUAUAUAUAUAUAAUCACCUCAGUAUCUUCCAUCAAGAGUAAAUGACUAGGAUGGGCCAAUUUUUGCCGAGACCAUUCAAUGCAUGCAUGCAGUGUUUUGGGGGUACUUCCUGUUCAAUAAUCUCGGCAGAGAAAUUUUGGUGGUGUGUUCGUCGAGCUCAACAAUAUUUUCGGUCUGUACAUCUCGACCGAGAAAAUUAGGGAAGCUAAUCAACGACCACCACGUUUAUUCGGAAAAUAACAAGUGAGAAUGAGUAUAGGAGCUGCUUGGUAAUAUUUGAUAGUCAGUGCAGAAGAGAAAUAAAAAGGAGGAAUCUAGAAAAAAUAAGGGUGCAAACUGUAUGCUCGACAAUCCAAACUUUAGUCUUGCCAAGACUACAUAUUAUACAUAUAGAGUUUUGAUGUUGGACAUAAAUCAUGCAACAUUUGCCGAGUGGCCGAAUACAAUUCUUUGUCUAAAUAAAAGAAAUUUGGUGAGCUCGACGAGAAGCGUUGCAGGGCGUUUUGUUGGCCGAAGUUGGUUUGUCACGAUUUGGGCCUGGCUUAGCAGUAUCACAGUCAUGAUUGAUGACAAUGGGUUUAAUAUAUAUAUUUAUAUAUAGGCAGGCCGAGCUGCCAAGACAAAUGCUUCUCGACCUCGGUCCACUUUACCCUCGACCCUAAAUUUUUUUUUUGUGGCAGCCGAGAAGGACCACUGCGUUGGCAGAACAUACAUGUUAUUGUCAUGGAACAAAGUUUCUUUUUCGGCAAUACGACGAGAUCUUACUGACUCCAAACAAUUAAUUUCCUUAACCAUUCGGCUCACGAGCCGAAGCUCAAGAAAACUGGGGGCAAUGUUUGGACCCAAAUUUACACUAUCGGCCCCUGCAAUCAAGGUCGUUAGAUAAGUAAAGUUCUAGACCAUUGGAUGAUAAAGUGGUUGAGAUAAUUUUCAAUUAUUAUUAAGAAAUAAUAUUGUGAUUUUAAGCAUAAUAUUAUCUCUUAAUAUAUAUUAGAUUAUCUAAGCCUAAUAUUGGCUGUAUCCGGCUGAUUGUUUGAAGAUAAGUGAUGAGGCAAAUCAUAUUUCCAACUUAGAAGUACAGUUCGAAUGGGUUUGGGAUGUUUGGUAUGACUUACGCGGGAAUACAACUACGAAUGGAUUAGAUUGCAUUUUAAGUUAAUGCAUGUAUUUGAUAAAGGUGAAAUGGUGCAGCAGAGGCCAACGAUUUACAAAUGGUAGAGAAGAAUCAAUCAAUCCAUCAGGAUUAGGAUCAUGUAUUGGAUAAAGGUGAUUUGAUGGUGAUCAGGGUCAGGGUCAGUUUGUGAUAAUGGCUGCAAUUGAUUCGCAAAUGGAUAGGACAAACAUGAAAAAAGGGAGAUUUCUAUGGUCUCCACGUGGAAGUUUACUGCGUACAUAAGAAGAUUACUUGACACGGUAGUUUUAAAGGCAUGCAUUUUAGGAACGUGAGUAAAAAGGUUAGUCCAUUGAUUCGGCUAGCAUUAGGGCAUCAAGUAUUAUUUUGCUAGUCAGAUUCUAUUGAAGUGCGUCGAAUCAGAAUUCACCCACUAUAAAUAUAGAGUCGCAUGCAACAUUGAGACCAUCUCCAACACAACACAAAAACUGCCCUGUGCAAACCCUUGCUCUACGGGAAACCUUUCAAACAUCUUGAGAUUUUUUAAUUUCUUUUUCGCCAACACAUCUUCAGUUUGGAUAAACAACAUUGUGAAGGCAACCGACGAACAUCUUUAGUUUGGAUAAACAGUAUUGUUGCCGUAGAAUCAGCCUACCGCGGAGCACCUUCAGUUUGGACAAACAGCACUACGUCGAGGCGGACUGGUUAUCUAUCCAAGUCUCGGUCGAGAAGGAUUUUUGAAUCCUUUUUGGCAGAGGUCAUCUCAUUAGCCUUCUCGGCGAUUUGAGGUGAGGUGUUACAAGUUACUACAUUCGAUACAUUGAAAGCCGAAUUUGAUAUUGAACUUCGCAGAACUAGCAGCCUUGUCUUCAGACUCUAGAACCCGAAGGCUGAGACUUGUUCCUUCCUCGGCCGCAGUCGCAAGAUCAAGAAGUCAGCAGUGCACCCAACGCAACAUCAACAAAUUUUACUCCUCGACCGAGCUCGGCUGACGAGUUGGCACGCCCGCAUACAACCGAAGGACGUAGUUAGCUUACUAAUUACUCGGCCUGCGCGCCACGUAGGCUUGAUAGUUUUUAGGGUCAACAGAGAGCUAUUGGUUGUAUUGGGUUUUGGGUUGUGAACUUGCCAACACUUUGUAAACUCCCAUUUGGUUGAUAGUGAAUUAUUGGGUGAGCUCCUACUGCUCCGAGGACGUACUCCAUUUACACUAACUGUUGAAGAACCUCGUUAAAAUCUUGGUGUCCUUUAAUAUUUUGUUCUUGCAUUCAAUUUGAUAUAUUUCCUGUGGAUUAGCUUGAGUUGGUUCCAUAAGGUUUGGUGCUAUCCUAGCACAACACUUUGGUGGAACAUAACAUGUUAAGCAUAGUCGUUUGUGUAACGUUACUUGUCCAACGAAGAUAAAGAUGACAACGAGAAUCAAUGCAUCAUGAUCCAACCAAUUGGGCUCGUGUAGGACUCGAAUUCAAAAAAUUAUCGUUAUGUACGUCAUAAGUGAACAAAUUAACAUGACAUGAGCGUCAUAUUAAAAAAAAUAAUAAAUGAAUUUUUUAAGUCAUGUGAAGUGGGUGUGAUUUUGACAAAAGUAGGCACUGAUAACAAAAAGUCUCGUCCUUAUCCAGACUAAUGGCUACAUAGAACGUGUGGCUGUAAAUGUGAUUAGACACUGCAAAUGACAUAAAUUGUUCAUACAUGCAUAGCUCUUGACAAAAAGGAAACAAAAACCAUGGCUUCUUCUCUUCCAUUAUCAUCCAACACCAAGAUUGCCACUUACGCUAUCGCCCCUUCACUCCCUCAAAUCUUCCCAAACAAAUCCCAGAUCUCCUUAGUCAGAAAUCUUAGAGGUUCAUGUAAAGCAACAACAAUCAACAGUGACCAAAACCCUAAUCAUGAUCCGCAAACUUGUCUGGUAAAAUUGGAUAGGAGAAAUCUCCUCCUUGGUCUAGGAGGACUUGCCUUGGCUACUCAUAACAUAACAAGGCCAGCAAACGCGGCAGAGACGUCAAAGAAGGUAGUGAAUUGUCUUGAGAACAUAACGUCAAACAUUUGCCUCAACAUUUUUCAUGUUUCUCUAACCCAUGUUAAAUUGCGUAUUUAAUUUGUUGAAUCAUGUGUGAUUAAAAUUUAGCAAUUAUAUUCUGUAUCUUUUCAAUAGGUAGUUUUGGUGGAGAGUAGUGAUUUGCCAAUAGCUUUGGACUCUGUGGUGAGCGUGAUCGUGCCGCGGCCGAGGAGGUCGAGGAGCAAGAAGGACAAGGAGGAGGAAGAGGAGGUGUUGGCGAUUGAAGGGAUUGAGUUUGUGGCAGACAAGGUGCUCAAGUUCGACGUGCAUGUGAACGAUGAUGAGGACUCGCUGUGUCGACCUGACAAGUCUGAGUUUGCAGGGAGCUUGGUGUUUUUGCCACAGUCCAAGAAAAAGGUUAAAACCAGCCUGCAUCUUGGGAUUUCGGCCUUGUUGGAGGACUUGGGAGUUGACGAUGAUGGCAGUAUUAAGGUAACUUUGGUGCCAAGGAAUGUCCAGCGACCCGUCACCAUUGGUCGGAUCAAGAUCGACUAUUUUGCCUAGAUAAUUAGAAAAGAAGCUUGCUUAAUUUCAUGUAACAUAACAUUGUGUAAGAUGAUCAAGAUUCAAAAGACAACGGUAUACCUAUAAAUCAAUCAUCAGAUUCAGAAUUUCAGACCAAGUAACCAUGCCGGCUGCCGACUAAACUACCUGCUCUCCUCCACUUGAUCUUGUACUAGUACUAGUAGUAUUGCCAAAGAUUCCACUCUUAAAUAAUUUGUCCCCAUGAAAGUUGUACCUUUUCUCUUCAACAUAUCUUCUGCUGCGGUUUGGUUGUUGUCCACUUUCGUGUCUUCGUCAUUGGCUUUCCUCUUCUUACCUGCUUCCGCCACAUGAUUUGAAGUACUAGAGCCCGAUUUAUGUCUAGUAACUGGUGUCGGCCACCAUGGGAGCGCAAAUGGGAAGACAGCCGUCGCGGAGUUAUUAACUGGAGCAUAAUUAACCGGAGUGACCUAGUAGUCGUACCUUUCUUGCACGAAUGUUGCACAUGACAUUGUGUUCAUUGAGUUCUAGAUAUAAGAUAUCUUCACUAUUUGGGUCGAAAGCAAGCACCCCUAUUGUGUUGAUCAAUGCAUUUCGCAUAACCAUUCUGGAUACGAAACCGUGCCUACCAAACACCAUUUGCCUGCAGAGUUGUCAACCUGAUCAUCAUCUAUCAACUCCCAAACACUCAAAUCAUUCACUCGAUUAUGAGCUAACUGGCACUUUCGCAGACACGUACCUCCUCUAGCUCUGUUACACACACCUGGGAAUUCAAAUCUUGUAGUGACAGUGACCAGAUCAUCUUUAGGCAUAUCAAUGAAGCGACAAUUAAUAUUAGUAUGACCAGAGCUAUUACUUGUGGAGCUUGUUGUGUUAUUAUUAAUGGAGUUGGGAUGCAACCCAAUUAUAAGUGACCCCUUCUUCGAGAGUCAAGCUAUCGAAACAAAAGCUUCGUGGGCUUAAUACAACAGUAGUUGUCCAUUUACGAGUCUCAGAAGAGAAGAAACUGGAAGGAUGAGUCUUUUGCAAGUUUAGAAAAAAAAAUCCACACUACCUUCUACCUAUACUCAACAUUGAGCUGGAAUAAUGUUUUACAACCGGUUCUACCACAACUUUCUUCUUUUCUUCGGUCGUCAUCUUCCUUGCAUCCGUUAUAGUAGGGUUCACAGAUGAAUCCUACUUGUAUGUCCUCGUGACACUGAGGAGGGGGAGGAAGAGCAUCCCACUGUUUAGUGUAUGGAUUGCAAAUGUAGUAAUUACAUUAACGAUACAUGGUUGCCCAACAUAAAACUAAGCAGUAUAUAAAUACUACCACAAUUGGUUCAUACUCUUGUGACUUGACAGGACCUUGAUGAUAACGAAGGAAGCUCAAAAAGAAGUUCCAUGCUUCGGGCGCCAGAGGCUGCUCGGACAAGGAAAAGAAUUUCUUCGUGUUCGUUGGAUCAAUGAACACUAAAGUAGCAAGCGGAAUUGGAUGUUCGUUAUCACUUUGAGACGUAGAAAGCGUUCAAUAAAAUAAAGAUUAGAAACGAAACUGAACCAGCGUUUCAUGGCAAAAUGAAGAUCGAUUGAGCUGCAGAUUUACUGCGUAGAGGUUUUGGGAGUUAGACGGGCAUAUUUCUUGCGUUAUAAACUUAAUUUAUAUAUACAUACAGUGCAGAAUAUAGGUUGCCCAUUUUCAUCUUUAAGCAGGUUCACCUUUUCUUUUGGUGGCGGUAUUUCAAACUACUAACGCAUUUAUUUGUGUCUUAAAUUUCUUAUAUGACCGUCUAUUAUUAAUUUAAGAUACCGUUAUAUACUAAGUAAUUUUUGGUUCCUUUUCUACCAACUAGUCAAACAUUUUACAAACAGUUGGUGGGCUAAAAAAAUUAAGUAUUAAAACCAAGCUUUCCGCCAUGGCUCCCAUCUCUCGAGCCCACUCCCUUAUUUCCUUCCUCUAAAUCACAAUACUCCCUACACCCUAGGGGGCUUUCUGGUUGUCGUCCCCUUGUCCCAAAAGUUCGCCUCCGGCGUACAAAAAUCUCAAUCCCCCCUUUGCAUAAGGGUCAUCAAAUUAAUCAUAUUAUUAGCUUACAGCGAUUCAAAAGAGAAAUUUGAGUACAAAAGAGACGUUAAGGGAUCGUUUGAUAACCAUUUCGUUUUUUGUUUUCAGCUUUCAUUUUUUUGAAAAUUGAAAUCUUGUUUGGUAACUGCUUUUAGUUUUUCAGUUUAAAAUAAUAAUAAAAAGUGAAAACUCAAGGCCAAUAUUUGAAAAUUGAAGUCAUAUUUGAAAAUAAUUAUCAAAUAUGACUUCAAUUUUCAAUUUGAAAAUAAGUGAAAAUUAAAAUUGAAAAUAAAAUAGUUAUCAAACAGCCUUUAAGAAACAAUAUCUACGUACAUGACGACGAAGACGGGCUAAGUCGACCCGAGAAGGCCGAGUUCGCUGGGAACUUCGUGUAUUUACCGCAUAAGCAGAAGAAGGUGACAACAAGCCUCCAACUAACAGAGUAACGGACUUGUUGGGGGACUUGGUGAUAACGGUGACGACAGUUUUAAGGUUCCUUGGCACCUAAGCUUGGUACCUGAGUACGUCAAACGGCCCGUUACCAUCCGUCUGAUCAAGGUCGAGUUGCUGAACUAGGAGUGCGUAGAUGGAUAUUUCGGGUGUGCUGAGAUGAUUUCACGUGCAAAAUAAUGUAGUCACAAACAACCCACUUAAAUUAAGUUUUCUUAUGUUUAUGACGUAUUUAAUUAGUUUCUUGCUUGUUGUUUGUUUUUGUUGUAUUUUCUCUUUAUAAUAUGUUCUGUAAUUCUCUCCAGAUUAACAAUAAAUAUCAGAAAUGAAAUUGAUAUUAAAAAAUAAAAAUUGUUAUUUCUCACCCUCCAAAAUAUCAUUUACUUCCAUAAAAAAAAGAAAAUCAUGUGCUACAGAAGAUUUCAUUCUUCCGCAGGCUCAGCCCAACGUGUUUAUCAUAGCAGAUUGGGCUAGCCCAGUAAUUUGGGUCAAACGGGCCUGACCCAGAUCACCAUUUUUUUUUUAUUUAAUCAAUGGAGAUCACCAAUUUGAUCAUUGCAUGGAGUGGUGGUGUACAAUUUGGAUAGGUUCGACCCAAACUCAGAUUCAGAUUUCAAUCCAGCAGGGGCAGGAUAAGGCUUAAAACACUUUACGCCGAGAGAUGAUUGGUUUGGAGUCAGUUUUAUAAUUGAUUAGGAGGUUUUUUUUAUUUUUUAUUUUUUUAACUAAAAUGAUUCCCGAGAUUAGCAUAACUCCUCACUUUGAUUCUGGGAUUUGAAAUCGAUAGAAGUGGUCUUGAGUUUGUAAAUUAUUUUGGCUCUUAUGUGAAAAUUCUCCAUUAAAUAAGGAUAAAAUGAUUAAAAUAUCCUCAUUUUUUGUCAAAUCAUUUUGGUCCACUGUUUAUCAAAUUGAGGAUAUUUUCGUCAUCUUGGUCCUUAUCUAACAGAAUUUUUCAUGGAAUGAUAAAAUGAUUGAUAGUGAACAAACUUAAGGAUCACUUCUAUUGAUUUCAAAAUUCAGGAACCAAAGUGAGGAAGCCUAUCUCAACUAGCAUUUGCCUACACAUUUUGUGUGUAUGUACACAAGCCUAUCUCAACUAGCAUUUGCCUACACAUUUUGUGUGUAUGUACACAUUUUUUUUUUAGAAAAUGAGGAGAGGGAGAGAGAGAGAGAGAGAGAGAGAGAGAGAGAGAGAGAGAGAAGGUGAGGGGGGGAGUGGGAGGUUUUUGUUUGUUUUUUUAAAUAUUGAAGGUAUUUUAACAUCAUAUGUAGGUGAGGUUUCAAUAAAAAACAGUAAAAUUUGGACCUGUGAAAUUAUAUUAUUACCCAUCAUUUUUUUGUGUGAUAAAAGAUUAAAUUGUCUUUUCACCAUUUUUUAUUGACAAAGAGAGUUUCAUUAAUUAGUAGAGAUAACCAUUUUUUUUUCCAAAUUACACAAGAUUGUUUUCACAUUCAAUAACCACCAUUAUCUAAUGACUUGAAAUUGCAGGACUCGCCCCCAAAAUAUCCUCGAACUAUUUUCUGUGGUUUGGUUAGUGGGUUUGGAGGAUGAGUCAUGCUCUGAUUGCUAACAAUUGACGAUACAAUCAUCCUAACAAAGGGUAUAAAUUUGAAAAUUUUCUAACAGUGGGGUGCAACGUGCAAAAAUUGAAACUUCAUGACUCAUUGUAAAUUGACUUCAAACAUUGAUAGUGUAAAAUAUAUUUAGCCCAACAAAUAAGUCGGUGUUAAACCAUGAAUGCUCGCUACACUAAGAAAGCUACACUAAGAAAGGGGGGAGAGUUUGGACUCAAGCACAGUAAAUUAAAAGGGAGACUCUAACCACCAAUUUGUGGUACAUGGUUUAAAGAACAAUAUCGAUAAUUCAUACAUAAUUAACACAAAUCUAUAUGUGGAAAUAAAAUCGUCUUAAAUUUUGUCGAUGUGACAGAUUUCUAACCCAAACCGUCCCAUUGUGGUUUUAUUUUACUCUGUUGUGCUGGUUCUAUAUAUGAUAUCUUAUUAUAAGAUGACACACAAUGGUUGAUGGUUCAUUGAUCAAUUUGAAGUAGCUGUGCAAUUUAUGUUUUACUUUUUUUAUUUUUUUGUCAAAAGAUAAAUUUGUUAAAUUAGAUGUCAGAUUAGGGAGCAGGGUUCGAAUUCAUGCCGUAGUGCAAGGGCAACACUCAUCUCCACCAAUGUGAUAGAGGGCCCAAUUUAAUUUGAUAGAAGACUUGAGAUCCUCAUCAGCCAUAUAGGGUUAGGGAAUAAACAUUACUUGCGAUACUAAAGCUAUAAACAUUACUUGUUUGUCUAAAUAUAAAUUUUACAAAAAGCUAGUGCCGGAUUAUUGUUGCUAAUUUUGAUCCUCGUCUUACACAAGCAGUAAUCUGUUGAAUUCAUGAUUCAUAUAGGUUGAACAAAGGAAAAAAGCAGCACUGCCGGAGCAUGUCAAGAGGGACCUUCAUCGUUGGAAAGUUCAUUGCAAGAUGUUGCAUCACGAUCGAUAUAGUUUCAUGGAUCUCUGGCCCUGCUCUUCAAAGGACUGGGAUCAUUUAGCCCGGCAAGAGGUACCUUUAGUGAAAAUGUUAUGCUAGUAUGUCCAUUUCCACCAUGAACAUCUUUGUCAUCAGCCUUUUCCUUUUUCGUAGUAUGCACACAUGCCCCGUACUACCAUCUAUUCAAAAAGCUGAUGUCUAAGAGAUUAUAUUUAUUUAUUUAUUUAUUUUACAUUUUCUUCAUGCUACCGAAAACACUAAAAUCAUAAGAACGAAAUAUGUAAAGGGGACGGUGUAAUUUAAUGUUGAAUCGGUAUUCAUUCACCAUACAAAAUGGAAUAGUACUAGCUUAUGUGUAGAGUAAACCCCUGGACGCUAGUAAGCUCUAGCCCUCUGCAUGGACAAGGGAAUUAUUAAGCUUAUUGUGGAAAUGCAUUCUGCGGCUGCUGUUACUUUGCUGCAGCUGGAUGCAGCUCAUAAGUUUCACCCUCUUGCCUUUCUUUUGAUCAGUUGCCAUAAGAUUUCCUGCUUUGAGAUCAAACAUUUUUUUGUUGUGAAUAUCGCGUAAAGAAAUGAACCAUUUGAAAAAUUUGCAAUUGAGAAAGAACAGUUUUCUUCAUCCUUGAAUUGAAGUCAAAUUAGUUUGCAUUGGUCUGUCUUUCUUGUGAAUAUAAUUUGACUAUUUCUGCCAUAAUGAAGUUAUCCAAUUUCAUUGGAGUUGGCACAUUAACGCUUUUGUCAAAUCAAACCCCUAAGUUUGGUCUUUUUAAGAUGAGUAAACUGCCGAUUUGCCCCCUGAACUAUCACCCAACUUUCGAUUUGCCCCCUGAACUUUUUAAUUGGAAAAUUAAGGACUUAAACUAAUUUUUUUGGCCGAUUUGCCCCCUGCUGUUAAUUUUUCAUUCAUUCCAUCAAAAUUUCUGUUAAAUGGAAGCAUAUGCACAACAUGUGUAGGUAGUUCGGUCGUUUCAUUCUUUAAAAUAAUUGAAAAUCUUAGAUUUCUAAAAUAUAAACCUAUGCAAAUAUGUGUGAUUCUAUAGCUUUUUUGUCUGAAUGUCUAGUGAAAUGACGCUUUUGUCCACAAAUGAGAGUUACGUGGUUUGCACACGAUAAGAGUUAACGUUAAUUUGGAUGAAAUCUAUGAAAAACUAAUGGUAGGGGGGAAAUCGGCCAAAAAAAAUAGUUUAAGUCCUUAAUUUUCCAAUCAAAAAGUUCAGGGGGCAAAUCGAAAGUUGGGUGAUAGUUCAGGGGGCAAAUCGGCAGUUUACUCUUUUAAGAUCUCCAUACCCUCGUUUUCCCUCAAAAGUCUAAUCUAGCAUAUGCACCAAGUGGAAAAAAUUUAUCUUUACAAUCUACCUAAAUCUAAUAAAAAUAUCAGAAGAAUGAAUUUAGGUCGUUGUAUUUCUGAGUCAGCAGAGAGAGGGCAAAUAGUCUUUAAACAUGGAGAGGUGGCAAAAGAGAGAGAUCAAGGAAAGAUUUUUUAGUGUGUCAGGAACACAAUCAUAUAUGUUAGACAUCAUCAUACAAAUAGAGGAUAUAAUAAUAUAUAAUGUACUGCCACAUAUUCUGAACAUAUUAAAAAAUCUCUCGAAAUCAAGGACAGUUGCGUCGUGUGAGGGGCAGGCAAUGUUGAGCCCCUCUUGACAAAUUAUUACAUCCGGAGGGUCCCGUUUUGUGCCUUUUUUUUUCCUCUUAGCAAACCCACAUGCUGCCCAUCUGCAUUAUUAAUAAAAAAAAACCUCACAACUACGUCGUCCCUUGGAUUGCCAAUUGCAAUUGGGGAUCGAUCAUCGAUCUCUCUAUAUAUGCCUUGAAAGUGCCUAUCUGCAUUAUUAAAAAAAAUAAAAACUUCUCGAGAUUACAUGAGAUACCACUUUACUUUACUCAUCCACCUCACUCUCUCUUUCCCUUUUCACGUUUUUUGAUAGGCAUCGAUCACACCUCGAUCAAUGAUGGGAAACUGGCAUCGAGAAUUCCACUUGUGUGGAAAUACGGUGACUCAAUCAGCCAUUAUAUAAAGAGGACACUUGAUCUUCAUUUCUGCACACAUGCAUGUAGCUGAAAAAACCUAAUUGAUAAAGCCAUGGCUUCAUUUCUUCCACUUGCACCCGCCACUACGCUUAUUAACCGCCCUUCUUCCAUUCGUUCUAAUACUUCAACUUCCCUUAGUUGUUUCCCUAGACCUUUGUUCUCAAUACAUCGUUCAUUUGAAAAAGGUAAGCAUGGAUCUCCAUGCAAAGCAAGAAAGAGCGAUGAUGAACAGGGUAUUAACCAAGACGAUGGAAAACUGGACAGGAGAAACAUGCUGAUUGGUCUUGGAGCUGGAGGUCUGUACGGGGCAACCAGUCUUGGCCUUGGGACCAACCCAUUCGCCACCGCUGUUCCGAUUCCCGCUCCUGACCUAAAAACUUGCGUCCGGACCACCGAAGAUAUGAAAGGACUUAAUUGUUGUCCACCGUCAACCGAAAUCAUCAAUUUCGAGCUACCCGAAGUCAAAACACUCCGCACCAGGCCAGCGGCACAUACAGUCGAUCAAAAGUAUAUAGAAAACUACAAAACGGCCAUCGAGCUGAUGAAGAACCUCCCCGAGGACGACCCACGUAACUUCUGGAACCAAGCUCAAGUCCACUGUGCCUACUGUGAGGGUGCAUAUUACUAUGCUAGCAAUGAUUGUGAUGGCACCAAGGAAGAAAUACAAGUUCACUCCUCGUGGCUCUUUUACCCCUUCCAUCGCUGGUACCUCUACUUUUAUGAGAGAAUCCUUGCCAAACUCAUUAAGGACCCAAAUUUUGCUCUGCCCUUCUGGAACUGGGACGGUAAAGACGGCAUGUACUUGCCUCCUAUUUUCGAGGAGGGCCGCAGUAGUUCCCCACUCUUCGACCACUACCGAAACGCCAAGCACCGGAAGAAGAAAUUUGUGUUGGACCUCAACUACAAUUGCACCGACUCCGGCAAAACAGAUGAAGAAAUUAAAGAGGAUAACCUCUGUACUAUGCACCGGCAGAUGUACUCUGCUUCUACUGGUAAGGAUUUGCGUCUUUUCUUUGGCCACCCUUACAGGAAAGGCGACAAACCUAGCCCCGGUGCAGGAAACAUUGAGCGUAUUCCCCACAACAAUGUCCACAUCUGGACUGGCGACCCCGAUUGGGUUAGAGAGGACAUGGGAAACCUUUACUCUGCUGCUAGAGAUCCCAUCUUUUUCGCGCACCAUGCCAACGUAGACCGCAUGUGGUACUUGUGGAAAAAAGAAUUACACUGCAAGGACAUCUCCCAAGAUGACUGGCUGAAAGCCGAGUUUCUAUUCUACAACGAGAACAAGCAACUCGUCCGAGUUAACGUCGAACAAUCUCUCGACACGGACAAGCUCGGGUACAAGUACGAUGAUGAUGUUGAUAUCGAGUGGAUGAGCAAUAAGUACAAGCCAAAAGCUCGUAAGUCAUUAAACAAGGCAAAGCCAAACGUCUCUAGGUUCCCGGUGAAAUUGGACUCCAAGGCAAGUGUUAAAGUGCAGAGAGCAUCUUUGAAGCGGCCCGCGAACGAGAAGGCAGAACGAGCAGAGGUGUUGUUGAUCGAAGGGAUUGAGUUCCCUGGUAACCAGGCUGUGAAGUUUGAUGUGUAUGUCAAUGACGAUGCAGACACGGAGAGCGGGCCUUGCAACUCUGAGUUUGCUGGCAGCUUUGUUCACGUCCCACACAGGCACAGCCACACUAUUAAGACCAAUAUGACAUUAGGGAUUACGGAUCUGUUGCAGGACUUGGAAGCUGAAGAUGACAGCCACGUGGUUGUGACUUUGGUGCCAAGGUAUGGGAAGGGGCCUAUCACCAUUGGUGAUGUCAAGAUUGAGCUCUGAUUCUUUUCUCGGCCUUCUCGAUCCACUGGAUCUGUUUCCAUGCAUGCUUUCUACGUAUCCUAGCUACCCCUUUCUUGCUGCCAGUGCUAAUAAAUUGCAUGCAUGCUUUGAUCAGAGCACUGCGAUGUUUCUGCUGCCUUUCAUUUCCAUCCUUCAUUACUUUCACUUCUUGUUUGUGUCAAGUUCUUGUGUAUGUGUAAUGCAUGCGUCGAUCAAGACCACGUACGCAUGUACCACAGUGCAUGCUUCCGUGGGAGAUCAUUUAUGUUGGUUGUUGCUAAAUAAACCUUAUGUUCAGUGUGUUUAAGUUGCUUUAAUUUGCUUUUUGUUCUCUCUCUCUUUUUCCUAAAGGCGAUUCAUAUAUACUGCAGUGGCGAAGCCAGGAAUUCUCGGGAGGAGGGGCAAACUUAUAUGCGUGCAAGGUUAAAGAAAAAUGGCAACAACCAAAUCUUUUUAUAUAGAAAUGUCUUAUAUAAUUAAUCAAUACAAAUAAAUUACAGUUGUUGUCGGCGAAGUUUCAUGUUAUGAAAACGUCACAUAAUAGGAUCAUUAUCAGUAAAAGCAAAUACAUCUCUCUCAAAGUAACAAUCAUGUUAUCACUCAACUAUUGACUCUCAUUUUGUUACGCAAUGAUGUUUUCACAAUCUUCAUAGUAGAAAAAACUCUUUUCACCGAAACGGUUGCAACCGGUAACACUAAAGUUAAUGUAAGAAACUUAUACAUUAACAUGUAGCUUUCACACCUCCUGGUUCAUUUUGUGAGAUUUAGGUUAACAAAGUUCAUUUUAGAGUUACUACCUACGAAUUGCUUCGCGAUAAUUGGAGAAGGAUUUAAGCACUGUUUCUUAUAGUAUCGUUCCAUUACAUAACUGUAUAACAAAAGAAAAAAAUAUAUCUUAGACUCUUAAUCCUAGAGUAGACUAUAGGGUAAUAUCUAAUCAAAUCACAAAUUAAUUAAUCAAUACUAACAAUCAUAUGAAUAAUCAAGAAUUCAAUUUUUAUUCUAAACCACAAUUAAAAAUUGAGUAAGUUGAUUAGGGUUUAUAGCGGUUACUGCAAUCAAUUUUUAUUACUAGACCACGUGUGAUUCAACUUCAUAUAAUAUAUAUAAUGUAUGAAUCCUCUUUUAUGUACUUCAAAAAAAAAAUAAAAAAAAAAUCAAUAAUCAUAGUAUUUAUAUGAAUAAUCUAUAAUCGAUAACCAUAAAUUUAAAAAAAAAAAUUAAAAAUUAACCUCACUUGGAGCGGCUGGCAUGGCGUCUGGAGCUUGGUGGGCAACGGAACAGGACUUUCUUAUGUUCAAUCUCGGGAUUUGAGUCAAUUUUGAAAAUUGAAAUAUGGGAAUAAAGGUGGGGGGAUGGGAUUUGUAAUUUAUGGGCAAGAGUGGGGGUAAUAAUUGAAACGGGUGGGAGGAUUGGGAUGGGUACCAGUGGCUCUUUAAAAAAAAAUUUAUUUGAUUAAUGCAAAACGACGUCGUUUACCAAACCAAAAUUAAAAAUUAAAAAAAGAACCUGCAAGCUCACAGUUCCCAGAUUCGAACCAUGAACCACCGUGGUUCCCAGAUUCCGGCCGAACCAAAGGGGUUCAAGCCUCGCUCCUGCCUUUGUUUUCCGGCGAGCGGAGGGGCGGCCGCCCCCCUUCGCUCCUAUGUAGCUUCGCCAUAAUAUACUCCAACUGCAUUUGAUUCGGUGAAUGUCUCAUUACAUGUCUUUUACAUUUUUGAUAAAUUUUUUUAUAGAGGGAUGGCCCGGAUGGGCAAUUAAUGAUAUUAUAUAUGAUCAAUCGAACGAAAACUAAUUAAAUUCAAGACGUAAACCUAAAACUUAAGUGUAAAUGAAUACACACGUGCUAAAGGAUUUUGGUGCUUGUAGACGAGAUGAAGACCUAGUUUGGGAGUGAGGUGCUUAAAAAAAAAACACCCAUGAAAAAAAGCUGUGAGGGUUUUAGGUGUUUGGUAAACUGAAAAAAAAGGGCUUAUUUUAGAAGCUGCUGUGAGAAUAAGCUGAAAUCAAAGGAAAAAGCUGAAGCUGCUAUUUGUAGCUUUGGAAAACUGGCUUUUUUUCAAAGCACACGGAGCUACAGUGCUUCUUUAAUGAAAAGACCCACUAUCAGACUGCUUUUUUUUUCCAAAAGCACUUUUACAAAAAAGUUUACCAAACACUCAGCUGAUUUAUUUCACAGCCGCUUAUUCUCACAGCACAGCCGCUUAUUCUCACAGCAGCUUUUUUUCAAAGCACAGCAAUACCAAACCAGCCCGAACUUAUAUAUGGUGGCUGGUUAACUGACAUAAUGUAUAUGACACAUAUUUGAUCACAUAAGUAUAGACACCAACAUAGAAGAUGAAGAUGGAUUAGGAAGUGAAGAACUUACCAAGAGAGGCUGCUGAGAGGCCGUGGAAAAAUUGGUUGAGACCUUUAUGAACUGGUUGGUUUAACAAGCACGUGAUAAACAAUGAAAUAAAACUAGGUCAGUAACUAUUGAAUUAAUAGAACAGAAAGAAGAAGAUUUUGUGAAGGAGUUGUAGACAUGUAAAUUUCAGUGAAAUAAAUGUUCACCAAUAAAUUAAAUUUUGAUCCACUAGAGCUUAAGACGCGCACACCAUGGGCUCCACAAAUUGCUCACAUUGCAGGUGAUUCAUCAAAACUGGAUGAAUUAAUAAGAGUGACACGUGUCAGCAUCUGAAACCUCCGUCAAACAAAUCAAAUCAAGUGCAAAAGAUAACAAAUUAACCCUAUAUAAUAUGAUCAAAUUAUAUCAAUUGGGGUUUAAUUUCCUAAAUAAAAAAUUAUGAGCUAAAUUAAAUAAUUUGCUCAAAUUAAAGCACAUCAGAAAAUCAAUCCCACAACUCACAGGAUUCAAAUUGAGUGUUCUAAACGAAAACUCAAUCCCUUGCCUAUAAAUACUAGGCUCAUUUUCAAAACACAAACUUCAGAGAAAUGAAGCAAUUCCAAGCCUUUGGAGAAACUUUGACAAAAAAAAAAAAAAAAGCCUUUGGAGAAAACCAUAAAGCUCUUUUGCCAAAGCAAACACCAAACAUUCUUGUUCUUCAUCAAUCUCAUGGAGGAUUAACAAGCACAAGAAAUACACGUGCCAGUUCCUCCACCAAAGCCGAAGAUCACAACCACACUACUCGUGGUCCCAAUUUGUUCAAGAUCAAGUCUCUACAACUUUUGACCAAAUCACAUCUGGUUCAAGAGUAGUGCUCGCCACCCUUAGAUCAAACUCAAUAUUGGAGAUCGAAUAAGAGAAAAUUCUUUUCUUGUAAAGAAUAUUCCCUAAACAUUCAUUUAAUACAAGUAUUACUUUGUAAACGUGUUCUUGUUUUAUUUGUUGAAAAAAAAAUCAUGUUUAUAGGAGUAUAAAUCCCAAUUCAGAGAGGAUUUCAGAGCAAAAAAUGAUACGGCCAACAAGAGGUUUAAUAAGCACCAUUAAUCCUAGAAAUAAGUAAAACUAAGGAAUUGUAUUGAUAAGAAGAGCUAUAGUAUUAACCCGCCUGCGACGACCAUCGGUCAUUCUGGCCAACGAUUAACCGUUUGAUUCAUAUCUCUCAAUUUUUUUUUCUCCUCCCCUAUCUGCCUCUUCCUCUCUCUUUAAACAUUUACCUUCCACAGGUUUCGAUCCAUCUCAUUUUUCCCAGAUCUUGGAUGCAAGAACACAAGGCCUAGAUUUUCCAUACAAUAACAUCCAUAUCUGGUGCGGUGACCCGAACCAUACCAACCAGGAGGACAUGGGCAACUUCUACUUAACUGGUCGGGAUCCCCUGUUUUACGCCCACCAUUGUAACGUGGACCGGAUGUGGAACAUUUGGAAAACCCUCGGGGGCAAGCGUAAGGACCCAACCGACACCGAUUGGCUCGACGCUGAGUUUCUUUUCUACGACAAAAACGCGGAGAUUGUGAGCUGUAAGGUCCGGGACAGCAUCCAUCCUGAGAAAGAUCUUCGUUAAACCUACGAGCCUGUUAAUGUUCCAUGGCUGUUCACGAAGCCAACCGCUUGUAAGCCGAAGACCAAGACCAAAGCCAAGGUGGCGGCUACUGAGCUGACAACCAAGUUCCCAGCAACGUUUGACUCAAAGACGACGGUGGAGGUAGCGAGGCCAAAGCUGAAGAAGAGUGUUGAGCUAGGAUAGCACCAAACCCGUUGGAACCAACUCAAGCUAACCCACAGGAAAUUUAUCAAAUGAAAAAGCAAGAGCAAAAUAUUAAAGACACCAAGAUUUUAACGAGAUUCCUCAACAGUCAGUGUAACUGGAGUACGUCCUUGGAGCAGUAGGAGCUCACCCAAGAAUCCACUAUCAACCAAAUGAGAGUUUAAGUGUUGGCAAUCUCACAACCCAAAACCCCAAUACACCCAAUAACUCUCACUCACCAAAGAAACAAAUAGAGAGGGAAAUAUAGUGAAUAAUUUCCUCUCUAUACAAAGCUCAAAGCUAAUACACAAAUACAACUUUGAUUGAGUGAGUACCAACAAAGAAAGAAAAUCACCUUUCUUUCUUCUCUUCAAAAUGGGGCUGUAGCACCUCUGUUUUCUUCUCUGUUUUUCUGGUGCACUCUAUCACUACAAUCAGAAAAUGCUCUCUAUUUUCUGCACCUUCUACAACUCCCCUUCCGUUUCUCUUAUUUCCAAAGGCUAAAUAAAAAAUUAAUUUUCUCCAACAUCAUCAUUUGUCAUCAUCACAAAGCAAGGAACAACAUCAUGAUGUUUCCCUUUUUUUUCUUUUUAACAAACAUAAUCAUUUGUCUUUUUCUUUCUUUUGCUUUGUUUAAUAGCUAAAAGGUGAUGUUGAGUUGCCACUUGGCCACAAUUCAACAAUCUCCACCUUGGCCAAGUUCCGAAAACGCCAUGAUAAGCCAACCAACACAAUUGAUUCAAAAAAUCACUCUCAAACACUAGCAAGAGAACAACUCAUGCCGAGCCAAAUGCUCCAAAAACUCCUACUGCUCAAUGCCUUCUUUAUAUAGGCAAAAUGUGAGCCAAGUUCAAGCAAUGAACAAACUUGGCGACACCAACAACCUUAGUCAACAUAUCAGCGGGGUUGUCUUUAGUUGGAAUUUUCUGGAGAAUGAUUUCCCCUUCACCAACAAUUUCACGAACAAAGUGAUAACGCACAUCUAUGUGCUUGGUCCUCGCAUGAUGAACCUGAUACUUAGCCAAAUAAAUGGCACUCUGACUAUCACAAUGUACCUCCACCUGCUUCUGAUCAACCCCCAAAUCUCUAAUCAGCCCAUGUAUCCACAUGGCCUUCUUUAUAGCUUCAGCAACUGCCAUAUAUUUAGCCUCUGUAGUAGACAAGGCAACAGACUGCAAAAUGAACCUCCAACAAACUGGCUCUUUAGCCAUAGUAAACACAUAGCCUGUAGUAGACUUCCUUCCAUCCAGAUCACCUGCAUAAUCUGAAUCAACAUAACCAACUGCAAAAUGACCAAUACCAGAGUCAUCAUUCUCAAAGCAUAAACCAACAUCUCGAGUACCAUGGAGAUAUCUCAAUAUCCACUUAGCUGCUUGCCAAUGCUCUUUACCUGGAUUAUGCAUAUAUCGACUCACCAUGCCAACUGCAUGAGCAAUAUCCGGUCUAGAGCAUACCAUUGCAUACAUCAAACUACCAACCAAAUUUGCAUAUGGUAUAUUUUUCAUUUGCAGCUUCUCUUUAUCAGUUUUAGGACACUGUAGAGAACUCAAUUUAAAAUGAGGAGCUAAAGGGGUACUAACCGGUUUGGUUGAAUCAUGAACUCCAAACUUCCGAAUCAACUUCUCAAUGUAUUGUUUUUUAUUCAAACUGACCAAACCCUUCUCUCUAUCUCUAGUGAUCUCUAUGCCAAGGAUCUUAUUCGCUUCACCAAGAUCCUUAAUCUCAAACUCAUUCUUCAUUUGCUUCUUCAAUUUUUCAAUCUCUUCAACAUUCUUUGAGGCAAUCAACAUAUCACCAACAUAUAUCAACAAAUAAAUGAAAGACCCAUCUUGCAACUUUUUGAAGUACACACAAUGAUCAUAUUGACUUCUAGAAUAAUUUUGACCUCUCAUAAAUUUAUCAAACCUCAAAUACCAUUGUCUUGGAGAUCGCUUCAAGCCAUAAAGUGAUUUCUUCAAUUUGCAAAACAAAUUCUCCUUCCCUUUCACUAUAUACCCAUCCGGUUGACACAUAUAAAUCUCUUCAUUCAAAUCAUCAUGUAGGAAAGUCGUUUUCACAUCAAGUUGCACAAGCUCAAGAUCAUACUGUGCAACAAGAGCUAACAUAAUGCGAAUUGAGGAGUGUUUCACAACCGGAGAAAAGAUUUCAUUGUAGUCAAUGCCCUCCUUUUGUGCAUACCCUUUAACAACUAAUCUUGCUUUGAAUCUCACAUUGCUUUUCUCAUCAGCAUCUUCCUUCUUGGCAUACACUCAUUUGCAACCGAUAUCUUUCUUGCCCUUAGGCAAUUUAGCUAACUCCCAAGUCUUGUUCUUCAAGAGAGAAUUCAUCUCAUCACCCAUGGCAUUGCACCACCUCUCAUUUUCUUCACUCUCAAUAGCUUCCUCAAAAUUGGAUGGAAUCUCAUCAGUGAUAAUAGGAAGAGCAAAAGAAACAUAGUCACUAUACCGAGCUGGCUUGGUAAUUUGUCUCUUUCCUCUGUUCUUGGCAAUAGACUCUUGAGGUGAAACUUCCUCUUCAACUUGAAUAGAAUCUUCAAGUUCAACUUCUUCAACAUCCUCAUGGUCUUCAACUUCUUCACUUGUAGUGGCUUCGACAUCAGCGGAAAUAGGAUUUGAAGUACCAGAGGCAACUUUCUCAAGCUCCACCUGUUGGACAUCUUUCACAUUCUUCUCAGAGACUUUGAACAUACUUUCUUCAUCAAAUGUCACAUCUCUGCUGAUUACAAGUUUUUUCAUCUCUGGGCACCACAACCUGUAACCUUUGACACCACUACUAAAACCAAGAAAGAUAGCCUUUUUGGCUAUAGGAUCAAGUUUAUUUUCAGUCACAUGAAAAUAAGCAGGUGAACCAAAAAUACGGAUAUAGUCAUAAUCAGAAGAAGGUUUUCCAAUCCAUACCUCCAUUGGUGUCUUACCCUGAACAGCAGCUGAGGGUAACCGGUUGAUGAUGUGACAUGCAUAAUUAACUGCUUCUGCCCAAAAUGACUUGCUUAAACCCGACUGAGACAACAUACAUCUAACCUUCUCAAGCAAGGUUCGAUUCAAUCUUUCUGCAACUCCAUUUUGUUAUGGAGUUCCCCGAACACUAAAAUGUCUCACAAUUCCUUCCUCUUUGCAAACUUUAAAGAAAGGGUCGGAUGUGUAUUCACCACCAUUAUCCGAUCUCAAAAUAUUAAUCUUUCUCCCAGUCUGGUUCUCAACCAUUUUCUUCCAACUCAAGAAAAUGCUCAAUACCUCACUCUUGUGCUUCAUAGUGUAAACCCAAGACCUUCUUGAAUAAUCAUCAACAAAGGUCACGAACCAAUGUCUAUCACUCAAAGAGGGAGUCUUUGUAGGACCCCAAACAUUCGAAUGCACAUAAUCAAGAAUGCCCUUCGUCUGAUGUACAGCAGUACCAAACUUCACUCUAGUUUGCUUCCCCAAGACACAAUGCUCGCAGAAAUCAAGCUUACAAGUCGUGACACCUUUUAGAAGACCUUUUUUCACAAGCCCUUGUAGAGCUUUCUCACCGGCAUGACCUAAUCUCAUAUGCCACAAUCUAGUAGUAUCUGAAUCAGAUGUGCCCAUAUUUUCAGAGACUACUGAUGCUUCACCUGUCACCGUGCUUCCCUGCAAUAAAUACAAAUGGCCACAUCUAGGAGCUUUCAUCACAACAAGUGCACCAUAAGUAACUUUCAAUGUUUGUCCAUCUGAAUGAAACCUGAAACCCUUGGAUUCCAAAGUACCCAAAGAAAUAAGAUUUUUCUUCAAAUUCGGUACAUACCGAACACCUGUCAACUCUUUAACCAUGCCAUCAUGCAACUUCAAACGAACUGUACCAAUCCCUUUUGUUGUGCAAGGAUUGUCAUCUCCCAUGAACACAACUCCACCAUCAAACUCUUUCAAGCUUGAAAACUAAUCCUUGUGAGGAGUCAUAUGAUGAGUACAACCCGUAUCCAACACCCACUUAGUAGCACAAUCAAAUGAUGAGGAAGUGGUUAAAGAAAAAUCAGAAAAAUCUGUUUCAACCUCAGCAACAUUAGCUUCAGAACUUUCUUUGCCUUUGGUCUUCAACCUAGGACAAUCUUUCUUCCAAUGACCCUUAUUAUGACAAAAGGCACAUUCAUCCCUUUCCAAAGGUUUUCUACCUUUAGAGUUUCCUCUAGGUCGAGACUGUGAUUUUUUCCUACUAGAAGAUGAUCUUCUCUCCGAUGAUCUACCUCUAACAAAUAAAGCUUCAGAUGUACUAUCAUGAUUUUUAUCUCUAUGCCUCAUUUCAUAAUUCAUCAAGGCAUUUGACACAUCUUCAAAUUUCACAGUUUCUUUACCGUGUAUAAUAGUGGUAACAAAAUGCUCAUAAGAGUCAGGCAAUGAAUUCAACAAUAUUAAGGCCUUAUCUUCAUCCUUAAUAUCCUCAUCUAAAUUUAAAAAGUCGGCAAUCAACUUAUUAAAAGCAUGAAGGUGUCUAAUCAUUUUUGUACCUUCUUUGUAUUGGAAGCGGUAGAGCUUUUUCUUCAAGUGUAGCCGGUUCUCUGCACUCUUCGUCAUAUACUUGUCUUCCAAUUUUUGCCACAACACACUUGCUACCGUCUCCCGCAUCACAAAAUACUUUUGAGUUUUUGCAAGGCACAACCGAAUUGAAGAGCAAGCCCACAAAUUUAAUUUCUCCCAUUCCGGCUUCGACAUAGCUUCCGGCUUCUCUCCCAAAGCGGCAAGUAGAUCUUGUUGAGCCAACACAUCUUUGACCUCACAUUGCCACAUCCCGAAGUUGUUUGUGCCAUCAAACUUUUCAACUUCGAACUUUGCAUUUUGCACCGUAGUUCUUGCAAACCCGGAGGUGCUUCUAAAAGGAUUCUCAUCUUGCCCGUCUGACAUAUUUGGCAACUAGACAGUACCCAAGAGCAACCAGUGCUCUGAUACCAAUUGUUGUGCUAGGAUAGCACCAAACCCGUUGGAACCAACUCAAGCUAACCCACAGGAAAUUUAUCAAAUGAAAAAGCAAGAACAAAAUAUUAAAGACACCAAGAUUUUAACGAGGUUCCUCAACAGUCAGUGUAACUGGAGUACGUCCUCGGAGCAGUAUGAGCUCACCCAAGAAUCCACUAUCAACCAAAUGGGAGUUUACAAAGUGUUGGCAAUCUCACAACCCAAAACCCUAAUACACCCAAUAACUCUCACUCACCAAAGAAACAAAUAGAGAGGGAAAUAUAGUGAAUAAUUUCCUCUCUAUACAAAGCUCAAAGCUAAUACACAAAUACAACUUUGAUUGAGUGAGUACCAACAAAGAAAGAAAAUCACAUUUCUUUCUUCUCUUCAAAAUGAGGCUGCAGCACCUCUGUUUUCUUCUCUGUUUUUCUGGUGCACUCUAUCACUACAAUCAGAAAAUGCUCUCUAUUUUCUGCACCUUCUACAACUCCCUUUCCGUUUCUCUUAUUUCCAAAGGCUAAAUAAAAAAUUAAUUUUCUCCAACAUCAUCAUUUGUCAUCAUAACAAAGCAAGGAACAACAUCAUGAUGUCUCCAUUUUUUUCUUUUUAACAAACAUAAUCAUUUGUCUUUUUCUUUCUUUUGCUUUGUUUAAUAGCUAAAAGGUGAACUUUCCAAGUGGCAACUCAACAAAGAGGACCAAGAAGGAGAAGAGCAACGAGGAGGAGGUGCUGAUCAUCAAGGACAUCGAGUUUGAGAGCAACGAGGCGGUGAAGUUCAAUGUGUUUAUUAAUGACGAUGCUGAUUCGCUGAGUCGGAAGGACAAGUCUGAGUUUGUCGGGAGUUUUGUGCACGUGCCGCAUAGCCAGAAGACUGGCCUAAAAACAAGUCAAGUCAUUUCGUUUAUUUGUGAAAAAACGAAUUGUGAUUCUUUAUUUGUUGUUUACUAAGACCAUCUCCAACCCUUGGGCUAAAAGCCAAAUUUUUUAGCCCGGAAAAUUUAGCUUUUAGCCCAGAAACAUCUUUUCUGCUUCAACCCUUCUACCCUAAAUUUUAGCCCGAAAUUAUUAAAGAAUGAAAUUAGCCUAAAUUUUUUUCUUAAAUCAAUUUUUUUUAAAAAAAAUAAAUAUGUAGAUUAUUGUAAAUUAAUUUUAUGAACAUUUUAAUCUAAAAAAAUUUAAAUUCCGAUAAACAUUUCGCAUUUAGCCCGGGGGGAAAAUUGGGGGGUAUUUGGCCCAGAAAUAGCAUUUGGCAUUUAGCCUAAAAUUUUAGCAUGGGUUGGAGAGUGUUUGGGGGGGUAAUUUGGCUUUUAGCCCAGGGUUGGAGAUGGUCUAAAAGAUCAUUUGAUAACCGGUCAUUUCGUUUUUACUUUUCAUUUUUUCGAAAAAUGAAAUCUUGUUUAGUAACUAUUUUCACUUUUCAAAAAAAUGAUAACAUAAACAAAAAAGUGAAAACUUAUGGCCAAAUUUUAAAGACGGAUAAUAUUAGGGAUACUAAUUUGUAGACAAAAGUUACAAAUUAAAUGAUGUUUUACCAAUAAGACUGAUUAUGUUUAUUGAUGCUUAAGUAAUAAACCAAUCAUCAAAUUUCAGUCCUUUAGUUUUUAAAAUUUUGUCUACAAAUUUAGUAUAUCAAGCAUUACCCUUUAAAAACUCAUGAAAAUAGGUUUCAAUUUUCAGCUUUCAAAAAAGUAAAAAUGAAGGCUGAAAAUGAAAUGGUUAUCAAACAUCCCCUAAAGAAGUCAUUCUUAGUGAUAAUAAGGAGAGACUAGAGAGAGAUUCCUAUACUUAGCCGUGAGAGUUUCCCAUAUAUGAUUUUCAUUAACAAGAUUGAAAUGAUUACAGAGAGAAGAUCAAGUAUGGUUUAUUUUUAUUUUGUAGAGUGUAGACUUUAUACCUAUACAUUCAUAAUAACAUGAGUAAUGUUAUAUUUAUCACAUUUGUACUUUUUUUCUAAUAAUAGUAGGACCUAUUAACACAUGUGAGUUCCAUUUGCCCAUCAACACAUAUGUGUCUCAUUUCUGUGAGAAAAAUAUGAUAUGGAAAAUAUGAUAAGAUCGCAAUUUUGUAAUAACAUAUAUACUCAACUAUCUAUAUACCGACCCCCCCCUCUCUCUUUUAGUGUAGAUAAUAUCGCUUGUUCAAAAAAAAAUGAACUUGUCAUAAUCAUUGAAUCUAUUUACCAUGAACAAAUGGCAGUUUACUAAACUUGCCCUCAUAGUAUAUAUAAAAGGUCAAUCACAAUCUAUUGGAUUAAUAUAAGGAAACAAUAUGCUAUGCACAAUGAAAAUUAAGCUCACACUUUAUCCCAAAUAAGGUGUUGCACAUUUAAUUUAUGGAUGCUGGUUUGGUAAAAUGAGAGGUUCGGAAACAAGGAUAAAGGCCAUUAUUGAAGCAAAUAAUUGGAGCAAUAAAUCAUGCAAAUAAUUGGUUGUCUCAUAAACGCCUAUUCGCAUCACUAUAAAUGCGUAUUUCCUAUAUUGCACAUGGAGUAGAAUUGAUCUUACAGUAUUGGUAAUGCUAGGGACGAACUUAUUAAAUCAAAUUUUAUAAAUUUGAUAACGUAGUUGUUGAUAAUUUAAGGGAAUUGUUAUUAGCACUCUAAAAAACUCAUUUGGCAUUCUAAACUUUCUAUAAUUAGAAAGAAAAAUACACUUAUAAGGGAGUGUAGAAUGAGAUUUUGGAGUAUUAAUAACAUUUCUCUAAUUUAAUUACUUAAGUGUUGAUUAACGUGUUUAAUUUCUAUUUGUGACACAUCAUAUAAUUCGCAUAUUCGGUCUAUCUAGCAUUACUCUAGAGUAAUAUAGAUCAAAUUUGUAAACUAUGUGAUGUGUCACCAAUAGGAAAAAAUUUCAGUAUGCUGGAAAUACGGCUCAGAACACCAAGUGUCAUAAUAUAUACUUGGUUGGAAAUUUUUUAUUUUCAAGUUUCCAACUAAUUGUAUUGUAACACUUCGUAUUCCAGACUAUGUUCUUAGUGCGCUGGAAAAUCUCUUCACCAAUAGGAAAUAAGCAUAUUAAUGAACACUUAAGUAAUAAUUCAAUCAUCAACAACUACGUCAUAGAAUUUAUGAAAUGUGGUCUAAAUUGAUGGUCUCCAUAGCAUUACCUUUAUCUUAGCGUAUACGUACCCCUUCACAUGUUUAUUUGCUGAUAUGCAGCUUGAGUGAAAAUUUCUUUUUAAGAACAUAUAUGUGAAUAUAAACAUAUAUAUCUAGUGACGGAUGUAGCGUUAUUUAAAAAUAAACAAAUUAAUUAAUUAAUAAAUGAACUGUGUACCUGUCUGUGUCGAGUAAUCCAUAUGUAUGCUUGAAUCCUGAUCACCACGAAACCCUAACAUAUAAGCUACUCAAGGCCCGAAAGCUUGGAUUGAAGAGAAAAACACCCAGUCAGAUUAAGCCAAUAUAUCAAAGUUAUAAUUCCAAAUGUAAGCUUUAAGAUUGAAAAAUCACUUACUACCUUGAGCAGUUGAGCUUCUUCAAUGGCAUAAAGCUUUUAGCAUGAGAUGGACUGCAUCACAACUAAAAUUUUCUCUUGGAAACUACACAAGGAAUAGCAUACAUACCUAUAACAUUGAGAAAGUACGCCAAUUUUUUCCUUCUGCUCGUUCAUGUUUAAAAUUAAUCCUCAGAUGAACUUGCCCACAAUGAAGUGCAAUUUGAGGUAGUCGAGUGUUCCAUUUCCAUCCUAUGGAAAUUACUACUAAACUUUAAGAUGGCAAAAGUGUUUAAGUUAAUAUUUAAACUAUGGGCUUUUAGGAAGGGAAGCCCAAAAAGGAGCUCAAGGAGGAGAUUCAGCUCGAGGCCCAGCACCUAAGCUCAUAUCAUCCAUCCUAAAAGCCAGUUGGCACCCCCAUUAAUACAAAUGCUAGUUGCAUACAAGAAGUGACAACCGAUGGGAGUUCACCUGCUCUAGGCCCAAAAGCACUUUAUGGAUGGCAUAGCAUGUAAAUAUCAAUGGUUCUCUACCCUCCAAAUUACUUUCGGGCAAGAACAGGAGCAGCACAAAUCAAGUUAACUCAUCUAUAAAAUGGGGAUGAGGGCCCAGAGACAAAGAGACUCAACCAAUCAAACAAACAUACAACUUGACUCUCAGCCAAGUAAAUGCCCAGAAAGUCGUGCUUUGUCCAGACUCUGCACCCUUUUAGCCUUAGAUUUCCUUAGAAAUACAUCUUUUGUCUAUGUAAAAGCUCUACUACCCUUUCCCAGAUGUCGUAGUAUCGAUCUUUAGUGUAUAAACUCCUUUCCAGUCGUUCCCCUUAAUAUUCAAUCAUCUGCAAACUGCAAGGAGAAGAGAUUGCAAGACGUUUAACCUUGCCCAACAAGGUGAAAUCUUGCUCGACUCUCUUUGUUUUGUCUUUCAAUUAAUAGAUCUGCACUACUACAAUAUUAGCUUUAGGUGGCGGAUGAUGGUGGCGGAUAUUAAAAAAUCCUGUCGAAUAAAUUAUAUCCGACACAUCAUUUAAUUACUGGCGGAUAUUAGAAAAAUCAUGUCGGUUCUAUCCAACAUAAAUUUCGGGCGGAUAUUUACUGGCGGAAUUUUUGAAUCUUUUUUUUUAAUAUUUUUUACAUAUCCUGGCGGUUUUACGUUAAUAGUGGCAGUUAUAACCGACAGAAAUUGACUAUUUUAUUAUUUUACUUUAUGGCUGUUAUAACCGACAUAGAUGAAAAUUUUAUUAUUUUAAAAUGUUAUAUUGAUUAAAAAUAAAUAAAUAAACACAUAUUUUAAAUAAAAAAUUUUCACUCAUGACCCUAAAGUCUAAUGAACCCAAUUCUCACAAGUCAUAAAUUUUCUGAGAGAAUAAUGACAAUAGACUACAAUCUAAAGCUCUAUCAUUUUUGUAAUAAGGAUUAUGCUCCCUCAUAGGCAAGCAACAAGAUACAAAGAAAUUUAAACAAUUUUUUCUAAUGCACAUAAACACACAUAAACACACAUGAACAUCUGAUGUACUUUAUCAUGUCUAAUUUUAUUAUUUUAAAAUGUUAUAUUGAUUAAAAAUAAAUAAACACAUGUUUUAAAUAUUAUAUUUUUUGCGAUUUUUUACACAUGCUAUCUCAUAGUAUAUACGAACAUAUUUGACGAAUGCAUAUCCUAUCAAAUUGAUAGAUUUAACAAACAUUUAAGAGUUAAUGUUAUGCUUCCAUUAUUUAUAAAAUAAGAUUUAUCCACUAGUGUGAAUAUUUUAAAUUGAAGAUUGAAUUCAUUCAUUGCAUUCUUAAAGGAUCGAGGAGUGUAGCUGCAAAAAAUCAUCAAAAGCGAAGCUAAAAUAACCGUUAAAUUGUGAUAUUUCCUUUAUAACCGUUGAAAACUUUUGUUUUGUUACCUAAUCUCUGAACGUUUGCUUUUUGUGAUUUUUUACGUAUGUGAUCUCGGAGUGUUUACAAACAAGUUUGACGGAUAGAUCAUUGAAAAAAGUUUCGUAGAAUGUGUAUUGCGUCAAAAUGGUAGAUUAAAUAAACACUUAAGAGUUAAUGUUAUACUUCCAUUAAGUAUAAAAUAAAAUUGUGUGGUAUCCACUAGUGUAAAUAUUUUAAAUUGAAGAUCAAAUUCAUUCAUUACAUUCUUAUAGGGUCGAGGAUUGUAGCUGUAAAAAAAUCAUUAAAAUCGGAGCUAAAAUAACUGUUAAAUUGUGAUUUUUCGUUUAUAAUCGUUGAAAACUUUUAUUUUGUUACCUAAUCUCUUAAUGUUUGUUGUUUGUGAUUUUUUACGUAUGCGAUCUCGGAGUGUGUACAAACAAGUUUGACGGUUGGAUUGUUGAAAAACGCUUCGUAGAAUGCAUAUCCUAUCAAAUUGAUAGAUUUAACAAACAUUUAAGAGUUAAUGUUAUGCUUCCAUUAUUUAUAAAAUAAGAUUUAUCCACUAGUGUAAAUAUUUUAAAUUGAAGAUCGAAUUCAUUCAAUGCAUUCUUAUAGGGUCGAGGAGUGUUUCUGUAAAAAAUCAUCAAAAACGGAGCUAAAGUAACCGUUAAAUUGUGAUUUUUCGUUUAUAACCGUUGAAAACUUUUCUUUUGUUACAUAAUCUCUUAAUGUUUGUUUUUUGUGAUUUUUUACGUAUACGAUCUCGGAGUGUGUACAAAUAAGUUUGACGGUUGGAUCGUUGAAAAACGCUUCGUAGAAUGCGUAUCGCAUCAAAACGGUAGAUUAAACAAACACUUAGAGUUAAUGUUAUACUUCCAUUAAGUAUAAAAUAAGAUUUAUCCACUAGUGUAAAUAUUUUAAAUUGAAGAUCAAAUUCGUUCAAUGCAUUCUUAUAGGGUCGAGGAGUGUUGUUGUAAAAAAUCAUCAAAAUCGGAGCUAAAGUAACCGUUAAAUUGUGAUUUUUCGUUUAUAACCGUUGAAAACUUUUCUUUGUUACCUAAUCUCUUAAUGUUUGUUUAUUUUUAUUUUUUACGUAUGCGAUCUCGGAGUGUGUACAAACAAGUUUGACGGUUAGAUCGUUGAAAAACGCUUCGUAGAAUGCGUAUCGCAUCAAAACGGUAGAUUAAACAAACACUUAAAGUUAAUGUUAUACUUCCAUUAAGUAUAAAAUAGUGUAAAUAUUUUAAAUUGAAGAUCAAAUUCAUUCAAUGCAUUCUUAUAGGGUCGAGGAGUGUUGCUGUAAAAAAUCAUCAAAAUCGGAGCUAAAGUAAACGUUAAAUUGUGAUUUUUCGUUUAUAACCGUUGAAAACUUUUCUUUUGUUACCUAAUCUCUUAAUGUUUGUUUUUUUUGAUUUUUUACGUAUGCGAUCUCGAAGUGUGUACAAACAAGUUUGACGGUUAGAUCGUUGAAAAACGCUUCGUAGAAUGCGUAUCGCAUCAAAACGGUAGAUUAAACAAACACUUAGAGUUAAUGUUAUACUUCCAUUAAGUAUAAAAUAAGAUUUAUCCACUAGUGUAAAUAUUUUAAAUUGAAGAUCGAAUUCGUUCAAUGCAUUCUUAUAGGGUCGAGGAGUGUUGCUGUAAAAAAUCAUCAAAAUCGGAGCUAAAGUAACCGUUAAAUUGUGAUUUUUCGUUUAUAACCGUUGAAAACUUUUCUUUUGUUACCUAAUCUCUUAAUGUUUUUUUUUGUGAUUUUUUACGUAUGCGAUCUCGGAGUGUGUACAAACAAGUUUGACGGUUGGAUCGUUGAAAAACGCUUCGUAGAAUGUGUAUCCCAUCAAAACGGUAGAUUAAACAAACACUUAGAGUUAAUGUUAUACUUCCAUUAAGUAUAAGUGUAAAUAUUUUAAAUUGAAUAUCAAAUUUAUUCAUUAGACAAUAUUUAUUUAUGUUUUUCAAGUAUUGAUUAGACAAUAUUUAGUUUGUGUGAUGACAUUUUAUCGCAUAUUUUACAUGCAUUAUUCUCUAUUAAACCAAAAGUGUAAAAAUUAUCUAUUAAACCAAACAAUUAUUUAUUUAAUUUUUAAAAACAUAUUCUAUUUAAAUACAUAUUAUUUAUUUAUUUAUUAAACCAAACAAUUAUUAUUUUAUUUUUUAAAAUUGUAACAAAAUUUGGGGGGAAUUUAAAAUUUUGAGGGAAAAUUUUAAAAUUUUCGGAGGGAAGUUUGCCGCCAUUUUUUUGUCUGUCGGUUAUAACCGACAGUAAUGAAAUUUUUCUGUCAGUUUUUAUUUUUAAAAAAUGUUUCUGUCGGUUUUAACCGACAGUAAAUAAAAUAACCUAAAUUUUUAAAACCCAUCCAUCUUCCUUGCGCCGAUGCUUCCCCCUUCCCCCUAUUCUCCUGUCCUCAUUUCUUUCUCCUUCUCCUUCUCCUCUUUUCUUUUCUAUUCUGUUCGAACACUUGCAACCCAUUCCAACCAACAAUUCCAGACACACUGUAGAGGGCGUGGACAGAGGGUUGAUGGGAAGGGUUGGCCGUGGACGGAUGGUUGAUGGGAAGGGUAGGAGCUAGAGAGAGGGGGUGAGGGGUGGGUUCUGUCCACUGACGUUGGUUGCUGGGAGAGAAAGAGAGAGAGAGAGAGAGAUGGGGAAAAGUAUGGGGUUAAGGUUGAGGGGAACGAAACGGGUACAGAGAGAGAGUGAGGAAGGGACAUAGGAGUUAGAGGUAUGGAUUGAUUUGUCAGGGGCUGCUGCAUCCUUCCUAUUCGAAAGGUAACAAAUAAUUUUCAAUUCAUUCUGCUGCAUCCUUACUAUUCGAGAGGUACAUGAAUGGCUUCUCAUCUGAAAUUAUUAAACAUUGGAUUUGCUAGUUUGGUUGCGCAACUAUGCAGGUGCUCUCUCCAAUCUAUCGAUCAGUUUAGUGCUAGCUGUUAUUGCUGCCUUGGAAGUCAACAAUAUUCCUUCAGCUCCUUGGUUCCUGUCAUUGUGUUUGCAUAUUUUAUAUCAUUUGGUUUCUCAGGUUAUGUAUUUAUGUUUGGCGUUGCUUGCUUAUUGUUUUCGUGUUUAUAUUGUAUCAACGACUCUUAGCUUGUUUUGGCUUCUUGCAGGCUUACGGGAUUCUGGAAAAAUAUCUGUGUUAUUUUGUUCCUCUCCUCGAACUGAAGAGAUGAUGUUCAUGUUAGCAUGGAUGUUUGUCUAGUCUCCUCACAUAAUGAAAUGUUGUGCUUGACAUGAAUAAGGGUACUUGAUACAACCAUUUUUUCCGAUUUUGUUUGGCCAAGAAUGUAUCUGUAUAAAAUCCAAAUGCAACCGCAGUUGGGUGAUGGAUUACAUUAUCGCUCGUUUGUUUAACUUCUAAGAUUUCUACCUGCGAUAAUUUUGCAAUAUCUUGUCUGUCAUUGUGAUUUUCUUUCCCUGAUUGCAACCAUACGAAAACUUAGGUUGAGGAUUUAGAACGAAUAUUAGCAAGCUUCUCUUAUCUAUAUUGUUAAUUUGUUAUAGCCUAGAAAGGAUGAUCAUGACCCUCCCUGUUUAUCAUUAUCAGUGUAGGGGAUGGGCGGAGGGGUCGGAUGACGAGUCGUGGACUAAGAAAACGGUGCCCAUUAUUGCUCCCUUGCCUAAGACUUUAAAGGCCCUGACAGUCACCGGUGAGAUCGAGCUCCGGCGAGGUUGGAUGGUGAAUGUGGGGAUAUGGAAAAUGCAGAAAGCAAUUUUUUUUUUAUUAUUAAUAUAAGUCAUAUCGGUUUUAGCCGACAUUAAAUGAUUUUAUUUAUUAUUUUUAAUUAAUUUCUGUCGGUUUUAGCUGACAGGAAAUGGUUUUAUUUAUUCAUUUUUAAUUAAUUUCUGUCGGAUGGUUUAAUGAUUUUCUGUCGGUUUUAUCCGACAGAAAUAUUUCUGUUAGUUCUAUCCGACACAAUUUCUGUCGGUUUUAGAGUAUUUUCUGUCGGAUCUAUCCGACACAAUUCCUGACGCAGGCAAUUCUGUCGCUUAUUAUAUCCGCCACUGCAUCCAUUUUCUGUCGGAUUUUGCUUAAAAUCCGACAAUAAUAUAUGUUUUUUGUCGGUUUUCAAAACGCCACUAAUAACUGGUUUUCUAGUAGUGAUGGUGCUAUAAUGUAUUCCCUAGUUUAUAUUCAAGUUGUUUCUAGUCUUUUGAUGAUUCAAAGCCCUAUCAGUUCCCAGAUAUAGUUCACUUAGUGGUUUUAUCAAGAUUGGAAUGAGUUAAACUGAUGACUUGAUCAGAUCUGGACCUCCACCCCUCGAGCAUACAAGAUAACUAAAAGUCCUUGAUAUCAAGGCAUAGAAAAGAACUUAAUGUAGACUUAACCCAUCCUUUGAUAAACAAGAAAUCUGAAAUAACUUGGGGUGCAAGUAAUCGGCUUAAAACACACUUGUUCUACAUCUUCCAUACAAAAUGGCAAUGGCACGCCUAAGCAUUUAGUUGGUUUUGAUUGCGAGCCUCAAGGCCUACACCUAAGGCCCCAUGAAGGCACCUUUCAGAACUAACUCUAUUAUCCUCUUGCAGCAUUGUGACAAGCAGGAGUCCGACAAUCAACCAAAGUGCCAACUCCUCGGGGAGCUAUGUGCUCGAGCCAGGGACGCCCACUGGCCAAAUUUCUUGCCCGAACAAAAAGGUCCAUGAAGAAUUUUACUUUUGAGAUUGUCUCCUUAGCAUUUCUCUUAGCUAUAAUAACGAGGAAAUACUUCAUCUUGUAUCAAACAAGGGAGACAGAAAGUCAACUACAAAUAGCAUCACAGAGCCAGCAAGAUUGAGGAGGCCAUGAAGAGGAAAGAGAAAAUACACUCUUGUUUUGUAAGGACAGAGAUAAUACAUUCAAUGAAGGGUACUGAUGUUUAUAUGCAAAGCUGAUAAAUAGUCGUAUUUAUUCUCUACAAUGCCAAUAUUACCCCUCGUUAGUACACUUUCAAGACACUAUACUCCAGUGUAUGCACUAUGCAGUACGUUGUACUCCUCAUUUUUUUAGGAAAUUCGUUAUUGGCCUUCAUGUCUUCUUUAUUUUCCUUGUCCUCAUUGUGCCACAUGUCUAAAACACUAAUUAUAGGUAAAAGAAAGAUAAUUAAAUGUCAUUUAGUACUACAAUCUAACGAUAUUCCUCUUCAGUGUAAAAAUUUUAUAAUUAAAACCGUUCAAUUUUUUAAUAUCUUCAUUUGAAUAUUAUCUGUACAGAAAAAUUAUUCGAAUCAGAGAUCGUUUAUGCAUUCAAAUGUAUGAAAUAAAUUGACAUUGUGAGUACUAAUUAAUAUUUUUUUUAUAAAAUACAAUUAUUUAAUACAUUUGAAUGACCAAAUGAUCUAUAAUUCAAAAUAAAUAUUAAGAUAUUAAAUAUAAUUAUGAAAUUAAUAAAGUAAAGAUACAUGACCUCGUGAAGGAUGCAUGUAUUAUUAAAAAAAUAUAAAAAAUUUGAAAAACGAUGCCGUUGUUGCCACCACUUUUGCAAUGAUCGUUGCCACCACUUCUGCAAUGAUCGUCGCCACCAUCACCAAACCCCAACACCCCAUUACAGCUCAUAAAAGCACAUCAAAAGAAAUUUAUAAAAUAAAAUUACUCGAAUACCAAAUUCCCCCUUAGUUUAGGUCACCAAUGUUUAGAUUUUAUCACAACUUUCAUUCCAAAUUUACUUUUUAUCCGUUGCUUUGUUUGUUCAAAUUUACUUUGGCAUUUCAAUUAGUAUUAAAAUCUAAUUUAAAUUUUAGUGUUCAAACUAGAAGAAAAGAAAACUAACGAAAAGUUCAAAAAAACUUUAGUUUUAAUGAAAAAUGACAAAUAAAGAUGUAGCGAAUAGUACCAGGAAAAAGUAAAAAUAUGUUUUUUUGUUAAAAAAUGAAUAGUACCGAAAGUGUUGCAAUUCCCUAGAAGAAGUGUUCCAUUUAAUAUUUAAUAUCAGUUUUUCUCUUUAUUCUUUUAUUGGGAUUUGGUUGCAUCGUAUCUCCAUUUUUCUUGGUGUUGUAUGUUCAUAAGGCUUGUGAAAUGAGUUGAAUAUCAGAGUGCGCAACGAACGAGACUACAAAAUAAUAGGAAUAUUAUUAAAUAAACGAGAAUGCCGGAACGGCUACAAAACCCUAAAGGCUACAUUGUGAAUGACUUUUUCUCUAAUGAAUAACAAAGCACCCUAUUUAUAAUAGCCUAACCCUAAUCUCUAACAAAACCUAAUUCUAACCGGCUAAGGCCAGAAAACCAAACAUUCAAAUAAACCAAAAUACUAAUAUUUUCCAACAAAACGUUGGCAUGUAGUGCAUGGUACUCAUUUUUUGGCCCAAAAUGCAUAAGGCAUGUAGAUAUGUAGACUAAAUUUUAUAAACUAAAUAACAUGAAAGUUGAUGAUUAGAUUAUUACUUAGGGUAAUGCUAGGGAGACUAAAUUUGGAGAGAAAAUAUACAAACUAAAUGAUGCGUCACCAAUAAAAAUGAGCAUGUUUAUCAACACUUAAGUAAUAAACCAAUCAUCAACUUUCAUGUCAUUUUGUUGAUCUUAAAAACUACCAAGCCUACGUGGCGCGCAGGCCGAGUAAUUAAUAAGCUAACUACAACCUUCGGUUAUGUGCGGGACAUCACAACUAGUCGGCCGAGCUCGGCCGGGGAGUAAAAUGUGUUGAUGUUGCGUUGAGCGCGCUGUUGACUUCUUGGUCUUGCAACUGCGGCCGAGGAAGGAACACGUCUUGGCCUUCAGGCUCUAGAGCCUGAAGACAAGGCUGCUAGUUCUGCGAAGUUCAAUAUUAGAUUCGGCUUUCAACGUGCCAAAUGUAGUAACCUGGUAACACCUUACUUCGCCGAGAAUGCUAAUGAGAUGACCUCUACCAACAAGGACUCAAAAAUCCUUGUCGAUUGAGACUUGGAUAGGUAAUCAGUCGGUCGAAAAGCAGUGUUGUUUAUCCAAACUGAAGGUGUUCCUUGAUCGGUUGAUUCUACAAAUCCAGUGUUGUUUAUCUAAACUGAAGAUGUCGCCGAUUGCCUUCACAGUGUUGUUUAUCCAAACUGAAGAUGUGUCAGCGGAAAAAAGAAAAUAAAAAUCUCAAGGUUAUUGAUAGGUUUUGCGUAGAGCGAGAGUUUGCGCAGGGCAAUUUGUGUGUUGAAUUGGAGAGAGAUUGAAUGUUGUCCGUGACUCUGUAUUUAGAAGCAAAUGUUGUGUGGUGCGACCAGAUAAUUUUGUAGAGUCCAACUGCAACUCUAAUUCGCGGAACUAAACUUGAUCCGCGUCAAAAGCCAAGGCAUAUCCUUCUAAUUGAUCCAUGGGAUUUGUUCCUUGACCUCUCAAACCUAAUUAAAGUUAGGCUUAUCAUAUCACAUCAGAAACCAAACCUAUUUAGGCUUCUUCAUAAUCUUUACCAUCAUAAUCUUUACCGAUGCAUGCAUCCUGAUCCCUACCAUACUUUGAAUAGACAAUAAUCAGUUUGCAACACACCACUUGUCAGUCAACCACACUGAUCUCACCUACACAUUCACACGCCAAAACAUCCAAAUCAGCUUGAAUUGUGCUGCCAUGUUUCCAGUUGGAAAUACAUAUCUCAUCUUUCAUAAUAAAUUAUUAUUAAAAGAUAAUUAUGAUAAAACACCAUAACAUUAUCCUUUAAUAAUAACAAAAUGAAUUAUCUCCACUUUUCAUCUGACGGUGUGAAACUAUGCUCACUCAACGACCUUGAUUGCACGGGCCGAUGGUGACACGCCCCGAUCCCAAUAUUCCCCGAAUACCAGGAUAGGCAUGUGCUGGCCGACAUCCGAGAGUGACGAAAGCCAUUUAUUGAGUACAAAUGCUGAGAAUAAAGGAUGGAUAUGACUUAUAAAUAUAAAAGAAUCAAGAAUAUGCAUUUAAGGAACGUGUUCAAAGCACACAACUAACUAGAUUACUAAAAGAAAUAAUAUAAAAUGGAGUGAAUAAAAGAAUGGGUCAUACACCGAAAGGACUCGAAGAAGUUGAUGUAGGAGUCCUUUGACGUCAGGAUUGUAUGCCUCGAUUCUAAGUCCUGAAGGGGGCGCAAAACAAACAUGAGUGGACCAAUUUGAUAUAUAAAUAGUAAAACAGUUAUCAACGUACUAACCCCCAGGUUUUAUGAAAACACAUAUAUAUCAUGAUAAACAUAAUUUUUUCGAAACCUAGCAUGCCGUGCAAUGUCUCAAACCAUACCUUGUAUAUAUAUAAUAAUCACUAGUGAAUUGUUCGAUAAACCCCAGGCCCCAUGCCGGCUCCCCGUCUCUGAGCAGACAGUCAGAGGAAAAUAUACUUCAGGCCCCAUGCCGGCUCAUGCCGGCUCCCCGUCCCUGUGCUAAAUAGCCAGAGGAAACACAUUACAGGCCCUAUGCCAACACCAAACCGUCGCCCAGGACGGACCGGAUCUAUCCCUACUUCCCGUAGCGGAAAUGACCACUAGGUAAAUACAAAACCAUUGAACAUACAUAUAUUGAAAAGCAACUUCAUAGUAUAAAGUCAUCCAUCAUCUAUAUUAUAAAGAGGUGUUCGAAACAUGUUCUAAAUAUCAUAUCGUCAUCCAUCGGAUAUUCUAUAAGAACAUGAGUUAUAGGAAAAAUAGUAAUAAUUCAAAGUAGCCUUAGUAAGCAUGUUAUCUCACAAAACGUUUCAUAAAAUGUAAUCAUCAAAUCAUGCUUUUCAUGUAUGCAUUUCUACUAUUAAAACAUGAAUUUUGAGAAGGGGUCCACUCACAGUACUUAGCCGCCGAAGAGCCACGCAAACUAGUAACCACGAAAACAUCACAAAUAUUGCCCUUAAGCACAUAAAUGGUCCAAUUAAUAAAACUCUAUUGUAACAAUUGAAUUUGGGAAAACGGAAGUUGGAAACGGAUUCAGAACGUCAAAUUACCCUAAGAAGGGUCCUGGAUAAAUUUCGUAAAAUGUCAACAAAAUAUUCCCUGACAUAAUAUUUCCCAUAAAAGGUAUGGGCCGAUUAGGGUUUAGGGUUAGCUAAUUAGGUGGGCUAGGUUUAGAGGAGAGGGCUUAGGGCCCUGGUUCAAAAGGCCCGAAGGCCUUAAGCCUAAGGGUUUUGGGUUUUUAGAUAAAAAGGCUUAGGGCCUUAGCUAAUUUGGCCCAAAGGCCUUUAACUUAAAACAAUUAAUAAAAAUACAUAAUAAAAAUUGAAAUGGGUUUUGGGUUGGGCUCGGCAGGAAAGGCCCAAAGGCCUUGGGAUUUUUGGGUUGCAGAAUUCAAAGGAAGGAGAAGGCCGGAUUCGGCCGGAAAACUACAUCAACUUUAAACGGCCAUAACUUUGUCAAAACUCAACGAAAUCGAGUGAUUCAAAAACAGAAAUUGUAUCCCUCGAAGAGACGAAGAGAAUGGUACCUCGCACGAUGUGGUUUAAAGUUGUUGGACUCGCCGGAAACUGGGUAAGAUUCAAAUGAGUAUAACUUCUUCAAUACUCAACAAAAUUGGGUGAAACAAAAAGGAAAGUUGUAGUACUCAGUGAGACCAAGAGAUUGAUACCUUGCACGCCGGCCAACUCACUAUAGUUUGGCCGGAAAUUGCCUCGAAAGUGGCGGUGCUCGCCAGAAAAUUUGGAAAAGCUUUCCCGAGCUAUUUUCUGUGAUUCAAAUGUAUACACAACUUAAAACAAGCUUCAAUCUAACCCUAAAACACAUCCCAGGGGUUUUUAGAAGCUUACCAACAUUGAAAAAUCAAGAAACUCAUCGGGGAAGAAGAUGAACAGUACCGGCCGAAUGGAAGAGAGGGGUUUGGGGUGCUAAUGGAGAUGUUGUUGUUGUUGUGGUGUUGUUUGUUGGUAAGAAAAGCCCUUGGAGGGGCUGAGAUAGAGAGAGCUGAGAGAGUGUAAGGGAGAGCGAGGGAGAAGAGAGAAAGAGAGACUUUUCAAAAGAAAGAAGAAAAAAAAUAAAAGAAAGGGAAAGGGAACGGGAACGGGGGACAAAACAGGGGGUGGGCCCCUUGAGCACAAUCCAAAAAUAAUUUUAAAAGCAAGAUAAUAUCAAACUUAGUGAAAAUACAAUUUAAAUUAGGGGUGAGUGUAACAGAUUGUGUAAAUUUGGGUCCAAACACCUUUAGUUUCCAAAAUUUAGUAUAUAAAUUUAGUCUCCCUAGCAUUACUCUAUUACUUAAGUAUUGAUUAACGGACUUAUUUCUUAUGGUGACACAUUAUUUUAGUUUACAAAUUUAAUCUACAAAUUUAGUCUACCUAACAUUACUCUUUUGAGAAUUUAACUAUCUUGUCCACUAAUAUAAUUCUAUUUUUCUUAUGAUCAAAACUUCAAAUGUUAGCAAGUCGCACGUAAAGUCGCUUCUGAGAGAAUGUGCUCACAUUGUAGUUGAAAGAUUAUGUGGCUAGCAACAUUACAAAUUUAAUUUGGUAUAAUUUUAAAAUAUGGAUUGAGGAAAAAAAUGAUCACAUUAACUAGAAACUGAAAAGGUUUCAGCACAGUUUGUUCAAGCAAGAAACUCAAUUUUGAUGCUACCGAUCUUGAGCGCCGUACCUGGGCACCAAAGUCACCACCACACUCUCAUCAUCUUCAGCACCCAAAUCCUCCAACAGGUCCGUUAACCCCAACCUUAAACAACUCUUGCUCUUUUCCUUCUGCUUAUGUGGCACACUCACAAAACUCCCAGCAAACUCGCUCUUGUCGGGUCCACUCGGUGCCGCAUCCUCAUCGUCCACGUCAUUCACAUACACAUCAAACUUCACAGCCACAUCUUUGUCAAGCUCAAUCCCCUGAAUCACCAAUAUCUCCUCCUCAUCCUCUUUCUCCUUCUUGCUCCUCUUCUUCGGCUUCGGCCUUGACACCACCGUACUUAUCUUCGUCUCCAAAUUUAUUGGAAAAUCUUUACCCGCCACCACCUUCCCUGAUGACGUCGUCUCAGCGGCCUUCGCCACUCCAGCCGCCUUUGCCUUUCUCGCAAGCUUUGUCCGACGUGGCGUCGGUCUAGACUUGAGCCAUGGAAUCUCAACAUCUUCAUACGUAUACCCUAGCUUUUUAUUAUCAAGAGUGUCCCUCACCGUGACCCUAACAAGCUCAGCAUUCUCGUCAUAAAACAAAAACCCCGUAUCCAACCAAUCCUUAUCGUUAAUAUCUUUAUUUUUAGUCCCUAUACUUUUCCAAAUAUUCCACAUUCGAUCUAUAUUCGAAUGGUGCGAAAAAAAUAUUGGAUCCCUUCCAGCGGAGUAAAAAUUCCCCAUGUCUUCAAAUUAGGUUGCGUGUUAUCUCCGGUCCAUAAAUGAACCGGACCAUGUGGGGUCGUUUCGAUUGAACCGCCCCCUGGAUCUGGUUCAGUGCCAGCCCUGUAGGGCGAACCAAAGAACAACAGCGGUUUCUUGGAGUUGGAAACCAUCUGCCUAUACAUAAUUUUGAGGUUGGCUUCGAUUUGAGCAUCGUUGGACAUUGUUUCAUCCGUGCCGUUGAAGUCAAGAUCGAUGAGAGUCGGCGGCUGAUGGCUGGCAGCGCGAAGCUCGUCGUAAAGCGGAGAGUCCGGGUUAGCGAACAAGGCAGGGAGUUGCAUGCCAGCUGGCGCGUCCCAGUUCCAAAACGGCAACGCGAACGUCGGAUCGUCUAUGAGUUUGGCCAAGAUUCUUUCGUGGAAGUAUAGGUAGUAACGAUGGAAGGGGAAGAAAAGCCAGCAUUGAUGGAUUUGGAGCUCGAGGUUGGGGAAGCCGACUUGGUCGUACGCGCCGUCGCAAUAGGCACAGUGGAGAUCGGCUUGCUGGGUGAAGCUACGCGGAUCGUCGUCCGGGAGGGCUUUCAUGAGCUCGAUGGCUUUUGAAUAUUUUUCGAUGUAGGCUUUAUCCACGGUGUGAGCUGCCGGCCUGACGCGGAGUUUGGUAGGGGAGGGGAAUUUGAAGUCUACGAUUUUUUGGGACGUUGGCGGGCAACAGUUGGUCGGGACUGCUCCACUUGGAAAGUCCGCAGCUCCGCAUUUGGCUAGGUCAGGCGGCGACACUGGCUUUGCAACAGCGAAGGGGUCGCUGCCAAGACCAGCCACUCCACCGUAUAGGCUUCCGAGACCUAUAAGUACAUUUCUUCUGUCUAGGUUUACUGGAGAAGGGUUUUCAUGGUCGUGAUCGUUGGAGCUAGUGGAAGGGUUUUUGUUUUGGUCACUACUAUUAUUUGUGGCUUUGCAUGAGACAGCUUGUAAAUUGGAAUGCCUAGGGUUUCCAAAUGAGGAUAUUCGGUGAUACUUUUGGGAGAAAGGGGAGAGGAAAGUUGUGGGGAUGAUACUUGUGGCGGAGGUGACGAGUGGAGCUGACAUAGAAGCCAUGGUUACUUUUGACUCUGAAUAAUACGUUGUAUUGGCUUUGCUUUUAUAAUGUGUUCUAGGUUGUACUUUUCUUUGCACAGGUGGCAGGCCGUACACACGUGGUCGGUCCUUAAGGGUUUGACGAGGAAUACUACGUAGUCAUUUAGUACAGGACAACCAUACACUAUAGCAAGUGGCAUGUAUUUAGAGAUCGAGAGAGAAUUGGGUAAGGUUCACGAGGGAUUUGUAGUUUCAGAAGGUGAAUUGGUUUUGGUCUUCUUGUGUACCAAUAAUAUUUACUUAGUCAUUUAGUGCAGGACAACCAUGCACUAUAGCAAGUGGCAUGUAUUUAGAGAUCGAGAGAGAAUUGGGUAAGGUUCACGAGGGAUUGUAGUUUCAGAAGGUGAAUUGGUUUUGGUCUUCUUGUGUACCAAUAAUAUUUACUUAGUCAUUUAGUGCAGGACAACCAUGCACUAUAGCAAGUGGCAUGUAUUUAGAGAUCGAGAGAGAAUUGGGUAAGGUUCACGAGGGAUUGUAGUUUCAGAAGGUGAAUUGGUUUUGGUCUUCUUGUGUACGGCUGUGGGUCUGCUGUCCCGGACUCUCUGUCUCAUUUGUGUCUUAUUUUUUAUUUUUUCACACGUGUCUUUUACUUAACGUCAAAUCAUGAUAGCAAUGUUAUGCAAUUGGGAGCUAAACGACCGAUGCUUUUAUUUUUUAGUUUGCUUUUUUUCCAGAUCUGAUCAAAUCAUGAUAGCAAUGUUAUGCAAUUUUCAAGAGGGAAAGAUGCACCUGGGAGAGAAACGGUACGGUGACUUCUAAAUCACCGUCCAACAGAACAAUUCUCAGUAGAGACUACUAGAGAGAGAUGCACCUCACCAAUGAAAAAUUUAACUGCAAAAAUUCUGGGUAUUGGGUAAGGAAAUUCGGUGAUACUUUUGGGAGAAAGGGAAGAGAGAAGUUGUGGGGAUGAUACUUCUCGUGGAGGUGACGAGUGGAGCUGACAUAGAAGCCAUGGUUACUUGACUCUGAAUACUACGUUGUAUUGGGUUUGCAUAUAUAUAUAAUUAGGAUUGAAGGAUGUAGAGCUUAUUUUGUUAUGUAUUUUAACGAUUUAAGUGCUUAUCUUUUAGGUUUUCUCUUAAACAUCAUGUCUAUAAAAAAUCACCAAAAUUCAAACCAUAUGACCAUUAGAUCCAUAGUCAUUUUAGUGUUUAUUUGUAAAAUGUAUUCAUUCAUUUUCUUCACUACAAAUGAGUGAAUUAAUGAUUUUAGAAUUUGUCUAAUUUUUUACAUUGAUUAUUUAUGAAUGUUGAAUUGAAAUUUAGACGAUUCAAAAAUAGUUGAUAUGCAUUACAAAAUGAACUCCACAAAAUAAGUGUCAAAAUAUGUAUAAAAAAUGGACAGCGUGAAUGGCUUGGAAAUUGGAAUAGGUUUGAAAAUUGUGCUUUUUGUAGCAAAUUUUAGCAAAGUUUGCUUGGACUUUCACAACCGUAUAAAUUAAAGGGAAACUUGAUAUAACUCCAAUUUUUUGAGCCAAUAGUAGGAAUAGUCCAGUUUAUUAAAAUAAGUUCAAUUCUUUAAAUUUAAUUAUUUAGUUAUCAAUAAUUAUCUCUUAAAAGAAAAAACUUAUUGUAAAAAUCAAAUUUCUUCCUAAUUAUCUCUUUGAUUAUUUCUUUUUAUUUAUUUAUUUGUUAUUUCUUGUUCUUCCUCCUGCUUUAACCCAUUUAUAGAUUUUUUUUUUAAUUUUAUAAUCAACCUAUGUCACAGGUUAAUUGUAUUUAUCUACCUAUAUGACAUAUUCUUUUUCAUAGUCAACAUUUCACAGAUUAAUGUGUCUUGCUUGUAGAUAUAUUAUGUUUUUUUCUACCUUUUAGUUAGGUUUCAUAUCUCACUUAUAGGUAUAAUAUACAUUCAUAUAUUUGCUACUUGAGUUAGGGUAGAAUGUUUUGCAGAUAGAUUUAUGUUAGUAUAUUAAUUUUUUUUUGUUUAUAAGAUAUUAAUUAGAUAUUUUGGAGUUGAAAAAUGCAUAAUAUUAAAAGCUUUUAAUUGAUUUUUAAUAUUUUUAGAAAAUAUAAAAGGAGUAUAAAAGAAAUCAAAACAUAUAAUUAGAUAACGGGAGUCACUCCUAAAAACACUCUAUGUUUUUUGACCUGGAUCUUAAAGCCCCUAAAUUAAACUGUUCGCUUUGUUGGGAAAAAGAAGUGGCCCUAGUUUCCCUUUGAUUUUUCAAGCACGGUGGGAGACUGGUCAUAGUUUCUAGAUUGAUGCUCUAAUUCUAAUGUUAUACAACGCGUACGCUAUAAUAUUUUUAUCAAAAUAUUAGUUUUAGUGUUAUCAAAACAAUAUGUUAUUCUUACCAUGUUUUUGUAUCACAAUUAUAUACCACCUUAGAUGGUAUCUGAUGUGGACAGCCACAUCAUUUAAAUUAAUAAGCAUUUAAUUUCAAAAUGUUAAUCAAUAAUUAAUAAAAAGAUUGUUAAUUAAAUGAUGAUUGUGGUAUACAAGGAGUCUCCUUCUUCCUUCCUCUUUCCAUUCUGCUUUUUCUUCUUACCUCUUUUUUUUUUUUAAUGCCAGUUUUGUAUUGAUUUCUGUUGAUUUCCAUGAUUAUGGUCAAUCUUUAUAGAAUUUACUAGUAUGCCACAAUCACCAUUGAUUUCUAUCUCCAGACUCAUGCCCCGUAGCCCUAAUCCUCAUUCCCCUUCAAGUAUUUCUGUCUCCAAUCUUCUUUGGUACUCCAUGAUUGUUCAUCUCGUGAUAUUUUUUUUUUUGAUUAUUUCAUUAAGUAACGCUUAUUAGCUUUCAUGCGAAUUAGGAGUCAAAAUCAAAUUUGUCUAUCGGAUUAGGGUUCAUACCCAAUUAAGUUACUAACGCCAGAGGGAUUUUGAAGUAUGCAAUUUUCCUUAUUUAAGUGUUUUAAUUAAUAAGAAAAUUGAAAUUAAACAAUUUAGCUUGUCCAACUCAUCUGCCACCUAAGAUGGUAAAUAAAUGUGGUAUAAAAUUGUGGUAAGAAUAUCAUUACUCUUAUCGAAAUUACAAAAAAAAAAAAAAAAGCUGAUUCAAUAUUUAGUUAUUAAAAAAAAAAUGAUCAAGUAACUAUCCAAUACCCAUGUAUUGGGUGCUUUGUUUGAAAAUUUUCAAAAUGAUAUUGGGCUCGUUUGGAUAUGUUUUUAAAAUGACUGAAAGCAUUUUUAGAGAAAAUAUUUUUUUGAUUCCAAAAGCACUUAAAGUGCUUUCUGCAAGAAGCACCCGUUAUGUGCUUCUUCCUGGAAGCACUUUAAGUGUUUUUCCAGCAUUUACUUGCUUUUUUACUAAGGACUGGUUCCAAAAACAUUUUCACAAAAAGUGUUUUCAGUCAUUUUAAAAGCACAUUCAAACGAGCUCAUUGUUUUUCCUAUUUUAAUCGAGUGCGUCGUCCUCUGUUGAGAAUGAAUCUCAUAUUAUGGGAGGAGGGAUCUUGCAUGAAUGGGAGGAGGGACCUUGCAUGAGCUUAUAAGUAAGUUGGGUUACUCUCCAUAUUGCCAAAAGAAAUUUUAUUUGGACCCAGUUUUCCUCUCUCUAAACCCAACUUUAAUAUUUUGUUACCUAUAAACUCUCUAGUUUACCCUCAUAAAUUAUAAACAUAAAUAAACUAGAAAAAGAAAAACUCAUCAAACCCAUUUCCCAACUGUUCUGGCGUCUCUUCCCUGUAUUUGUUGGGUCUGUCUCCCUCCCGACUGUUUUUUUUUUUCUGAUAUCUCUGUGUGUUCCCCCACCUCUCCCACACCCACCAAUUCUUUGUGGUGGCUAUUCCACCAAACGUCCAGUGAAUCUUUCCAUUUUUCUUCUAUUGCGCGUGAUAGGGCCUUGCUAUUAAUAGGCAAAACUAAGCGGCAUCGUCGACUCCGUAAGCGACUUGUUGCAUAAGUCCAAAAUGGAGUCAAAUGGAUUUUGUAUUGGGUCGGGUUGUUGAAGGCGAUGGCUGAUUUAGCAAUCCCGCCUAACUAUUUCUAUAUGUAGGAGAAGGAAGAGGGAGGGAGGUCUGAAGUGGUGGUUGAGUGGUGGCGAUGUAUGUGGGUUCUCUCUCGGUUGAAUGGGUGUAGAAAGAUAUUUAAUUUUCAAUAUCUUAUUUUAUUUUGUAUAAGGGAUAAUAUAGGAAUUACAUAAAAAGUUUUUUUUAUAGCUAGGUGUAGAAAUAGUAUUGUUGGGUCUAAAUAAAAUUACCCUAUUGCCAAUUAGUUUUAUGGUGAAAUCUUAACUUUGUUCAUGCUUUCAUAGUAGGUUGUUCCACGUGUGAAGUCAAACAUCCACACGCGCUGCACGUCACCCCGUUGUGUUGUUCACGUGUUAAGCUUGAAAAUUCAUCACACAUGAGGGAGCGUGUUGAGAAUAAAUUCCACAGUUUAUAAGUAAGUUGUACUACUCCGUAUAUUACCAAUUAAUUUUGUGGAAUUCCGUCAAAGCUGAAUUUGACGGAAAAAAAUAACUUCAUGUUUGUUCUUAACUAUAAAGUCAGUGAUACACUAAUUCUGGUUUGUUUGUUUUUUCCUUCCUUCUUAAGGAAAUUCCCAAUCCAACCAAAAAAAUGAAAUUCCCAAGAGAAUAGUAGCACGAACAAUCGUAGCUUUCUUCUUCGAUAAGCCUUGGGGAAACAGAAAAGGGAAAACCGGACUUUAACCCUAAUUUCUCCCAAUGCCGCAGCACUCUCUAUUUUCUCUCUCGCUCUAUAUCGCGGUCCCUCUCUCUCGCCGUCCUCUAUUGCUCAAACUCAAUGUCUCCAACUUCCUCUGUAUGGUUCCCGAGGAAGAUGGUAAAACAGUAAGGGCAAGAAAUUGUGACAAGGUUAGAUUUGGGUAUUAAUCUGGUGGGGCUACAAUUCUCCAAUCCACACCCCUUUCAUCUGUGCUAGUGUUUGAACCCAAUAUUAGAUAACCGGUCCAUGCAAUCGAUGCCGUUGAAUGAGAAAAAUUCUAGGCCGUGGGAUCAAAUAUAAUGAUGUGGAUUAAAUAAGGAAAAUUUAAAGAGUAAUGAUAUUCAUACCAUGUUUUUGUACCACAUUUUCAUACCACCUUAGGUGGCAUUUGAUGUGGAUAGCCACAUCAUUUGAAUUAAUCAGAUUUUAAAAUUUAGUUGAUUAUUUAAUAAACUAAUAAUUAAGAAAAACUAAUUAAUUAAAUGAUGAUUGUGAUAUACGAGGAGUCUUUCUCGUUCAUUUCUUUGGGUUUUGCAAAUUUUUCAAAUGAUGUGGCUGUCUACAUCGGAUGCCACCUAAGGUGGUAUAGAAAUAUGGUAUAAAAAUAUGGUAUGAAUAUCAUUACUCAAAUUUAAAUGUUUAUCUUGGUUAAAUUACCAUGAUAAUAUUGUGGAAUUAUCUUUUGCAUAACGGAAGAGCGAGAAAAGUCCAAGGGUGUAGGGAAGUUGUGUGGUUGACUACCGCUAUUUUGAUGGUAUAAUCUGUAGAGUAAUAUUACAUUUAACAUCUAUUUGUAUCAUAUUUCUAAUAAAGAUAAGGACCAUCAAUGCAUAAAUAAUUAAACAAAUAUAUAAUAAGAGUAUCAUUUUUGUAACUAGAAUAGGAGAAGAAAGACUUCAAGAUGGGAUCAGCCAAAUAAUUAGCGUUAAGAUAAAAAUAUUGAAAGGAAAACUAAUGAAAAUGGCUUGAAAACUUUGAGUUUUAACGAUAAGGACAAGAUAAAGGGUAAAGUGAAUAGUACCAGGAUUGACUUUUUAAUGUAAAAAUAUAGUUUUUCGUUAAAGUGAACAUUACCGGGAACUUUUCGUUAAAGUUUCCAAUGAGAUAAUAUUGCAACAGCUGGCAUGAGACAAUGAUGGUAUAAAGAUGGCUACUACGGCCAAACUACUACAUAGGAUUCCAUACAUGCGGUCAUUAUUUCGACAAAUCAAUGGCUGCCGCAAUCAUGUGCUCAUUAUUCCGACAAAUCAGUAGCUACUUGCAUUGGAUUAGGAUUGCAUGCGUGUGGUCAUUGAAUGAGGAUUGCGUGCACGUGAUCUUUAUUCAAACAAAUCACUAUUGACCAUAUAUUGCAAUUGGUUAAUGGUAGGCAAAUUGAAUUUUUACAUCAAAUAAUGUGAUUGCUGAUAAUUGAAUUAUUAUUUAAAUGUUGAUUAAUAUGCUUAUUUUUUAUUUGUGAUAUAUCAUUUAAUUUGUACAUUUAGUUUACCUAACAUUACCAACUGUAAUUUGUAUAAAUGGACUGGUACCUAACAUAACCAGUUGUAAUUUGUAUAAAUGGGACUGUAAUUUGUAUAAAUGGACUGGUGCCUAACAUUACCAGUUGUAAUUUGUAUAAAUUUACUGGUCCCAAGAGCACAUGCUACUGCUCAAGAAGCAAAGUUCUUAUUUGCCCAAAAAAAAUCAUGGUUUUUUAAUUGAUGCUCUCAUUUUAAUUUACUAGCCCCUUACUUGGCCUUUUUUAUUUAUCAUUUUAUACAUAUUAAUAUUUUUUUGUAAAAUAUAUUAGUUUGAGUUUUAUUAAAAUUAAAAAUAAAUAAAAAAACUUAGUUUUAGUUUUAUCAAAUUAAAAAAAAAUGACUUAAUAUUUAGUUAUUGAAAUUGUAAAAAAGUGAUCAAGUAUUGGGUGCUUUGUUUGAAAUUUUUCAAAAUGAUAUUGUUUUUACCAUUGAAACCCUGUUAUAUACAGUGAUGGCUAAUUUGUCAAGUUCUACGAAGUUGGGAUACCCAGCGUUUUAGCAUAUAACAUAGCUUAGUAUUACAAGCAUAAUUAAUUAAAAUAAAGGCAAAAUAAGAGGAUAGCUUAGUAUUACAAGCAUAAUUAAUUAAAAUAAAGGCAAAUUGUAACAGCCCGUCCCUAAAAAUGACGAUUUUAUAAUCUUAACACGUGAGUUUAUGAAGAUGCCCUUCGAGGCAAAGUGUUGACUACCGCGUCGUGUCAUGUGAGACUCAUCUUCUUGGCGUAUUCUCGUUUUACUCGUCGCUACGGAUGCGUGGGCGCAAACGACACGUGAUUUGGAGCUAUAACAAAAGAGUUAUUAACAUUUAAAGUUAAGGACAUUUUAGUAAAUUAAUUAAUUUCAGAUUUUGUUGAGGGGAAAAUCUGGAGUGCCAUGUGGGUGGCCCAGAUUAAAGGAAAUGAGGAAUGGAUGGUGGAGGUGUAAAGGAAAGAAGAUAAAAGAAAAAUGAGAGGAAAUGUGUGACUAAUAGGGAGAUGAGAGAGUUAGGAUGGCCCAAUUAGAAACAAACGAAAGGAGGAAAAAGGAGAGAAGAGGGGAGCAGGGGAUCCCUUCAACCCGGUUCCACUUUCCGACCCGACCCGAUCCUUUUCAUCUUUUCCGGUGGUUUUUCGUCAGUUUUUCCGGCGAACCACGUUAUCUAACCCCGUUGAAAAUGUUCCACGACCUUCCCUCUACCAUUACAACCCAAAAUUGUAGAAAUUUAGCCAUGAAAGUAUGAAAACCGCACCGGUGGGUGCGGGAAACCUUUGUCGUCGAUUCUCCCAUUAUUGAAACGAUUUUCACCAAUUAUCACCACCUACAGCAUCCUCUUGAGGUCUGGAAUAAAGCCCAAACAAGUUUUGGGGCGUUGGAGUUCGUUUAAGGUCGAAUUGAGCACACCCAAAUUCAAGGGUUCCGUACCGUUCAUGGUGAUUUGAGGUGUUUCUCGGCCAAAUUGGCCUUAGUCACAAGUAUGAAAGUUGCUCCACUCGUUGAGAUCUUCAUUUAUGUGAAAUUUGAGAAUUUUUUGAAAUAUUUGGAUUUUCCAGCGAGUCGGGGUGGCGGACCGCCACCGGCAGCAGCGCAUGGCCAGUGGUCCACCAAUGUCAUUUUACGUUAAAUUGAUAUCUUGAUUUUAGAUUUGAUGUCUAUAUGUUAUGACUUGAUUAUGUGAACCUAGUUUGAUUAAGGUGCGUUAAUUGGUAAAAAUAUGAAACGACGAUCCGACCGUGGGAUCGUCACCAAACUUUAAUAUGUUAUAGUACAUAAUAUUUGAGAAUCAUAGGGACUGACAGAUAGGAAAUCCGAGAUACAGAUCUUCCCGAAAUGGAAUUGUAAGUUUGAAGAAUAAACGUUAACCGCCACUUUGUUUUGACUAUUGGUGGAGAUCCAACCGUUGGAUCAUAAUGAAAUUUUAGGAUGAUGUUUUAGAAGCAUAAUGUGGAUCUUUGGAAGUUACUGAUCGGAAAUCCGAGGAGUGAAUCUUCCGAAUUGAAUUACGUAGGGUUGUGGACCUUACCGUCGAUCGUUGACCGAUGAUCGACUUUUGGUCAAUGGGGCUUAAAUCAAUCUAAAACGUUUUUAGGGAUGUGUUUUACGUAAAUUACAUGAUCUAUUGAUAAGAAUUAUGAGAUGUGGUUUGAUAAUUGUCCUAGGUGCCGAUCGUUAGGAACGCUUCGAUGGUUAUGCUAGGAAAUUGUAGCACAGACUCCUUGUGAGUGAAUCUUUUCCUUCUUAUCAUAUAUAUAUAUAUAUAUAUAUAUAUAUAUAUAUGAUUGACAAUUCCACAAACGUUUAUAAAUUGAUUAUUGCAUAUAACUACUGUGAAUACUUUGAAGUACUUAUGCGAACUACGAAUGGCUUGAUCCGUGUUUAGGGUACGUAGGCAGUCUAACAAGACGUUAGAUGUAGUCAUACAAUAAUUGAGAUUAAACAAUUGAGAUAAAGCCUUGUUUGGGGAACUGGGCAAGGUGAAGGAAUUUGGUAAAAAGGUGAGAUUUAACCUUAUGAAUUGGUGAUUAAAUGUUGGUCAUAAAUCAAUGUGUAAAGAAUCAAGAAUUUGAAGUAAGGAAACGUAAGUAAUGAUAAUUAAUUAAACUAGUGUCUAGUUGGGCUUGUCACCUAUAAUUAUCCCCGAAAAUGAAUAAUUCGGGAGUAGGGCGUUACAGCUUCUGCAUUUUUAUGCCACAUUAUAUAUAUAUAUAUAAUUGGAAAUGCUAUAACAUGGUUGAGUAUCAGAUUUCAUCAUGGUUUAUCUAUAUGUAUAUUACCUGCACACAAUUAUUAUGAACGCGUUGAAGUGCAAAGGUGAAUGCACGACACCCAGGUAAGUUCAGGUGAGUUUAUGGUAUUAGUUGAAAUGAUGGGGUUAUGGUAUGACUACAUGUAUGUUUAGGUUGCAAUGAUAGGCAACUCCAACACUGUCGUACAGGUUGCCCAUGAAUUGUACAUGUUACAAUAGAUACAGUUAGAGCUCAUAAACCUACACCCCGGUGUUAGUACUCCCGCUCGUGGCCAGGGCACAGUCCUUCACGUGAUGUUCACCUCCCGCACCUUACGCUCACCUUGGAUCCAAGGUAGGUGCACAAUCAUGUCGUACCACUAUAGGUGGUUCCGACUCGUAGAUGACCCGCGAUUAUUUGCACAGUCUUCACGUGAUUGUAGCACUUGAGCGUAUUUAUUUACACCCAGUUCUAUUGUACAGACCACUUUAGGUGGUUCCGACUCGUAUGCAGGUAUACUUAUUAAGCUAUGGAUAAGUCGUACAGGUCACUAGAAGUGACUCCGACUUAUGAGCUAGCAUAUGUGAUGAGCUAGCAUAUGUGAUGAGAUAAGUGAUGAGUUAGUAUAUGUAAUGAGAUAUGUGAUGAGCUAGCAUAUGUGAUGAGAUAUGUGAUGAGCUAGCAUAUGUGAUGAGAUAUGUGAUGAGCUAGCAUAUGUGAUGAGUUAGCAUAUGUGAUGAGCUAGCAUAUGUGAUGAGAUAUGGGUAAGUCGUACAUGUCACUAUAGGUGACUUCGACUUGCGUGCUAGUAUGGGUUAUUAAUCACAUGAUUAUUGAUAUUACUGAUGAGAUGCUGUGUUGUGGUAUAUUUAUGAUCUUUCUGGAAACUAUGCAAGUGUUGUAACGAGGGGUUAUAAUGAGGUGUUGUAACGAGGGGUUAUAAUGUUUUAUAUGGUUUCUGUUAAAAUUUUAUUUCUAGGGUCACUCACCCUUAUUUUGUUUUCACCCUCUAGGUUUUAUUAGCUGAGCUUUCUUAUCGUCGAAGAUUCGUGGCGAUUCUUAGUAUUGGAGAUUAUUUCGAGAGUACGAUUCUUAAUUCACUUUACUGUACUUGCUUAAGCUGUAACGUCACGUGUGAAGUGGGUUCAUUUCCGCUUACCAGCGCAUUCUGGUAUUUAGGCACUCUUAGGUUUAAAUUUAUUCACAUUUUUCCACAUCAUCAAACUUUAUGGCUUUGUCACUCUUUAGGUGUCGGCCAGCACAGCUCGAUUUGGAGUCCUAGUGGACAUUCCGGGUCGGGGUGUGUCACAAAUGAAGAGGAUGGUUGAACUUGUUAAGUUUCUUAAGUGUGUCUACUUGAAGUGUGUUGCUAAUAAAUAUUUUGUUGUAGGCAUAAUUUACUGAACAAUUAUGGAGGCAGAGAGAGAGAGAGGGAAUAUGCGGCAUAGAGAGAGAAGAGAGAGAUGUGUAAUUGUGAGGUGUGUUCUAUUCCACCCCAUUGUACCUUUAUUAUAUUAGUAGGGAAAGUUAAUUCCUUACCCUUUUAGGAUUACAACUCUAAUAGGAAAAUAUCUAGUCUAAGAGAUAUGAUAGAAUCUCAUAAGGAUAUCCUAGAUAUGUUAGGAUUUACACAAUCAUAUUCCUAUUCCAAUAAGACUGCAACACAUUUGUAUUUUUUUAGAAUUUUUUUGAUAAUUUGUUGGUAUUCUCAAUUUUUGUUAACAUUGAAAAUAUAACGGUUCAGAUGAAAAACCUUUGGAAAUCCAACAGCUUGCAAGACGUUGGGCUGUGCUGAAGGAAGCUGGGCUGUCACGUGGAUGGGGCCCUCCCUCUCCCUCUUGUUGAUUCAAAGGGCGCAGGCCCGUGCAACAAUUGGCGAGGCAGCCCAUAGAGAUCCUGCGAUUCACCCAUUCGCCAUUUUUUCCACCGCUGGAGCACCAAAAUUCGGUCAAAAGGCAGGGGUAUCAAUGGCAAGGGCAAUUUGGCUUCCGCUGGAGGUGCUCUUUGUCGACUUUGUUUUUUCUCUCAUUUUAGCUUUUGCAGUAAUAUUGAAGUAAUCACUCCAAUUUUAUCCAAACUUUUGUUGUCCGUCAAUUUUUAUCAAAACUAUUGGUUAAUUUACAUAUUCAGACUAACCUUCUCAUUAUUUUUAGUAUUUUUAUCAUAAAUAAUAUCUGAAAUAGUCACAUUUUAUUCAACAACCACUCAAUUAAAAAUUAAUUAGUGUUGUUUCUAAACCAUUACAUCAAGCUUUUGUAGAUACACAUCAAUAUUGCAGCGAUCCGAGGCAUUGUUUUAGUGACGGUAGUACUUUCUACUCCUUGGAUUUGGUGAAUCGGAAAAGAGAAGAGUUACGAGUAAAAGUCCCUCGCAUUGUUUUGGGGAGAUGAAGAUGAUGAUCUUUUGUUUUUGUUUUUUAAUGAUUAAUCCACGCAGCAACAUAUAAUUAAAUUGUUGGGAUCUACUCAAGUUCCAUAUCACACACUAACAUAAAAUUUGACAAACGAAACGAAAUAUGUGUGUAGACAUCGAAAUUUCGUAAAUAAAUGUUGACCGAUAAAUCAAAGUGUCAACGCUCAUGUAUUACAUAAAUUUUACACGUAGCGUGUGACUCAACGAAAAUUGAAAUGAGUUGGAAAAGUCAUCAAAUAGGACACGUGUCAACACCUGGCAGAAACGACUUAUUUCAUCUGGGAUAUUAUAUUCAAAAUUAGCCAUUGGAAAAUUCUAUAAAUACAAGCCCAUUUCAUUCAUUUAAGGAGAGGAAUUCAUAUUACACCUUGAAGCUCUGAAGCUCUGAAACUCCGAAGCUCUCAAGCAUCCAGGUUCCCGAAGAAUCAAGAAAGUGUUCUUCGUUCUUCGUUCAUCGUUCUUCCAAGAUCAAGCCUCGACGGCCCUUGGAUCAACAAUCAUCCACCUUCAAGAUCAAGCCCCGACGGCCCUUGAAGAAAGCGUUCUUCGUUCUUCGUUCAUCGUUCUUCCAAGAUCAAGCCCCGACGGCCCUCGGAUCAACAAUCAUCCACCUUCAAGAUCAAGCCCCAAAGGCCCUUGAAGAACUUCCACCAAUUCAAGAUCAAGCCCCGACGGCCCUUGAAGAAAGCACCAUCGUUCAUCAUCCGUUCAUCCAAGAUCAAGCCCCAACGGCCCUUUAGAUCAACAACGUCGACAAAUCCACACAUCCAACCGUUCUUCAAGAUCAAGCCCAAAAGCCCUUGAAGAUCCGUUCAUCACUGUUCUUCAAGAUCAAGCCCAAAAGCCCUUGGAGAUCCGUUCAUCACUAUUCUUCAAAGAUCAAGCCCAAAAGCCCCUUUGAAGAUCCGCUCAAAUCCACCUUCAAGAUCAAGUCCACGGCCCUUGAAGAACGUUCAUCCUUAGAUCAAGCCCAACGCCCCUUUGGAUCAAUCGCACAUCCACAAAUCAACACCUUACGGAGAUCGAAUCAGAGGAUCAAAAUAGAGAGAGAUUGUAACCCAAAAUCAUCAAAUACAAAUAUUUGUUUGUGCGCGUUGUUCUUGUCUCUUUCGUUUCAGGAAUUUUCCGUGUUCACAAUGUGCUCUUGAAAUCAAAAUGAGGGCACUGCUCCAAGAACAAGAAGGGCACCUUGUCGAGGUCGCCAUCCGCCGUGAGGGAAAACCGGAAGAAGUUGGACAACAAUGAUAACAUCAAUUUGCGGCACCCAUAUCGGGACAUCACACUGUGAAAUAAAUAUUGAAAUAAAUACUCAAAACUCCUGGAAAGUCCUCGAGACAACAAACUUUCAUCUCCUUCAAACAUUUCAUUUUACUAAGUUUUAUCUUUGAAGGGAGGGAAAAAAAGAGAAGAGAGAAUCCUACUCCUUAUUCCUGAAUAUAUUCAAGAAUAGCUAUUGAAUAAAGAGAGAAUGGAGGGUGAUCGAAAGAGGAGGGAAGAGAAUUCUAGUUCCAAACAUAAAAAGGACCACAACUUUUAAAUUAUCAGCACAAUCAUCACCUAAUUGAAGAGACCAUUCACUGUGAAACAUAUUGUCAAUCAGUCUAUCUAUAUCUAUUUAUAUACCAUAUUUUUAGAGUAAGAUUCUCUCACCUCCUAUUACCAUCCCCUUCCAUCCUUUCAUCUCAUACUCUUUUUUUGUUGUCUUAUUCUCUAUAUAAAAAAAUUCAAAACAAGAUGUAUACGUGACGUAAUCGUAACCGUUUAAAUAAGAGGGGAUAGAAGAGAAGAGAGAUUAGGAGAAGGGAGAAUCCUACUCCCACAUUUUUCUUCUUCAUAAACAAAAGAGAGGUUCUAGAUUACUUGACUCUAUGCCUCAUUUUUUUCAUCAAGUAUUUGUGAUAAGUGGGUUCAUUUUCAAGUAUUUUAGUUUUUUUGUCAAAAUUGAGAAAACUGAAAAUCAAACAUUAAUAUGAAAAAUUAAAAAAUCAACAUAUAAUUAUUUAGAAAUCGCAAUAGAAAAGAAAAAAAAUGGAGGUUUGUGAUGAAAAAUCUUUUAUACUAAGUAAUUUAGUAUCCUUAUGCAUGAAGAUAAAUCAAUUUGUUCGUUACGGUCAUACUCUUUUUUGAAUUUUUGAACACAUUCUCCAUAGGGCCUUCUUAUAUGUUCCUUCUCCAAGCUCGGGUUAUGGAAGAAGUAAAAGAAGGAAUCGAAAAGAAAGUAUUGGUAACAACCGAUUUCAUUACGAGACAACUCUUGAUAUUCAUAUCAAUCUAUUAUGUACCUUUGCAUCUAGCAUUAGACAAUAAUUGUCAUAGCUUUACCAUAUUUUUUUGUUUCAUUUCUUCUGAAACAAUCUCACACACUUUUUUAUUAUGUGUCUACUACUAGGAAUUCAAUACGUAAUCUUAGCAUUCAAUAGUUAUUCCUAAAUAAUUUCAAUUUUCAAAUGAUCAACCAUUUCAUUUUACCAAGUUCAAUCAAUGUUAGUCAGAUUAGUCAACAUUUAUAUAUUUUGAUGCAACAACAAGAUGUUAUUUGUAACAAGUGAUUUUGUUAGUUGGUUAAUUGGUCACAAGUUAAUGUUCGGUUCAGUUUAGUUUUUCUCUCGAUUUUUUGUGAUUCGGUUUUUUCAAUUCUCUUUAGGGUCGGUUCGGUUUUGUUUUUUUAUUUAUACUUGAAUUUUAUUUUAAUUUAUUUUAAUUUAUUUUAUUUUAAAUCUGGAAACACCAAGAACAACACAAGCACAUAGUCAAUCAAACAACUAUCCUUCUCCACAAAUCAUAGUAAUAAUUACAUUCAUUGAGCUGAAAUGCAAAUAACUAACAAACUCACAAAAAUCAAAUAAAAACUACAAAUUGCUUACUCUUUUUCUUUGGGUUUCACUCGAAAAGUGUCGGUAAAAUUUAGGGUUUGCAAGAACGCAACUGAAAUCUAAAACGGAGGCCUUGUGGCCUAUGGGUUGCUAUUGAGUUCCAGUACAGAGAACCUUGCUUAAUCUCGAUCACGGUACAAAGUAUCGAGUACCUUUAGCACUGUAUUUUGGUAUGAUUGGUAGAACCAAAUUAAAAGCUAACAUCAACAACAACUACCAGAGACAAAAGCUCUUAUCAAUGCUUUGGAAACAUUUAUGUAUCUCCAAGUGUAAUGAUAUAAUUGGUUGGAAACUUGUGAUUUCGUAUCAAAUCAAUAAAAAGUUACAAUAUUGACAAUAUAUUAGCAAUUUUUAUGUUAAUUAUGAACAAGUCAAUCAUGUAGAACCAAAUUAAAAGCUAACAUCAACAACAACUACCAUAGACAAAAGCUCUAAUCAAUGCUUAGGAAACACAGUCCUGUAUCUCUAGGUGUAUUGAUAUAAUUGGUUGGAAAUUUAAAAGAAAAAUGGUGAUUUUGUAUAAAAUUGAUAAAAAGUUACAAUAUUGACAAUAUAUUUGACACACCCCGACCAAGAUCAAGGCAUGCUGGCCGUCACAUGAGAGUGACGUAACCAUGUGCACAGUGCGGAAGCAAUAAUGAUAAGAAAUAUAUGAAUAAUUAAAAACCGAAUCUACUAGAGUGCACUACUAAACAGGAAGUAUUAGGAGUAAGAUACAAAAGUAAAUACUCCUAAUCAGAGCAUAGAAAGUCUAGGUGCAAUCCAGUAGGACAAGUACUAAUUAUACAGUAUAAAAUGUCUUACAAUUAUUUAGAUAGGUCAGAACCGCCGAAGUCCUCACACCCAACAACUGCAAACUUACUUAAAACCUGAAGGGGCGCAAAAUAGAAAACGUGAGUGGGAAAAAACAAAUGUUUUACAAAACCAUUUCAUUUAUCAAUAUAUCUAACCCCUCGCUGUAAACAUGUAUAAUUUUUCCCAGAAUCAAGAUAUAAGCAUAUACAUAAAUAUAUAUAUAAAUAUAUCAAUUCAAAUCAUGCUUCACAUAAUCAUAUUCAUAUGUAUGUCAUGCCAAGAUAUAACAGAGUAAGCAACUCAGGUAAGAGUAAUUUCAUAGAAAUAUAACAUGUUAGCCGGAACCCCUGUAGUAGUCUGUACGGCUGAAUUCAUAGCUCAAAAGUCAAUCUAGCCGAAGUCACUACAAUGACCUAUACGGCAAUAUACUGCACAAGAGUCGGAACCAAAUGAAAAGAUCUGUACGACAAUAAUGGGUGUUGUUGAUGCACAAAAUCAGUGAGGACUUUGGUACAACAGAAAGUGUUAAGUUUGUGACAUUCUCUAGAUUACUCCGAUCACUAGUGUGGAUAAGUAUGUAAAUGGAUAAAGACAGGGAAGCAAACACAAGAUGUACGUGGUUCACCCAGAUUGGCUACGUCCAUGGAGUAAAUGAGUUCUUAUUAAUUGUGAAGGGUUUACACAAGUAUAUAGGUUCAAGCUCUCCUUUAGUGAGUACUAGUGAAUGAUUUAGUACAAAUGACAUUAGGAAAUAUUGUGAGAGAAUGAUCUCUAUUUAUAGAAGAGAGUUUCUAGUUUCAUUCUGACAUUGACACGUGUCAUGUUGUGAUUGGCUUCUGAUGUUGACAUGUGUUGCACUAUGAUUGGCUUUAGAUGUCAACAUGUGUCGCGUUGUGAUUGGCCUCCUGGUUUGAGGGAAACUCUUCUGGCUCCUUGACGGUAUAACGUUGAUCGAUGCUCAGUAGUUUCGGGAUUGGUCAAGUAUGGUACAAACAGGUGUAAUAUAAUCAUACUCAAUACUACUCUCACAUAAUAGCUGGGUGAUAAAUCGCUAGUCACCUAUGAGUCAGAACGAUAAUAAAGGUCUGUACGAAGACUGUGCACCUAAAUUGGAUCCAAUAUGACCAUAUGGUGCGGGAUGUGACAUUAUAUACAGGCUUGUGCCAUCACUGGCGGAGCUACACCCACGGCUACAGUAGGCUGUAGCCUAGGGAGGAUUUUAACAAACUGCUGGUAUAAUAGUUUAUAUAUGAGUUUGUUGUUGCUUAUUGUAUGUAUAAUAGCCCACAUAAAUCCUGCCAAAAUUAUUAGUUAAUGUGUUUCUUAAUUUAUAAAUAAUACUUUUAUUACCUUUUAUUAUUUUAUUAUUUUUAGGCUAAAAGUAAAAAUGGUAAAUUAAUACAUAAUUAGGUUUCUCCUAUUCCCCAUGCUUUUUACCUAUUCGUUCAAAACAAAAAAAUUAAACCCUCUACCCUAAGAAAAGAAAAACUAUGAAUCACCAUCAAAUUAUUUUCUAAUGAAAUUCAACACUAGAUAUGCUCUUCAUGUCUUCAUUUAACCUAUUUCUUGAUUCAAUUGUUCAUUCCAUAUAUCUACAGCACGACUUGAAUUGGUAUCCCCUAACCUUUUUUCUUUUGGGUACUUGUUAUCAACAAAAGUGAUAAUAUUUGUUCUCUUUCUAUUGCUUUUUUGUAUGCAUGUUUUAUUUGUGUAAAAAUUAGUUGGAAAGUAAUUAAUAAACUUGUUUGGAUUAUUAGUACUUCAUGUUCCUACUUUUAUGUAGAUUACUAUAUAAUUUUAUGUAGGCAAAAAAAAAAUUCAUAAGAUUAUAUGCUAAUGAUUUUAGUUAGCCCACCCAAGAAAAAUUUUCUGGCUCCGCUAUUAUGUGCCAUAACUCUGGCAAAAUCACAAUCACCCUAAGUGCAGUUUUAUGAGUUCAACGUUAUUCUAUCACAUAUCACAUCAUCGAUAAUUCACAUAACCAAACAUAACUCACAUGAGCUUACCUGAGCGUCCACAGUACCAUAAUUAUAUAUAAUGCAUCAUAUACGAAAUAUAAAUUCAUAUGCAUGGCAUUUAAGGUAUACUUUCAUUUAAACACAUAUUUCUGGGAAAAUAUCAAGUAUAUAAAUAUAUACUGAAAACCAAAAGCCCACUCAUUGGUAUGUCGAAGGGUCGUAGCCCCCGAGUCGCCUUUGAAUACUCUCGUCCUCGUGAUAAGUCUCACCUAUAUGCGAAUUAACUAUAAAAACGUUAUUUUAGAGCACAUACAAAAAAUUAGCUAAUAACUCUCAUACAAUGCUCAAUUUUUGUAUUUGAAUAUAUCACAGUGACCUACACAACCUCAAGAUCAUCCCUAAAUUUUUACAAUAUUUUUCUGACCCCUCACGCGCUGCCACGCACCGGCAAGGGCAACGCCUUACUCGCCCCCACGCGCGGCCACGUGACAAGCAUACUGAUGGCGUCAAUCAACAUCAUCAGGAAUAUUCUAGGGAAUAUUCUGUUAAAACCCAAUGGUAACUGUUAAAGAUGACUGACGGCAUGAGCAUAUUCUGUCAACCUUGACGGAAUAUACUCCUUUCUUCUCCGAUGAGUCGUCGGUCGCCGGCGACUUCGCCGAUUUCUUGGUAAAACUUUAAAUCGCUUAUUCUUCUUCGUUUCUUCGCCAUUUUUCAUGAAAUUGGUACCAAAAUGAAGCUAAUAACAUGUAGAAUCACUUUGUAUAAGUUUCAAGGCUUAAAAUCUACUAGUUUUUCCCUGAGAAAGCUCGAUAGUUCGGCUUACCUAGAUAUGCGUCGAUCUCAGCCCUCCGACGUCCAAUUCCUUCCAACGAAGUACCCCAAGACUCGUGAGGACCUCCUUAAGCUUCCUAUAAGCUUCAAAUUCCCUGAAACACAAGAUUUUACGUAUGCAUGAACAAUGCACAAAGUCGGAGCUAGGGUUUCCACGUGAAAUCGAAGGUUUCCUUACCUGAAAAUGGUUCCUUUGAAUUCGUAUGGUUCUCACGAACACAAUGGUGAUCUUAAAACCUUCGAUCUACAAGGUUUAAGAGGGUUUCUGGGUUGGUCCGUACGAAGAAGGGAGAGAGAGAAUGAGAAUCUGCGAGAGAGAGGGCACGGGAAGGAAAGAGAAAUAAGAUAGGUGUGUGUAUGGUCCAAAAGCCACCAAUCAAAACUAAGAAAAGUCUUAGUUGUAAUUGGGUCACCAAUCUAAAACAAUUUAACCCAAUAAUAACUUACACACAUCAUUUAACAUCCGAGGGUAAUUCCGUCAUUCUACGUCAUCGAGAAUAAUCUUCCGGGACGGGCUGUGACAAUAUCAGCAAUAUUUAUGUUAAUUAUGAAUAGGUCAAUCAUGUAUUUAAUACUUAAAUGUAUUUAAAAUAAACACCUUAUCAAUGUUUUCUGAACUGUGCUCGAUUUUUCUCCUUCGCUUUGGUUCUGUCCCAUUGGAUUUUUCAAGCAAGAUUUUAUCAAGGCAACUAUCAUUAACUGUGAACAUAAUUUAUCAUUGAGACACGAACAUCCAAGGGGGAGUGUCGUGGAAAAAAAUGUAGAUAUCUUUAUACGUUGUAUGGUAGUAAACCAUCAUAAACACCAUAAAUAUGUAGAAACGCCCUUGCGGUACCUUUGAAUGAUAACUCAUGUAUUUGUUGCCCUAUGUAAAGAUGGCUAAUGAUAAUGGAAGACUAAUUUUCUCAUCCCAAUCUCUCCUGUCUCUCUUAUUCUCUUUUCUCUAUAUUUUAUUUCCAACAAGUUGUGUUUUUUUUUUAGUAUUGUUAAGCAACCCAAUAGAUUUUAAUCGUAGUCUUUGUUUUUUUUCUUUUAUAUUUUUAAUCAAUUUCAGUUGCUUAUCAGUUCUAGCUAAUUGAGCUCUUUUACAGCAAUUUUUUUCUUUAAAUAAAAUUAUUAUUAUUAAAAAGAGUGAGAAAAUUCGAAAUUGUUACAAUAAUUUAAAAAAAAUAGGAGUUUCAAAUCAUGAAGGUAGAGGGAGUUAACAACAUUUUAGGGGGGGGUGUAGUCAAACUAGGAUUUUGAAGGAUUUUAAAAGUGAUAGAUUUGAUAGGAUUUAAGAUGAUUAAAGACUCUUACAAAAUUCAUAUGGAUUUUAAAGAAUAUGAAUGGAUUGCGGUGGAUUGUGGGGGAAGGAUUUGAAAUCCUAGGGGGUGAGGUUUGAUUCUUUUUAGUUUUGGUUAUAUAUGGUAUGCUUUCAAAUCCCAGAAAAUCCACAACUUUUUAAAAUCCUUUAAAAUCUUAAUUUUUUUAAUACACUUAGAUUUGGAUGGAUUCUAAAAUCCUUUAAAAUCUUUUAAUUGACUACACCUAGAUUUGAAUGGAUUCUAAAAUCUUUUAAUUGACUACACCUAGAUUUUAAUGGAUUCUAAAAUCCUUUAAAAUCUUUUAAUUGACUACACUAUGAUUUUAAAGUCUUUAAAAUCCUCUCAAAUCCAAGUUUGACUACACCCCCUAAAGAUUUUAAGGAAAACUAAUGAAAAUGGCUUGAAAACUUUGAGUUUUAACUAGGGGUGGGCAAACGGGUACAGGAACCGCGGGUAGGGGUGGGUAAUUCAAGUUCGGGGCAGGUAUGGGACAUGUCCAAUAUUUCUAAACACAAAACGGGGCGAGGCUGUUCGGGUAUAUGAAAUUAUCGGGGCGGGGCGGGUCUUAAAAUAGAAGGGAACGGGCCCCCAGCCUGACCCGUUUCUUUUCCUCAUCCCUAGUCUUCUCUAUCUCUCUUCCCCGACACUUUUCAUUUCACUCAAACCCGGCCCAUUUCUUUUCCUCAUCAGUCAUCCCUAGUCUUUUCAAUCUCUCUUCCCUAACUCCUUUCAUUUCACUCGUACCUCGAGACCUCCUCUUAACUCGCUCCCAGCCUCCCACCGUCCUAGCUCCGUACCUCGCCAUCAUCAUCGUCAGACCUCCAUCUCUCCUGAUUUACUCAUGUCUUCCUCGCUGCGUCCGCCGCCAUGUCUCUCUUUCUGUGACGAACUUAAAGGGACGGACGAAGUUGAACAACUCGAAACGACGCCUCUUCUGUCUGAAUUAGACCCAUAUUUGCAGCGCACGACUCUGCUCAUAGUCCUCUUCGGUUUUAAGGUAUUACGUUUUAGAGAUUUAGGAUUGAAAAUUAAAUUAGGGUUUUCUAGAUUUAGGGAUUUUGUUGGGUUCUUGAACCUUGACCUCUGUUAUGUUCCAAUUUCAAAUAUAUAUUGAAUUGAAUUUGAAUCGACUGUGUUUGAAACUUCUGUUGAAUUAAAUUGAAUUUGAGCAGGAGAAGAGGCAGAUGUGGGUUGGGCAAUGUCGAAUCUCAUUGUGGGUGGUGAGGUGGGCAUGGCGGGCGACAAUAUUGACUGGCAAUGGUACGGGCGGUGCUAUUAAGUUGCAGAAGAAUACGAAGGAGGGGGUGUGGGCAUGGGUGGAUAUCGCAAGCUCAAUUGAAUUUUUUCUGGUUUUGUUUGUGAUUAAUUGCUUGUAUAUGAUAGUUAUUGAUGGAUCUUGACAUGCCCAUUUAAUUGUUAUUGGCAAUGCUAGUUUGAUUGUAACAAAUUCAAACCGAUUGAAUUGUAUCCCAGAAAAAAAAAUCAAUAAAGGAACUGAGGACCCGGCCCGAACCAGCCCAUUUCAACCGGGCCAGGUUAGGUUCGGUUCUUAUAUUAGAAAAUGUUGUUCCCGGCCCGUUUCUCUUAAGCCCGGAUCCAGUCCGAUCACUUCGAAAUUGGCCCCAACCCGGCCCGGGCCCACCUCUAGUUUUAACGAUAAGGACAAAAUAAAGGGUAAAGUGAAUAGUACCAAGUUUGACUUUUUAGUGUAAAAAUGUAAUUUUUCGUUAAAAUAAGAUUUUAAUGGAUUCUAAAAUCCUUAAUUAAGAAAUUAGGCUUCAACCCAACUCAUCUUUGCAACGCCGGUUCCACUUCACAUCAACAGGCAAUGUUUUCUCCUCAACAAAUAGUAUUCUUUUAUGAGACAAAGACUAAUGAGGGUGAUAUAUAUAAUUAAUAAUAAUACUUGUGUUCCCUUUGUGAGUGAAUGCACUUAUUUUACCAUUCUCUAAUAAUGUAUCUUUAUUAUAUAAAUUUAUAUCAUGUGGAUAUCUUCCUAUAAAAAAGUUAUUCAAAUUGGAAAUCCUUACGUCAUCAAAAUAUAUAAAAAAAUGGACGAUCUCAUCGUAAAUAUGUUAGUUACUCACACUAUAACUUUGUAUAUUCCCUCACGUAGGAAACGCAAUAAUUAUCCUCUAAUUAAUUCUUCUUGAGAGUAGAAUUUUUAUUGUUGGUUUUUCGCAACCUUCAGACCUAAAGCUGAUAUGGACCUCUCAUUGUUUUUUGGGUUGCCGUUCUUAUUUUGCUUGGUCCUUUUACCUUUUCUAUAGUUGUUUAUCUAGUUCUUUUGAGCCUCGUACUAAUUUUUAAUGUAAUGAAAAUUAUCUUCGUGAUAAAAAAAAAAAUCAUUAGUCCUCGUAUGAACAUGCGAUGUAACACACUUUCAUGGAACAACAGAUGAUAAAGACGAUAUCCAAAUUUUCUCUGUGUUAUGUGGACUUUCCCAACCAAAUAAAUAAUAACCAAUAAACAAAUAAAUAAGAGUUUAACUUCAAACAUUGAGAAGCGAAAUUCCAACACUACGAGCCUAACUUUUGUCUUCAUCAUCAUCAUAGACUAGUCUCCUAUCCAUCAACUCCUACAUCAAUUUUUUUUUUUACUAGAUUGUAGCUCACUUUCAAAAGAGUUACGUAAAGUAUUUAAGCACCAUAAAAGAAAAUUAAACGACAACGAUUGACAUAAUAUUAGUAGUAUCAUGGUCUAAAAUAUUCAUAAUAUCUUGAUAUUUUUAUUGAAAUUUUCGUGUUUUUAGACUACCUAUAUUUUCAAUAUCAUCGAUAUUUUAAACCUUGCUAAGUCACUCAUGUAUCUUACCAUGCAAUGUAUAAAGUGUAAAAUAUUGUACUAAUUCAUUAUAUAUAAAUGAUUAUAGUGUGUUUAAACUUCUUUCAUUAAUUACUACAUAUUUUCUACACUCACAAUGUUUGCCAGCUCGCUAUAUAAUCAACUUAAAUCAAUUAUAUCUAUCAUGUAAUGCAUUUCCUUCCAAUUUUUUGUGAUAAACUAAUAGAUAAUUGACUAAAUAAACAUCCUGCAAAGUUUCAAUAAAAAUUUCCAAGUUUUUCUUACAAUUUCCGUAGUUUUUAUUCAAUUUUUAUCGAUAUCGAUAAUAUCCCGAUAUUUCCAUCGAAAUUUCCGUAUUUUUAGACUACUGAUAUUUCCGAUAUCAUCGAUAUUUUAUACCUUGGUAGUUAUACAUUUUAUCGGCCUCAUUUUUAUGCAACUUAUACAUUAAAUUAUUGUCAAAAUGUACAUAUAAAGUAGCUGAUCAACGAUGAGAUUUUAGGCAACCAUUUUCUUCUACGACGUCAAAGGUUGUAGAGGUGGCCAUGUGCACUACAUGCGUAAAUCAACUAGGGACUUGGAUCCUCUCUUAAGCCCAAGGAGAGGAUCCUCCUAACCAAAUGACUUGGAUUGUUGGAUGAAAAUCUAACGAUUACAAACAGAUGAUCUCUUUAAAGUUAUAAUAUUUAUUACCGUUGAAUUUUCAUCAAACGGUCAAAUAUCAUUGGUCAAAAGGGUCCUCUCAUUGGGCUCAGAGAGGACCCAAGUGCAUCAACCAGAACUAUUGCUAUUAUAACAAUUCAUGAAAUCAAUUAAACAAUAAUUUUCCUUCUGGCAGGCAUGUUAGUUAUUUCUUAUUUGGCCAAUUGCCUAGUGGAUUUGGUAGAUUUAACCUCUCCACCACAAACACAUUUAAAAAUUUCCAGAAAUCCGUAACGUAAAAUUUAAAAAUAAAUAUUAAUAACAGCAAGUUCUUUUCACCGACCGUGACCGAGAUCUGUCACAUAUCCAAAAUGUCACCUCCUUAUCGCAAAAACCAAAUUUGACUUGGGAUAAAUACCGUGUACAAAUUAAACGCGUUUCUCUAGCUUUUGCGUAAAGAGGCAACCCAACACUAAACUAGGAAAACGUUGGGUUGACAAAGAUACCAUGAAGAAUAAAGGGGUUAUGCAAUCCACUUUGCAAGAUAAUCAAAGUUUCCCGUUGUAGACUUGUCUUAACCCAACACUAAACUAAGAAAACGUUGCUUUCCCGUUGUAACAUGAAACAACAUUAAACAACAUUAAACAAUAUUAAAUAACAUUAAAUAACAUAAAAAUUAUACAACAUAAAAAAAACCAUUUAACAACAUAAAACUUAAAAUGCGUACUUCUUGCUUCUUGUGGCCUAAAGAUGUGCAACAAGAUCUUGAUGUAGGUACUUGUUUGUGGCACGAAAACGUAUCAUCCUAGCCGUUGGAUUUGAAUUUUUUUUGUUUUCGGCCAAAAAAUUUUAAAUUUAAAAGUUGAAGAUGGUGAGAAAUAUGAUCCUACACUGUUCAUUAAAAUAUUAAUUUCUUGAAUGACCAAAAGGCUAAAACAAGCCAUCCUUCGGUUGGAGAUGCCUAAGGAGAGACUAGAGAUAGAGAGUUUCCUAUAUAUGAUUUUCAUUAACAAGAUUGAAAUGAUUUCAGAGAGAAGAUCAAGUAUGGUUAUUUUUAUUUUGUAGAGUGUAGACAUUAUAACUAUACAUUCAUAAUAACAUGAGUAAUGUUAUAUUUAUCACAUUUGUACUCUUUCUCUGAUAAAGGUAGGGUUCAUCAACACAUGUGGGUUCUAUUUGCCCAUCAACACAUGCGGAUCUCAUUUUUAUUAGAAAAAUAGUACAAAUAUGGUACGGAAAAUAUGAUAAGAUCGCAAUUUUGUAAUAACAUAUAUACUCAACUAUUUAUAUACCGACCCAUCUCCUUUUAGUGUAGAUAAUAUCGUUUGUUAAAAAAAAUGUUGAACUUGUCAUAAUCAUUGAAUCCAUUUACCAUGAACAAACGGCAGUUUACUAAACUUGCCCUCAGAGUAUAUAUAAAAGGUGAAUCACAAUCUAUUGCAUUAAUAUAAGGAAACAAUUUAUAGGGUUUGACGGGUGACUUAAUAUGCUAUAUGGCACAAUGAAAAUUAAGUUCACACUUUAUCCCAAAUAAGGUGUUGCACCUUUAAUUUAUGGAUGCUGGUUUGACGUGUGACCGAAAUAAUCAAAUUGUAGCCAUUAAUCAUUUUACAAGUAAUAAUAUGUAGUUUUUACUGUUUACGAUUCACACAACAAUCUGCUAGGAAGUAGAAAAUGCAGUACUUGUCCCUCUCACAGAAGUCAUGAAUAAUUAUCAAAUUCAAAGAUAAAGAAAAACCACACAAUUUACAAGAGGAAAGAAAAUGAAGGGAUAAAGAAAGUAAGAAAGGAAUACCUCUAUGGGAGGACUCUUAUUUGCUUCAGAUGCCUACAAUAUUCAUCAUAUAAACACUGAUUAAGUAGUCAUCGAAAACCAAAACAAAUGUCGAACAUAGGGUGAAAAACAGAAAGAAUAACCGCAGCUCAUCAUACCAAUAGAGAUAGAACUGCCCGAUGCCCAAGUAUGACUGAAAAAUGGCAAUCCAAACAUGGCGCCUUCUAGCUCAUCAAACUGUCAAAACCUAGGUUCCACCAAAAAGAUACAAGUCACCUAGUUACUUGUAAAAUAAAAAUCUGUUUCAAAAUAGUGGAAAAUAUUAUUAACAUUGUUCAAAGUCCACAUUGUUGUACCUACCAAGAAACAAGAAGGAUUGUAUCUUAUCAUGAAAAAGAACAUAGGUACCUUUUCAAUUGUAAUUGUACAAAAAUGAGAGACCACUUCCGAACUUCUCUUGGAACUUCAAUCAAUUUCUGCCCACUUUUAAAUGCCUUGACAUACUUAAGCCUAUUUCUUUGAGCUUCAGUUUUGGCUUCUGAUGCCUUUAAAUUUCUUAAAGAUUCUUACCAAGUUUUACAAACUCACUUCUAUACAACCAUUUGUCAGUAUACAUACCAUUUUCUUUGAGCUUCAGUCUUUGCAACACCAAAACCCCCCAAAUAGACCCGGAAUUUUGCAAUGUGCAGGGAAUAUACAAAAAAAACCCUCCUAUCCAUCUAAAACGAAAUCAGAACCCAAACCACAAUCAAAAUCCGUAAAAUUAAUUUAGCCAACCCUAAAUCUAAUAAUUCUAACAAAUAUUAUAGUAUCAAUUGAGAGAGAAUUUGAGAAGAUACCUAGAGAUGAAAGGAAGAGCGUUUCCUCUGAUAGGGGUUCCGUGAAAGCAUCUGUUGACCAGAAAAGAAAAGGCAAAAAACCCCAAAUUACAUAUCAAGCAAUUAUAGAUAGAUCGAACCUUGAAAAUUGAAAUUUCAAACAAGAGAAAGGUUAUAAACUUACAACGAUCUGGGUGUUGGUUACUGGGUUUGGAUUUGGGUUUCUGAUAAGAGAGAGAAUCGUAUGAGGAACCGAUAGAGGAACUGCACCGGCAACAGAGAGCAACUGAUAUGGUGGAGAAUAGAGAUGGGCAAAAUAUCCCGGUUAUCCGCCCAUUUAAAGUUCACAGUUACGGUUAUGGUAAUUGAACGGUUAUGGGUACUACCCGUGGUUAUAACGGGUAUCUAUUGGUUAUGGGUAUUAUCCGCGGUUAUAACAGGUAUUCAUUUACCCAUUUAAUUUCAUAUAUGUAAAAUUUAUAAUAUUUUUAACAGUUAUAACGCGUUUUUGUAUUUGUUGCCAAACUUUUCGUAUACAAAAAAUUUGAAGCACAAGAAGCCAACAAGGAGAAAGAUCAAAGAGCUUACUUGAAGCUUAUGAUCUAUCCUGCGGUUAAUAGAAAGUACUGGUAUUAGUGUAGAAAAAUGUUUGUUUUUAGAAGCUUUAUUUUGUAAUCAUAUGAAUUAUAAUUAAAGACUUGCUUGGGUGUAGUAAAAAAAUAUCGUUUGUAAACUAUUAUUUCAAUUAUUAGAAUUGUAUGAUGACCUAAAUGAUUAAAAUAGAGAAAUGCAUGCUAAAAUGUAUUUAUAACAGUGUUUAAUUGUCAGAUUUUUUUUUUUUUUGUAAUUUUCAAGUUGUUAAAAAAAACAUGCAGAGAGGUGAAAAAAGGGAUUAAAAAAUGAUAAACGGGUUCAAAACGGGUAAACGGGUAAAUGAUUAUGGUUAAAUAGGUAAACGGUUAUGGGUAAAUGGGUACACGGUUAUGGGUAUGAGUAUAACCGUUUAUGCAAUUACCCAACGGGUAAACGGCUAUGUGGGUAUGAACAUAAAUGGUUAUGAGUAAAUAACCGCGGUUACCCGCCCGCUAUAACCAUUGCACAUCCCUAAUAGAGAACAUACGAGAAUAGCCGCUUGGAUGGUCAAUCCAAGAAGAGAAAAUCUUGCCACAAUCACGGUACUUGAAAAAAAAAACAAUUUUAAAGGAGGGAAACAAUCGCGCCUUUUUUUUAAUAGACUCUGUCGACGAUAUUCUUGACAAAUAGUCGGGUGAGCUUAUUUUUCACAACAUUUUAUUUAGGACUAGGUUCGGUUGGCAAAUCGUGUCAAAUUUCUUGUGCCAUUUGCCAGCCACAUAUACAUAAUUACCAAAAAUCAGUUACCGUUCGCCAACCAUCUUCUUGCGGUUGCCAAAAAUCGGUUCAACCAAAAUGAUUGGCUGGUUCGGUUGGUAAAUGGCACAACCGGUGGUUUCCACUUCUUCCUCGCUAUCUUCUAGUUGCAAGGGCUCAAUUUGAUUUUCAGAUUGGGAUGCUUGUUCGGUUGCAUUGUGUGGUUCAUUUUGGGUUAAUCCAUGUUGUGCACUAGCAAUUAAUUGGCUAGACUCCAUCAUCCUAAACAUAAGCAACACAUAUACAUUCAAAAUCAUAUAUAUGUACGUGUAUAUAUAGUAUCAGUAAUCAUCAUGUUAUCAAUUUUGUUAACAAUAUUUUCUAUAUUGAUUAUGGCAUGAAUCAUAUACAUAUACAUAUAUUUUUUAAACCCUAAAACUAAGGAGUUAUUUAUUUUCUAAGCCCUAAAAUUGAGGAGUCAAGCAUGUAAAAAAAUACUUAAAAUAUCUAAAUAGAAAAAGAAAAAAAAAAAAAAAAAUAUAUAUAUAUAUAUAUAUAUAUAUCGGUAGGUAUGGCAUACCGCCGACAUACAAAAUCAAUUACCAAAGCCAUGCCAUUAAUUGUCGGUUCGGUAAAAUGCCAACCGAUUAUGAAAAAAUGCCAAAACUAUACCAUACCAUUUUGAGCCAACCGGUAUGGUUCGGUCGGUAAAUCGGCUUAUGGCAAAAUUUCUCACCCCUAAUUUUAUUUGUCGCCUUAAACCUAUUGGUUUCUAGCCUACAAUUUGGAUAUUUUGUUGGGGAAAGAUUUUUGUACCAAUAAAAUUUUGCUUUGUCAGCUUAGGAUUUGUCGGCAAAAUGACAUUUUCUAGUCGUUAUAAUAUUAGGUAGAUCAAAUUUGUAAACUAUGUGAUGUGUCACCAAUAGGAAAAAAAUUCAGUGUGCUGAAAAUACAGUCUAGAACACCAAGUGUCAUAAUAUAUACUUGGUUGGAAAUUUUUUAUUUUCAAGUUUCCAACUAAUUGUAUUGUAACAGUUGGUGUUCCAAGCUAUUUUCUCGAUGCGUUGGAAAAUCUCUUCACCAAUUAAAAAUAAACAUAUUAAUUAACACUUAAGUAAUAAUCAAAGUAUCAACAACUACGUCAUAAAAUUUACGAAAUAUGAUCUUAAUUAAUGAUCUCCAUGGCAUUACCCUUUAUCUUAGCGUAUACGUACGCCUUCACAUGUUUAUUUGCUGAUAUGCAGCUUGAGUAAAAAUUUCUUUUUAAGAACAUAUAUGUGAAUAUAAACAUAUAUAUCUAGUGAUCCAUGUUGCGUUAUUUAAAAAUAAACAAAUUAAUUAAUUAAUAAAUGAACUGUGUGCAUGUCUGUGUAGAGUAAUCCAUAUGCAUGCUUGAAUCCUGAUCACCACGAAACCAUAAUAUAAGCUACUCAAGGCCCGGAAGCUAGGAUUGAAGAGAAAAACACCCAGUCAGAUUAAGCCAAUAUAUCAAAGUUAAUACUUCGAAAUGUAAGCUUUAAGAUAGAAAAAUCACUUACUACCUUGAGCAGUCGAGCUUCUUCAAUGGCAUGAAGCUUUUAGCAUGAGAUUGACUGCAUCACAACUAAAAUUUUCUCUUGGAAACUACAUAAGGAAUAGCAUGUAUACCUAUAACGUUGAGAAAGUACGCCAAUUUUUUCCUUCUGCACAUUCAUGUUUAAAAGUAAUCCUCAAAUGAACUUGCCCACAAUGAAAUGCAAUUUGAGGUAGUCGAGUGUGUUCCAUUUCCAUUCCAUGGGAAUUACUACUAAACUUUGAGAUGGUAAAGGAUUCAUGAAAUUUUUUACUUUUGAGAUAGCCUCUUUAACAUUUCUCGACUAUAACAAUGAGGGAAUACUUCACCUUGUAUCAAACAAGGGAGAGCGAAAAUCAACUACUAAUAGCAUCACAGAGCCAGCAGAAGAUUGAGGAGGCCAUGAAGAGGAGAGAGAAAAUACACUCUUUUUUUUUGUAAGGACAGAGAUAAUACAUUCAGUAAGGGGUACUGAUGUUUAUAUGCAAUGCUGAUUAGGUUUAAAUAGUCCUAUUUAUUCUGUACAGUGCCAAUAUUACCACCCGUUAGUACACUUUCAAGACACUGUACUCCAGUGUGUGCGCUAUGCAGUACGUAGUACUCCUCAUUUUUUGGGGAAAUUCAUUAUUGGUCUUCAUAUCUUCUUUAUUUUCCUUUUCCUCAUUGUGCCACGUGUUUAAAUCACUAAUUGUAGGUAAUCUUUCAAUUUAAUUAAAUCUUAUGUAAAAAAAGAUAUUUAAAUAUCAUUUAGUAUUACAAGAUAGUGAUAUUCCUCUUUAGUAUAAAAUUUUUAUAAUUAAAAGCGUUCAGUUUUUUAAUCUUCAUUUGAAUACUAUCUAUAAAGAAAAAUUAUUCGAAUAAGAGAUCGUUUAUGCAUUCAAAUGUACAAAAUGCAUCGACAGUGUGAGAACGAAUUAAUAUAUUUUUGAUGAAGUACAAUUAUUGAAUACAUUUGAAUGAUCAAAUGAUAUAUGAUUCAAAAUACAUAUUAAGAUAAUAAAUAUAAGUGAAUUGUUAUUAGCACUCCAAGAAUCUUAUUAUACACUCUAAAUUUUCUAUAUUUUGAAUGAAAAAUAAAUUUAUGAAGAGUGUAGAAUGAGAUUUUUUAAUGCUAAUAACACUUCUCUAAAUAUAAUUAUGAAAUUAAUAAAGUAAAGAUACAUGACCUCGUGAAUGAUGUAUGUAUUAUUCAAAAAAUUAUUAAAAACAAAUUGAAAAAGGACGCUGUUGUUGCCACCACUUAUGCAAUGAUCGUCGCUGCCAUCACCAACCCCCAACACCCCAUUACAGCUCAUAAAAGCACAUCAUAAGCAAUUUAUGAAAUAAAUUUACUGGAAUACUAAUUUCCCCCUUAGUUUAGGUCACCAAUGUUUAAAUUUAGGGGUGUGAUAUGCACAUACCUUUUUUUGCUUCUCUCACACUUUUUUUGUUGUUGUCGAAUCAGAUGAAUUGAAGAAGAUCAAUUGACAGAAAUUAACAAGGGGUGUAUGAAAAGUAAAAAUGGAUGUGUAGAUAACACAUCCCUAAAUUUAUCACAACUUUCAUUCCAAAUUUAAUUUUUAUGCGUAGUUUUGUUUGUUCAAAUUUACUUUGACAUUUCAAUUAGUAUUAAAAUCUAAUUUAAAUUUUAGCGUUCAAGCUAGAAAAAGUGUUCCAUUUAAUAUUUAAUCUCAGUUUUUCUCUUUAUUCUUUUAUUCCGAUUUGGUUGCAUCGUAUCUCCAUUUUUCUCGGUGUUGUAUGUUCAUAAGGCCUGGGAAACGUUGGCACGGAGUGAAGGGUACUCACUUUUUGGCCCAAAAUGCAUAAGGCAUGUAGAUAUGUUAAUCAAAUUUUGUAAACUAAAGGAUAUAGAAGUUGAUACUUAGAUUAUAAUUUAAGAUAAUACUAAAGAGACUAAAUUUGCAAACUAAAUGAUGUGUCACCAAUAAAAAUAAGCACGUUUAUCAACGCUUAAGUAAUAAAUCAAUCAUCAACUUUCAUGUCCUUUAGUUUCCAAAAUUUAAUAUACAAAUUUAGUCUCCCAAGCAUUACUCUAUUACUUAAGUAUUGAUUAACAGACUUAUUUCUUAUGGUGACAUAUUAUUUAAUUUACAAAUUUAGUCAACCCAACAUUACUCUUUUGAAAUUGUCUUGUCCACUGAUAUAAUUCUAUUUUUCUUGUGAUCAAAACUUCAAAUGUUAGCAAGUCGCACGUAAAGUCACUUCUGAGAGAAUGUGCUCACAUUGUAGUUGAAAGAUUAUGUGGCUAGCAACAUUACAAAUUUAAUUUGGUAUAAUUUAAAAUAUAGAUUGAGGAAAAAAUGAUCACAUUAACUAGAAACUGAAAAGGUUUCAGCACAGUUUGUUCAAGCAAGAAACUCAAUUUUGAUGCUACCGAUCUUAACAGCCUGAGCGCCGUACCUGGGCACUAAAGUCACCACCACACUCUCAUCAUCUUCAGCACCCAAAUCCUCCAACAGGUCCGUUAACCCCAACCUUAAACAACUCUUGCUCUUUUCCUUCUGCUUAUGUGGAACACUCACAAAACUCCCAGCAAACUCGCUCUUGUCGGGUCCACUCGGUGCCGCAUCCUCAUCGUCCACGUCAUUCACAUACACAUCAAACUUCACAGCCACAUCUUUGUCAAGCUCAAUCCCCUGAAUCACCAGUAUCUCCUCCUCAUCCUCUUUCUCCUUCUUGCUCCUCUUCUUCGGCUUCGGCCUUGACACCACCGUACUUAUCUUUGUCUCCAAAUUUAUUGGAAAAUCUUUACCCGCCACCACCUUCCCCGAUGACGUCGUCUCAGCGGCCUUCGCCACUCCAGCCGCCUUUGCCUUUCUCGCAAGCUUUGUCCGACGUGGCGUCGGUCUAGACUUGAGCCAUGGAAUCUCAACAUCUUCAUACGUAUACCCUAGCUUUUUAUUAUCAAGAGUGUCCCUCACCGUGACCCUAACAAGCUCAGCAUUCUCGUCAUAAAACAAAAACCCCGUAUCCAACCAAUCCUUAUCGUUAAUAUCUUUAUUUUUAGUCCCUAUACUUUUCCAAAUAUUCCACAUUCGAUCUAUAUUCGAAUGGUGCGAAAAAAAUAUUGGAUCCCUUGCAGCGGAGUAAAAAUUCCCCAUGUCUUCAAAAUUAGGUUGCGUGUUAUCUCCGGUCCAUGUAUGAACCGGACCAUGUGGGGUCGUUUCGAUUGAACCGGCCCCUGGAUCUGGUUCGGUGCCAGCCCUGUAGGGCGAACCAAAGAACAACAGCGGUUUCUUGGAGUUGGAAACCAUCUGCCUAUACAUGAUUUUGAGGUUGGCGUCGAUUUGAGCAUCCUUGGACAUUGUUUCAUCCGUGCCGUUAAAGUCAAGAUCGAUGAGAGUCGGCGGCUGAUGGCUGGCAGCGCGGAGCUCGUCGUAAAGCGGAGAGUCCGGGUUAGCGAACAAGGCAGGGAGUUGCAUGCCAGCUGGCGCGUCCCAGUUCCAAAACGGCAACGCGAACGUCGGAUCGUCUAUGAGUUUGGCCAAGAUUCUUUCGUGGAAGUAUAGGUAGUAACGAUGGAAGGGGAAGAAAAGCCAGGAUUGAUGGAUUUGGAGCUCGAGGUUGGGGAAGCCGACUUGAUCGUACGCGCCGUCGCAAUAGGCACAGUGGAUAUCGGCUUGCUGGGUGAAGCUACGCGGAUCGUCGUCCGGGAGGGCUUUCAUGAGCUCGAUGGCUUUUGAAUAUUUUUCGAUGUAGGCUUUAUCCACGGUGUGAGCUGCCGGCCUGACGCGGAGUUUGGUAGGGGAGGGGAAUUUGAAGUCUACGAUUUUUUGGGACGUUGGCGGGCAACAGUUGGUCGGGACUGCUCCACUUGGAAAGUCCGCACCUCCGCAUUUGGCUAGGUCAGGCGGCGACACUGGCUUUGCAACAGCGAAGGGGUCGCUGCCAAGACCAGCCACUCCACCGUACAGGCUUCCGAGACCUAUAAGUACAUGUCUUCUGUCUAGGUUUACUGGAGAAAGGUUUUCAUGGUCGUGAUCGUUGGAGCUAGUGGAAGGGUUUUUGUUUUGGUCACUACUAUUAUUCGUGGCUUUGCAUGAGACGGCUUGUAAAUUGGAAUGCCUAGGGUUUUCAAAUAAGGAAAUUCGGUGAUACUUUUGGGAGAAAGGGAAGAGAGAAGUUGUGGGGAUGAUACUUGUGGUGGAGGUGACGAGUGGAGCUGACAUAGAAGCCAUGGUUACUUGACUCUGAAUACUACGUUGUAUAGGCUUUGCUUUUAUAAUGUGUUCUAGGUUUUACUUUUCUUUGCACAGGUGGCAGGCCGUACACAUUGGCGGUCCUUAAGGGUUUGACGAGGAAUACUACGUAGUCAUUUAGUACAGGGCAACCAUGCACUAUAGCACGUGGCAUGUAAUAUUUACGUAGUCUCAGAAGGUGAAGCGGUUUUGGGCUUCUUGUGUACCAAUAAUAUUUACGUACUCAUUAUUCCACUGGAUGGAUUGCGUGCACGUGAUCUUUAUUCAAACAAAUCACUAUUGACCAUAUAUUGCAAUUGGUUAAUGUUAGGCAAAUUAAAUUUUUACAUCAAAUAAUGUGGUUGCUGAUUAUUGAAUUAUUAUUUAAGUUUGAUUAAUGUGCUUAUUUUUUAUCGGUAAUACAUCAUUUGAUUUGCAAAUUUGAUUUACCUAAUAUUACCAGUUAUAAUUUGUAUAAAUGGACUGGUACCUAACAUUACCAAUUGUAAUUUGUAUAAAUGGACUCGUACCUAACAUUACCGGUUGUCCCAAGAGCACACGCUACUGCUCAAGAAGCAAAGUUCUUAUUUGCCCAAAAAAAAUCAUGGUUUUUUAAUUGAUGCUCUCAUUUUAAUUUACUAGCCCCUUACUUGGCCCUUUUUAUUUAUCAUUUUAUACAUAUUAAUAUUUUGUUUGUAAAAUAUAUUAGUGUUAGUUUUAUCAAAAUUAAAAAUAAAUAAAAAACUUAGCUUUAGUAUUUAGUUAUUGAAAUUGUAAAAAAAGUGAUAAAGUAUUGGGUGCUUUGUUUGAAAAUUUUCAAAAUGAUAUUGUUUUUACCACUGAACCCCUGUUAUAUACAGUGAUGGCUAAUUUGUCAAGUUCUACGAAGUUGGGAUACCCAGCGUUUUAGCAUAUAACAUAGCUUAGUAUUUCAAGCAUAAUUAAUUAACGAAAAAUUAGUAUCCGGUCCCUAGUUUUUACUGUUCAUUGACUAAGACCUUAUUAGUUCUCAAAUUUUGAUUCAAGUCCCUAGCAUUAAUGUGAUAAUGAAUUUACAUGUUUAUUAUAUAAUUUUUUAAUAUAAAAAUUAGUAAUUAAUUUAGGGUUUAAUACUCACACCUCUAUUAAACUUCUAAUUAAUUUUCAAUUCAGACAUUUCCAAAAUAAUAAAAAAUUAAAUUAAAUUAAGUUUGUACCUAUUAGUUUUUUUUUAUAUAUAAAAAGAUUCUCAAUUUUUAAUCUUAAAUGUACAUCUUAAAUGUACCCAUUCUCAAAUAUAUCAAUUUGUUAUAUGUAAAAUGUACCCUUUUUUAAUAUAAAAUCCAUUCAAAAUUUUUAAUCCAUGUUUAAACUUAUAUGGGUACAUUCUUUUUCGUUGAUUUGAGAAUGUAUCCAUGUUUUGGUACAAUAAAUUUUUUGUUAAUUUUGGUUAAUGUACCCAUACAUAUAUGUACACACACACACACACACACACACACAAUAUAAUAGAGAGUAUAAUUUAUAUUUUAUUAUUUUUAAUCCCAUAAAUGAUGGGUUUUAUUUAAAAUCUCAUUAAUAUAAACAAUUAUAAAUUUCAAUUUUUAAUUUUUAAUUUAAAAAAUAUAGUAACUUACAUUAUUACAUUAAUGUCAGGGACCUCAAUAAAAAACUAAAAACUAACAAGGUUUCAAUCAAAGAAUAUUGAUAGCUAGGGACCACAUCCAAAGUGUCCCUUAAUUAAAGGGUAAAUUACAUAGUAACCCCUCAGGUUUGAUGUCUAUUACAACCCCAUACAACAUCUUUAAAACAUUUCACUUUCAUACCUCAAGUACUAUUUUAUUUCAAUAUAAUACAUCUGUUAGAUUUUCCAUCCAUUAAUCCGUUAAAUGCUGACAUGGAUACCACAUUUGUGCCACGUGGCUGCCAAAUGCGUGUCAUGUGGCAAAAAUAAUAAUUUUUAAAUUUAAAAAAAAAUGAAUCUUCAACCCAAAAAAAAAAAAAAAAAAAAAACCCCAAACCCAGAUCCCAUCAACCCCCCCCAAACGAUUAUCCCUUCCCCAUAUCCCCCAUCCCACCCCCCAACCCCCCCUCUGCGACCAACCUUACCAUAGCGCCCCCCAACCUCGCGACCCACCUCACUCAAGGCCCUAAUCCACACUACCUACAACCCAGAAACGAAAAAAAAAAACAAAAAACAAAAAACUCAUCUCCCUUUCCCUGCAACCCAAAUCCCAUCUUCCCUAAUGGGUAUGGAUUUAAGAAGUGGGGUGUGUAGAGGAGGGAAGAGGGUGGGUGCGGAGGAUGGGUAUGGUGGGUUGCAAGGAAGGGGGGUCGGGUAAGAUGAAGAUGGGUUUUUUUUUUCUCUCUCUCUUCUUCUUCUUCUGGGUUGCAAGUUGUAGGUUGGGGUUUUUUUUUGGGGGGGGGGGGGAGGGAGGGAGGGAAGACGACGUGGGGUUUGGUUUUUUUUUUUUAAUUUAUUUAGAAGAUUUAGGUUUUUUGAAAAAAAAAAAAAAAUUCCACGUGGCACAAAUGUGGCAGCCACGUCAGCAUUUAACAGAUUAAUAGAUGGAAAAUCUAACGGAUGUAUUAUAUUGAAAUAAAAUAGUACUUGAGGUUAGAAAGUGAAAUGUGUUGAUGCACAAAACCGAAGGUCUUUGAACAACGUAAAUCCGAUCGUGAAUAUGCAAGUAAUGUAAAUAACACAAGAUGUAUCGUGGUUCACUCCAAUGUUUGGGCUACGUCCACACUGAUUAUUGUAUUUCUCUGAGAGGUGAGGGGGAGAGCUUUGAGAAAGCUUAGAGCUUAGGGGAUGUGAGAAGGCUUAAGAAUUGGCCUCCCUUAUUUGUGAGGGUGAUGAGUCCUUUUAUAGAAUAAGGGAUCCUCACUUAUUACAUAUUUGCCCAUUCCUUUAUUACAUAAUUACAUUUAAGUCCCCUGAGUACUUGUACAAGGUCUAAAUACGGAGGCCCUAAGUAUGGUACAAACAGUAGUCCCCCAAGUCUUCAGUCAAGAGAGUCUUUUGGCUAGAGACUUGAAAUUCUGUCCAUGUGUGAGCCGAAAUAACUAGAUGUCGUCUAGAACUGAUAUUUGAUAUGCGGCAGUGCCCAUUUUGAAAUAAUGCUCAACUAGAAGUAGCACAUGCUGCGAGGCUGCUCUGCUUGUGUUGCCUUGGUUGGCUCGACUUGUGGCGUUGAAGGUGAGAGAGUCCCUUUUAUAGAAUAAGGGCUCGCUCCUCAUUACAAAGAUGAUGGGUUAGUUGGUGCUUGCGGUGAGGCGGAUGCUCAGCUGGCGGCGAUGCUCUCUAAUGAUAGUGAGGGAGUCCAUUUUAUAGAAUAAGGGAUCGCUCCUCAAUACAUAAAUAAUAGGUGCUCUCUAAUGAAAGUAAGGGAGUCCCUUUUAUAGAAUAAGGGCUCACUCUUCAAUACAUAAAUAAUGGGCUAAGUCCCCUAAGUAUUUUUUAUGAGGCCUAAUUGAGGCCCAAUAUAUGGUACAUAAUGUAGUCCCCCAAGUCUUCGGUCAAUAGAGUCUGUUGGCUGGAGACUUCAAAUUGAAUCCAUGUAUGGGCCGAAGUGGCGGUUGUUCGGAAGCGGUAUUUGUAUACCCUGCACUGAAGCUUUAUAGGUGAAGCUUUGCAAGUGAAGCUUUGAAGCUGGAGCUCAGUAAAUGAAGCUUUUGAAGCUAGAGCUUUUGUAAAUGAAACUUUUGAAGCUGGAGCUCUAUAAAGGAAGCUUUUGUAAAUGAAGCUUUUGAAGCUGAUUCACAUGAGUGAUGCUCAUGAAUGUUUAUGUUGAUUGAUAUGAGUGAUGCUUAUGGAUGUUGACAUGAGUGAUGCUCAUGGAUGUUGACGUGAUGCUCAUGAAUGUUAACAUGAGUGAUGCUCAUGAAUGUUUAUGUAUGAUUGAUAUGAGUAAUGUUCAUGAAUGUUUAUGUAUGAUUGACAUGAGUAAUGCUCAUGUAUAAUUUGAAGUACUGGGCAUACUUUUGAUUACCUGGUUGGCGAUAAUAGCGGCAGGGUGCCGAAUAAUUUUUUGUAGUACUGGGCGUACUUUUGGUCACCUGGUUGGUGAUAAUAGCAGCAGGGUGCCGAAUAAUUUUUUGUAAUACUGGUCGUCCUUUUGGUCACCUGGUUGGUGCUAUUUUGAGCUUAUGGGCCUUCGCCCUCUACACAACAUUCCAGCCUAUUUAUUUUGGGCUUUACCGUUUUUUUUAAUUACCCUAUGAUGGGGUUUAUACAGAUGUCUCCGAAAGAUAUGAAAAAUAAAUUACAUCAUUCAAAAAUAAAUCCGACCCUCUGCUCAAUGGGUCACGCCAAUAAUUCUUUUUUUUUAUGCAUGCCAUCACCACCGCAAUUAUGUCUGCUUCUUUUUAUCUUCUUUUGCUUUCUGCUUUUGCUUUUACUUUAUCUUUCUCUUUUGGCAUAUGGCAGACAACGCCAAAACGGAAUAAUGAAUUAUUAUGAGAACAUGAAUCUUAUCUUUUGCCUGGUUUUCCACUAGUGCUCGUGGUAUUCUCAGGAGAUUGGAUCUGGGGGUAGGCGACUACCCCAGCACCUUGCCCUGAUACGUAAUAGCCUGAUGUCCCACUGCCAUCUCCAUACUGGAAGGUGUACGAACAAUGGUUAUUCUGUGUGGAACAAAUAGAAUCCGAUUGAGAUUCAAGACUGCACCUUCGAUCUGAGCAAGAAAUGAAUUGUGACGUUGAUGAACUUCUAGGAGGAGAAGCAGAGGAUCUUUGACUAUGAUGAUCUUUGAAUUCCAGAUGAAACUGAAUAAAAUGCAGGUUGUGGAGCUUGAUGUGGGCCCAGAUCUGCUUGACAGCUUUGGGGCGGGAGGAUUCCUUGACACUGAGGAAGAUUCCCAGAGCUGGAGGGAUGAGAAUCGACUUCAUAAUCCCGAUGGUGGGUUUGUGCUUGGUCGAAAGAUCAUUUCUGGCAGGGGAAAACAUGUACCAUACCUAUUGCAAAUCUUGCAAAUUCUCUGCUUCUCCAUGGAAGAUGAAGAGCAUCGAAUCUCUGUUUUCUCUCUCUCUCUCUAAAACGUUUUCGUUAUAGAGUGCCCCAAUAGAAGUGGACGGGCAGUGAGCAUGCCAUUUAGUGCCUCCUCCAAGACAGUAACUGAUACGGUGGUCUUUAUUGGCACUCCAAGUUUACUAAAAAGGGCAGCAAAAAUAGUAUUUACAGCACCCAAACUUGAAAGAUCUAGCUCCAACUAGUGGCUUUCUGUUUCAACAGCCUGAAAGCCGGCAGUGUCAUACCGACGCCGUUUGUCUGGAUCAAAUAAUAUAUUAUAAGAAAACAUGACCUUCUUGAAGAUAUCAGCUGUUUUAGAGUCAUUAGCAUUUUUGUCAGGAUGGUACUUGAGAGCCAUUUUCCGGUAAGCACUUUUGAUUUCCUGGUUGGUGGAAUUCCUAUUGAGGCCGAGGACCGCAUAAGGGUUUUGUCGGAGCUGCUUCUUAGCUUCUUGCUUCUCCGAUUUUGAUCGGCUGCCCUGCAUUUUUGAAAUUGACGGUCAAUUUCUUCACAAAACCCUAGAAAUUGCCUCUCGAUUACCUCCGAAACACAUAAUUCACGACUCUUGGUUGAAAUUUUUUUUUUUCAUUUCAAAGAAGUGGCGGAGGUAAAUCAGUUGUCACAUAGCACCGGAGCAUGAGGAAAACCUAGAAAACCAAGAGGCAGAGAGACUCCAUGCACAUCUAACCUGGAACCUUGCAGGAGAGAGCAGAGAGAAAGAGACAAGAAAGAUUGAGGGAGAAGCGAUCUUGGUGCAUCGUCUGUGAUUCCUUGGUGAUUUGCUCGAUCGGGACUCUGAAUUCGUGCAAGUCAUUGCUGUUAAGCAAGAAUCGCGAGGAGUCGGAGAGCUUGGAAAUCGAGAAGGAGAGAGGGCCUUUAGUCAGGGCUUGGAGGGUGUCGGACUCCGUCGGCCAAGAUUGGUGCACGGUCACGGCGUCUGGGCCCAUGGCGGUUGUGUAAAUGGGGGAGGUUCUAGGAGUCCAAGAAAGAAGAAGAAGCAGCGACCAUAGAUCUGGGAGUCCAUGGCGCUUGAAAGAUACGGCGAACAAGUCGGACUUGCUGCUGGGCAGCUGGCGGUGAUAAUGUUGGUGCAUGGGUUUUGGAGUGGGAGUGUUUGGAAUGGGUUUUUUGUUUAGUUUCUAUGUGUUUUUUCACAGAGAGAGAGAGAGAGAAGUGAUGGUGUUUAAGGGAUGAGUUUUGGAGCUUAGUGAAUGCUUUUUCUGGAAAAGCCCAGUGAGGUUUGUGGGUUUUUGCAGAUUUUGCAGAUUCGCGGUGGAGGUGAAAGAAUGAAAGAGAACCGACACAACUUUUCGUAUUGAUUCCCACAUACGGCGCCAAAUGUUGAUGCACAAAACCGGAGGUCUUGGAACAACGCAAAUCCGACCGUGAAUCUGCAAGUAAUGUAAAUAACACAAGAUGUAUCGUGGUUCACCCCAAUGUUUAGGCUAUGUCCACACUGAUUAUUGUAUUUCUCUGAGAGGUGAGGGAGAGCUUUGAGAGAGCUUAGAGCUUAGGGGAUGUGAGAAGGCUUAGGAAUUGGCCUCCCUUAUUUGUGAGGGUGAGAAGUCCUUUUAUAGAAUAAGGGUUCCUCACUUAUUACAUAUUUGCCCAUUCCUUUAUUACAUAAUUACAUUUAAGUCCCCCGAGUAUUUGUACGAGGUCUAAAUACGGAGGCCCUAAGUAUGGUACAAACAAAAUGUUUUAAAGAUGUUGUAUGGGGUUGUAAUAGACCUCAAACUUGAGGGGUUACUAUGUAAUUUACCCUUAAUUAAAAUAAGGGCAAAUGAAGAGGAUGGUUGAACUUGUUAAGUUUCUUAAGUGUGUCUAAUUUAAGUGUGUUGUUAAUAAACAUUUAUUAUGGAGGCAAAGAGAGGGAAGGUGCGGCAUAGAAAGAGAAGAGAGAGAUAUGUAAUUGUGAGUUGUGUUUUAUUCCAUCCCAUUGUGCAUUUAUUUAUAUUAGUUGGGAAAGUUAAUUCUUUAACCUUUUAGGAUUACAACUCUAAUAGGAAAAUAUAUAAUCUAAAAGAUAUGGUAGAAUCCCAUAAGAAUAUCCUAGAUAUGUUAGGAUUUACACAAUCAUAUUCCUAUUCCAAUAGGACUGCAAAACAUUUGUAUUUUUUUAUAAUUUUUUUGAUAAUUUGUUGGCAUUUUCAAUUUUUGUUAACAUUGAAAAUAUAACGGUUCAGAUGAAAAACCUUUGGAAAUCCAACAUUGAAAAUAUAACAGUUUGACGUUGGGCUGUGGUGAAGGAGGCUGGGCUGUCACGUGGGUGGGGCCCUCCCUCUCCCACUUGGUGAUUCAAAGGGCGCAGGCCCGUGCAACAAUUGAGGCAGCCCAUAGAGAUCCUGCGUUUCACCCAUUUGCCAUUUUUUCCACCGCUGGAGCACCAAAAUUCGGUCCAAAGGCAGGGGUUCCAAUUGCAUGGGCAAUUUGGUUUCCGCUGGAGGUGCUCUUUGUCGACUUUGUUUAUUCUUUCUUUUUAGCUUUGCAGUAAUAUUGAAGUAAUCACUCCAAUUGUAUCCGAACUUUUGUUGUCCAUCAAUUUGUAUCAAAACUAUUGGUUAAUUUACAUAUUCAGACUAACCUUCUCAUUAUUUUUAGUAUUUUUAUCAUAAAUAAUAUCUAAAAUAAUCACAUUUUAUUCAACAACCACUCAAUUAAAAAUUAAUUAAUGUUGUUUCUAAACCAUUACAUCGAGCUUUUGUAAAUACACAUCAAUAUUGCAGCGAUCCGAGGCAUUGUUUUCUACGCCUUGGAUUUGGCGAAUUGGAAAAGAGAAGAGUUACGAGUAAAAGUCCCUCACAUUAAGAGGGCUCCUCCUCGGGGAGAUGAAGAUGAUGAUCUUUUGUUUUUGUUUCUUAAUGAUUAAUCCACGCAGCAACAUAUAAUUAGAUUGUUGGGAUCUACUCAAGUUCCAUAUCACGCACUAAUAUAAAGUUUGACAAACGAAACGAAAUAUGUGCUCUCGAAAGCAAAAUGAGGGCACUGCUCCAAGAACAGGAAGGGCUCCUUGUCGAGGUUGCCAUCCGCCAUGAGGGAAAACCGGAAGAAGUUAGACAACAAUGAUGACAUCGAUUUGCAACACCCAUAUUGGGACAUCAAACUGUGAAAUAAAUACUCAAAACUCCUGGAAAGUCCUCGGGACAACAAACUUUUAUCUCCUUCAAAUAUUUCAUUUUACCAAGUUUUAUGUUUGAAGGGAGGGAAAAAAAGAGAUGAGAGAAUCCUACUCCUUAUUCUUGAAUAUAUUCAGGAAUAACUAUUGAAUAAAGAGAGAAUGGAAGGGGAUCGAAAGAGGAGGGAAGAUAAUUCUAGUCCCAAACAUAAAAAGGACCACAACUUUUAAAUUAUCAGCACGAUCAUCAUCUGAUUGAAGAGACCAUUCAUUGUGAAACAUAUCGUCAAUCAAUAUGUCUAUAUCUAUUUAUAUACCACAUUUUUGGAGUAGGAUUCUCCCCCCUCCUAUUACCAUCCCCUUCCAUCCCCUUCCAUCCCCUCCUUUCAUACUUUUUUUUUUCUUAUUCUCUAUAUAAAAAAUUCAAAACAAGAUGUAGAUGUGUCGUAAUCGCAAUAGUUUAAAUAAAAGGAGAUGGAAGGAGAGAUAAAUUACGAGGGGAGAGAAUCUUACUCCCACAUUUUUCUUCUUCAUAAACAAAAGAGAGGUUCUAGAUUACUUGACUCUAUGCCUCAUUUUUUUCAUCAAGUAUUUGUGCUAAACGGGUUCAGUUUCAAGUAUUUUAGUUUUUUGUCAAAAUUGAGAAAACUGAAAAUCAAACAUUAAUAUGCAAAAUUAAAAAAUCAACACAUAAUUAUUUAGAAAUCGCAAUAGAAAAGAAAAAAUGGAGGUUUGUGAUGAAAAAUCUUUUAUACUAAGUAAUUUAGUAUCCUUAUGCAUGAAGAUAAUCAAUUCGUUCGUUAUGGUCAGACUCUUUUUGAAUUUUUGAACACAUUCUCCAUAGGGCCUUCUUAUUUGUUCCUUCUCCGAGUUGGGGUUAUGGAAGAAGUAAAAGAAGGAACCAAGAAGAAAGUAUUGGCAACAACCGAUUUCGUUACGGGACAACUCUUGAUAUUCAUAUCGAUCUAUUAUGUACCUUUGCAUCUAGCAUUAGACAAUAACUGUCAUAGCUUUACCAUAUUUUUUUGUUUCAUUUCUUCUGAAACAAUAACACACACUUUUUUAUUAUGUGUCUAAUACUAGGAAUUCAAUACAUAAUCUUAGCAUUCAAUAGUUAUUCCUGAAUAAUUUCAUUUUUCAAUUGAUCAACCAUUUCAUUUUUCCAAGUUCAAUCAAUGUUAGUCACAUUAGUCAACAUUUAUAUAUUUUGAUGCAACAACAAUAUGUUAUUUGUAACAAGUGAUUUUGCUAGUUGGUUAAUUGGUCACAAGUUAAUGUUCGGUUCAGUUCAGCUUUUCUCUCGAUUUUUUGCGAUUCGGUUUUUUCGAUUCUCUUUAGAUUCGGUUCGAUUUUGUUUUUUUAUUUAUACUUAAUUUUUUUUAAUCUGAAAACACCAAGAACAACACAAGCAUACUCAAUCAAACAACUAUCCUUCUCCACAAAUCACAGUAAUAAUUACAUUCAUUUAGCUAAAAUGCAAAUAACUAACAAACUCACAAAAAUCGAAUAAAAACUACAAAUUGCUUACUCUUUUUCUUUGGGUUUCACUCGAAAAGUGUCGGUAAAAUUUAGGGUUUGCAAGAACGCAACCGAAAUCCAAAACGGAGGCUCUGUGGCUUGUGGGCUGCUAUUGAGUUCCAGUACGGAAAACCUUGCUUACUCUCUAUCACGGUACAAAGUAUCAGUACCUUUAGCACUGUAUUUGGUAGAACCAAAUUAAAAGCUAACAUCAAUAACAACUACCAGAGACAUAAGCUCUUAUCAAUGCUUUGGAAACAGUCAUGUAUCUCCAAGUGUAAUGAUAUAAUUAGUAAGAAAUUUAAAAGAAAAAUGGUGAUUUCAUAUAAAAUCAAUAAAAAGUUACAAUAUUGACAAUAUAUCAACAAUUUUUAUGGGGUAAAUUACAUAGGACCCCCUCAGGUUUGAGGUCUAUUACAACCCCAUACAACAUCUUUAAAAUAUUUCACUUUCAUACCUCACCUACUAUUUUAUUUCAAUAUAGUACCUCCAUUACAUUUUCCAUCAAUUGAUCCAUUAAGAGCUGAAUUGGUUGCCACAUUUGACACGCCCCGAUCCCGAUAUCCUCGGGAUAUCAGGAUGGUCACGUGCUGGCCGACACCCGAGGGUGACGAAAGCCAUUUAUUGAGUGCAAUUGCUGAAAAUAAAGGAUAGAUAAAACUUAUAAAUGUAAAAGAAUAAGGAAUAUGCAUUUAAGGAACGUGUUCAGAGCAUACAACUAACUAGAACACUAAAAGAAUGAUAUAAAAUGGAAUGAAUAAAAGAAUGAGUCUUACACCAAGAGGACUCGAAGAUGCCGAUGCGGAAGUACCUUGAUUGUCGGGAUUGUACGCCUCGAUCCUAAAUCCUGAAGGGGGCGCAAAACAAACAUGAGUGGACCAAGUUGAUAUAUAUAUAAUAAAACAGUUAUCAAUAUACUAACCCCCAGGUUUAUGAAAACAAAUAUAUAAUGAUGAACAUAGGUUUUCCGAAACCUAGCAUGAUGUGCAGUAUCUCAAAUCAUAACUCAUAUAUAAUAAUCACUAGUGAAUUGUCCGAUAACCUGCAGGCCCCAUGCCGGCUCCCCGUCUCUGAGCAGACAGUCAGAGGAAAAUACACUUCAGGCCCCAUGCCGGCUCCCCGUCCCUGUGCUAAAUAGCCAGAGGAAACACACUCCAGGCCCUAUGCCAACACCAAACCGUCGCCCGGGACGGACCGGAAUCUAUUCCUACGUCCCGUAGCGGAAAUGACCACUAGGUAAGUACAAAACCAUUGAACAUACAUAUAUUGAAAAACAACUUCAUAGUAUAAAGUCAUCCAUCAUCUAUACUAUAAAGAGGUGUUCGAAACAUGUUCUAAAUAUCAUAUCGUCAUCCAUCAGAUAUUCUAUAAGAACACGGGUUAUAGGAAAAAUAGUAAUAAUUCAAGGUAGCCUCAGUAAGCAUGUUAUCUCAAAACGUUUCAUAAAACGUAAUCAUUAAAUCAUGCAUUUCAUGUAUGCAUUUCUACUAUUAAAACAUGCUUUUGAAGGGGUCCACUCACAGUACUUAGCCGCCGAAGAGCCACGCAAACUAACGUCACCAAUAUUGCCCCUAAGCACAUAAAUGGUCCAAUUAAUAAAACUAUAUAAUAGCAAUUGGAUUUGGGAAAACGGACGUUGGAAACGGAUUCAGAACGUCGAAUUACCCUAAGAAGGGUCCCGGACGAAAACCCGAAAAGUCAACUCUAAAGUCAAUGUUGACCGGAGGUCAACGGUCAAAUUAGGUCUAACGGGUUUUAGGCUUGAAAUCCGGAUUAGGGUUUAGGUUAAAUAGGAUUAGGAUUUAUUGGGUUUUGGAAUUCUAAGGUUUUUGGGUUAAAAGGGUUUAGGGUGAAAAUGGGUGGUUUGGGCUUAAUCCCAAACUCACACACAACACACACACACACUACACAAACCCUAAAACACACACACACACACGGGCUGCACUAGGGCAGCCCUCACAACACUUCACAAAGGCCCUAAGGCCUUAUUAAAGGACAGGGCUUUAAGCCCUUUAAAGGAUACUGGCCCAAGGCCCGUCAAAAUAAGGCCCGAGGCCUUUGGGUUUUAAAAAGAACAAGAACAAAUUUAAAAGAAAAGGGGCUGGGGUCUACUGGGCUAAGAUAUAACGGGCUUAAGGCCCGUGGGGUUUUCUAAAGGGCCUGAGAGGCCUGGGUUUGUCGAAGGAGAAGGCCGGAAUUUCGGCCGGAAAACCACCCAACUUUAAAUGGCCAUAACUUUGUCAAUACUCAACGAAAUCAAGCAAGACAAAAAUGAAAGUUGUAGCCCUUGAAGCGACGAAGAGAAUGGUUCCUCACACGACGUCUAACUCGCCGUGGUUUGGCCGGAAAAUGCCUCGAAAUCCGUCGGACUCGCCGGAAACUGGGUAAGAUUCAAAUGAGUAUAACUUCUUCAAUACUCAACGAAAUUAAGUGAAACAAAAAGGAAAGUUGUAUUACUCGACGAGACGAAGAGAUUGAUACCUUACACGCCGGCCAACUCGCUGUGGUUUGGCCGGAAAUGGCCUCGAAAGGGGCGGUGCUCGCCGGAGCUUACUCCGUGCCGUCGAACUCGCAGGGUAGGGUCCGGGGUUCGUUGCAAGCCUCUCUUCGAUGGUGACUCGGUCCUAGUGAGUCCAGGGGAAGAGAGAGAUGCGAAAGGUUGAGGGAGAGAGAGACGGGAGAGCUGAGAAAGAGAGAGCUACGGGAGGGAGAAACGAAGAAGAAGAAGAGAGAGAUCAGAAAACAUAAAAAAAAUAAACAAGGUGGGCCCCACGGGCUCACCAAUUAAGGCUUUAAAACAAUUUUAAAAUAUAAAAGAGGGUUGGGGUGUUUCAACAUUUGUACCACGUGGCAAAAAAAAAACCUAAAUCUUCUAUACAAAAAAACUAAAAAAACCAAAAAAAGCAAAAUCGAACACUCCACCCCGCAAAAAUCCUAGCAUCUUCCUUUUAUUCCCCACAACCCCAAAUUCCCCCCCAAAACCCCUAAAACCCAAACCCUAAUUCCUCCCCCACAUGAAGAAAAUCCCAGUCCAAUUCAAUCCCAAUUACCUCAAAUCCCACCAUAGAAACCCUAAAUUUUGGUUCCUCAAUCCCUAGAUUUCCCACGCCUCUGUUGCCUACACCUUAUCAAUCUUUAGCUUUCUCCCUCAUCCCCUCCAUGAACGACACUUUCUCUCAUCCGCUGUUCCCCAGCAACGGCACCGAUACCUACGAGGCCUGGUACGGCAACAUCCAGUACCUUCUCAACAUCUCCGCCAUCGGCUCAUUCUUAUGUGUCUUCUUUUUCACCUUGGUCAAGCUUUGAAGCGAUCGCCGCCGCAUGCCCGGCUCGUCCUCCCUCGUUGCUAAGCUCUUCGCAGUGUGGUAUGCUACCUGUCGAGAGAUUAUGCUCCCAUGUGGCGCUGAGGCCAUAAUACUCACGCACCCAUCUACACACCCACACCACCACUACCGUGGACUCUCUCUCACUCUCCCUCGUCUUUGUAGAGCUAGGUGAAGCCUAGAAACCGAGAACUAGCUCCAGCAAACCCCGUGAGUUUCGAGCCAGAUCCCUGCCGACUCCGACCAUCCCAUGACCAAUCUAAGGUACAAAACAUUUCCCCUUGACUCUAUGCUCUUUUUCGUAUGUAGAUCGUAGGGAAAAGCCCACAGAAUGAGAGAGAAUAGUGACCUGAGAGAGUCCACGGUGAUGGUGGUGUGUAGAUGAGUGCGUGCGUGGGUGUACUGUCGGGGAUAGAGUCUGAGAGAGAUAGAGAGUGAAAGAGUCUGAGAGAAGAGUGACUUGCGAGAGUGAGAGAUUCGAGAGAGACUCGGGAAAAGAUUUAUGGGUUUGGGUUUUUCUGGUUUUUUAUUUUUAUAAUAAUAGGGUUAAUAUUAUAAUAUUUUUAAUGUAUAAAAAUUUCUUUUUUGCCACGUGGCAGCCACAUCAGCACAAAUGUGGUAGUUGUAGAUGCAAAUUUCUUCCUCUUGAUCUUGGACAAUUUUGCACCUACAAAACAAUUAACACCUUAGGUUAAGGCCAAAAGCCUCACACACCCACAAUGAAUGGGGGGCUUUGGCCGAAGAACCUCUGUUGCCAAAGUUAGAAUUUAGAGAGAAAGAGUCUUUACAGAAUUUUGGGAUUUUUGCCAAAGUGUUGGAAUGGCUUUCUGGUGAGAACGGGAUCACUUUUAUAAGGAUAGGAAGUGGUCGGCCUAGCUAGGGUUUUUGGGUUUAAUUUAGGUUUAAUUCUUCAAUUUAUUUGGCUAAUUAAACCCUAAAGAAUAAAUUGGUGGUUACAAAAUUGAUUAUUUGUAUAAAUGGGGUAAUAAAAUGGAGAAAAGUGAAAAAGGUUAGGAAAAGGGAGGUAGCUAGCUUCUUAGUAGUUUUAGGUGUGAGUGGGUGUUUUAAUUGAUAAUUAAGGGAUUGAUUAGGUAAUUAAUCCCUUAAUUAAACAAUUUUUAGGGAAUAUGAAAGGAAAUUAUUAUUUAGCUAAUUGAUUAGCUAAAUAAUGGAAUACAAAAUAUAUAGAAUAAAUUAGGCUUUAGGUAUUACCUUAUAGAAAUGAUUUGAUGAAAUAGGCUUUAAAUUGUUAACUAUUUUGGGCACUUUUGACUUGGUUGAGGAUGAUUGUCUGCCGCUCGCACGUAGGAAUCUCGAUAUGCCUUAAGGGUAUUUUUGUCCUCUUUUACCCAAAAAUCCACGUGUCGCCUUGUGAUUAUUUUUGGCUCCACAAAUGCCCCCACACCUGUUGGGCUGCUCGCAGAAAAUGGCAGCAGGUGUAGAGAUCAUCUUGCUUUAGGAAACGUAGGACUACUUCCUCUUUAGAUGUAGAUUCUCUCUUUAAUAGGAAAUUAGGUUCUUCUAGGAAAGGGAAAUAAAUUUCUGUUAAAGCCUAUUUAAGUCUACCUUAAGUGGGUUAUUAAAUCAACUUUGGAGAGCGAUUUCUUAUACCCUACAAGAGAGAGGGAGCUUAGAGAAUAUUUGUUCCCCCUCUUCUAGCAAUCUUCUACAUCUUUCCCGUGCAAAGGAUCGUCUUUCGUUGAUUUCUUCGUCUUCUCCGUGCCGCACCGAUGUAAGAAAAAUUUAAUUUUUUGCUUAUCUUCUUCUUGGAUAGUACUAUUACAGGGCAACCGUUAAGGUAGUGCGGCACGUCUACUGGCAGGGGCUAGGAGUUGGCUCGGCAUCGGUCGAUGAGGCAUUAUGGCAGGGGCCACUGCUUAGGCUGUUUGGCUUGGCUAGAGCCAAUGGCAGCUUGUGCGGCUGGGGUCGCGGAUUGUGGCGUUGGGGCGCAAUGCUAGGCGAGCCACAUGGUUAAUGUCCUUUAGGCUCUUAGACCUUACUCGGGCCAGGCUAGCGACUGAAAGAAAUGAGGAGGUCGUGGGCCUCAUGGGUUGUUGGAAUGUUGGGCAUGCAGGCCUCCUGUCUGCUAGAAUGCUAGGUUGAGCUCCUCUGCUGAGUACCGUGAAUGGCGUUGGCUGCUUAGUUCUUUUUACAGAGAGAAAGGUGGGCUGCUCCCGAAAGAGGAAGUAAAGAGGAUCAAGGUGGAUGCAUUGGCUCGUCUAAUCGCUGUCGUGGAACCUCCUAUGAAUGAAGAUGGAAAUAAGAGAUCUUCCCUGCCUACUCAAGAGAUGCCGAUCGAGAAAAAUUGAAGACUUUCUCCACUGCUGCUCAUGAUGAUUUGUCUGCUGUCGAUAGGCCUGUGAUUGGCAUGACUUCUUCCAAUGGGAAGAAAAAUGAGGCUGCUAGAUCUGAUCAUGUGGUGCCUUCCAUGUUGAGAAUUGCUAGUACAAUUGUUGAUAAGAUUGCUUAGCGCAAAGGUUUUAUCAUGCCCCCAGUACCGAAGUCUGUACCAGGACUUUCGUUUGGAGCAAAGUCUGGUUCACCUUUGGAGAUACUUGCUAUUAUGAAAAGUGGUAAGGUGGACUCUGCUGCUAAAGUGGCGUCAAGGCCCACUCCCUUUGUUGCUGAGACUGAUUCGCCUGCUAGGAAGGAAGAUACUACUUGUAUGGGCAGCUGUGAGAAAUCCACUAAACUUGCUUCUGGGGAGGCUGCUGAGAUCAUUGUGCUUUUGAAACUAUAUCUGCUUGAAGACAUGGACGCUUGUGCCAAGUUUGUUGAUGGCGGUAGAAAGGUUGUUUACCUAAGUUCCUUUGCGAAACAUACGACCCAAUAUAAAAUGACUGCUCUGCUUACUAGGAUGCAUAAAUAGCAAGGUUGUCAAGGAGGUGGCGAAGAUUAUGGCAGCUAAAGCUUAUUCCUCAGUCGAGGAGAUCAAAAGGUUGAAUUAUGAGCUUGUUGCUUUGAAAGAAAUGGAAGAACUGCAACACGUUCGUGUUAGUCUGUUUGAGAAGAAUGAGCAGCUAAACGGUAAGAAUGAUGGGCUUGAGGUUUCUCUAUUUUUCCGGAAGACUUGCUUACUUUUACUUUUGAGGCUUCCAUUGGUGAAGUAGUUGGAGACGUUAGUGCCCAGGCUUAGGCAACCGGGGGUGAAGCACCGGAUGAUGCCGCUGCUAAGAACGUUACGGCUGCUGAAGGUGUGGAGACCAAGUAGUCGUGGGAUGUCCAAGCUGCUGUAGUGUAGUAUUUUAGGUAGCUUUUAUGAUUUUCUUUGUUUUUCCUUGUAGCUCUUGUUUUGCUUGAACUUCUUCGGCCUUUGCUAGUUGUAUAAACAUGUUUUCCUUCGCUUUUCUUCAUCUUCGCUUCUUUUGUUCAUGCCCUAACCUUUAGACUUGAUAGACCAAUGGCAGGCAUGCUACUUUUUUAUAAGCAGACAAGCUCGCGUAGCCUAUGCAGCCGUAAAUGUUGGUGUAGAACUUUGCAAAGUUGUUAGCCAUUAGGUUGGUAACCAGAUACCUUACUUACAGAAGUAGACAAGUCCGCAUAACCACUAGGCUAUUAACCUUGACUUUCUCCAAUUCUGUAGGUUGCGUAGCAAGUAUCACAACACUUUAGGAAUUGGUAUAGGUUGCUCCGCACUUGGCAGAGGUGAAGCCUAUCGACUACGUAGCAUGUCGGCAGUGGAUAAAACUUCCAUAUAUGCGCGCUAGCUUGUUUAACCUUUCACAAGAAUGUGCGGUUGUAUAAGUCUAGCACGGUUUUACUGCUUGAAGGGCAAGCCGUAGGCAGUCUUCCGGAAUCCGUAGGCUACCUUAAUGUACUCGGUAGCAGCUUUAGGGUUCCAGGGCAGCCGUCUAUAGAGCGUACUGCGUAAUGUGCCCCAUCCGUCUCUAGCUCCCGGUUCCCCACAGAUUAGACCAAGAGACCCAAAAUCCUUCAGUUAGUUAAGCCUUGAAAAAGACCAUUGUGGCUACUUCUAGGAAUCCCGGCUCAAGCCAUCGUACAUCUAGUUAUACUAGGGUAGCCAGGCUCAUCAGCGUCUGGAUAUUCGGAGUGUAAAGUUUAUCCUCCCGUCUUAGAGAGCUGACCCAUAUGAGUGUCGGGGAAUUGGUUUACCCUCUCACACUAGAGAGUAAUUAAUUUACCCUCUCGCACUGGAGAGCAAUUAGUUUACCCUCUCGCACUGGAGAGCAUGGUUGGUCCAUCGGGGGGCGCAAUUCCUGCGAUGAGUCCCUAAGAAGGGCGCAGUCUUCUUUUGAAGUGCAGGAAUGAUUAGUUGUUAUAAGCAUGUGAUCGAGUCAAGUUGUGAUUACUUCUAAAUUCCUCAUUGAAAAACGAGUGAAACGAACGAGAACUUAGCCGUAAGGUAGGAACUGCAUAACAACUGGAUAGUCCUCAACUUGUGUGGUGGUACCCAUCGAGCUUCUUGAGUCUUCGGGCUUUGAUGUAGUGGGAGGUUACACAUGGCACCUUUUCAGAUUGUAGGCGCUCUACUGCUUUUCGAACUUUUUUUUUGUUGUGUAAUUGCUCUUGCUGCCUACUCGGCUAAUCUUAUACAGACUUUCUCGGAUGAGAUUCAUCUUUUUGGAGCUUCUCUGCUGGCAGUGAUGAAGGCUUUUCUUAGGACUAGAUCUCUGGGCUGGAACUGCCAGAUUUUGGCCUUUUUGUUGUGGCUGGAAAAGAACCACUGCUGGUAAGUUGUAAUGCAGAUGAUAGUCUGCUCGCACUUCUCCUCUGCCAAAUUUAAGCUUGUGGCCAUCUCCUUUCGGUUGCUCGUCUUUUGGUGUUGCGAUGUGCCCAUAGACAUCCAGGGAGUUUGUCUGGCCAUUUUCUUUUCUUAUUGGUAGGGGAUUUCUUGUGGCAGUCGAGGAUCAUCUUAGUGGAUGUUUUGGCCAGCCUAUUGCCUUGAGGAUAUCUUGGCGUAGACAUGUGCUGCUUGAUGCCAUAUUUUUAGAAGAAUUUCGCCAAAUCUUUGCCCACGAAUUACGGGCCGUUGUUGGUGACGAUGGAUUAAGGUAUGCCAAAUCGGCAAAUGAUGCUCUUUCAUAUGAAGCGCUCUAUGUCCGUUUGAAUUGUGAUCGUCAUGGGCUCUGCUUCUACCUAUUUGGUGAAAUAGUUGGUUGCCACGAUCAUCAUGCAUUUGCCCUUAGUAGUCUGGCUGGUGAUUAGCUGGGAAUCAGAAUGAAUUGAAAGCUUUUUCACCACCAAGUCUUUUGUCACUCGAAGGCCUGCUAGUGGGGCUUUGUACUCUGCUUCGUUGUUAGGUGCUUUGACGCUUAGAGUGAUCGCUUACUCGAGCAUUGAACCGUCUGGGGUGGCAAGAACCACGGUUACUUAUAAGCCUUUGUAGUUGGAUGCGCCGUCGACAUGCAAAUGCCAGAAAUUUCCAUUGAGGGAGUAGGUAUGGCUAAAGUGUGCUCGGCUACCUUCGAAGCGUCGUUGGGCCGCUUUGUUACAUUGUCAAGGCUAGGUUUGAAGGCGCGGUAGAGAGUCGUGGAGCUGGGGCCAUGUUACAUGUAGCAGGAGAUGCUCAACUUCCGGUAUUAGGCCACUCUAGAGCUGAAUAAUGGAGCAAAGGUCGGCUAGGGUCGUAUGACGCGCAGCAGAAGGUAGUGCUCGACUGCUAGUACAUGUUGCUCUUACGUAGAAUCUUCUGAGGCGACGAGGACAAAACUUGCUUUUAAGUGUUCCUUCUAGUGUUCGUCUGCCCUUGGCGUGUCUUUUGGGCUGAGUUGUUGCGUUCGUCAGAAAACUUUGCAUCUGCCAGGGUUUACGUCUUUAUCAUCACGGGUUUGGAUUAGGCGGAAUAGUGCGUCAUGAUGAUGACUGCGUACAUUUGAAGGUAAAACUUAAGCUUUUGGGUUACAACAACUAUCACCAAAGUUAGCUUUUGAAUUUUUAAUAGCAUCGAGGAGAGCUUUUGAACUAUAAAAUACAUGUAGUUGGGCCCCCAACUCUUCUCGCAUGACGGUACAGCUUAUUUCUACUUUAGAUACCGUCAAACAUGCGAAUAAGUCCUCUGCUGCUUCUAGGGAGGUGAUGUUGGGUACUUCUUCAAGCCCUUGAAUGUGCAUUGGCGAGCCUCAUCCCAAAGUGCAUGCUUCUCUGCCAAAGAAAAAGAGUCUACCAGAGUUAGAUAUUCUUUCAUGAUCAAUUUUCUAAAUAGCGGUGGUCUGCUGGAAGGCCUUUUUGGAAGGCUGCUCUAGCUAUUGAGUCGCUGCAUCCGACUAUCAUUGCCUUCUCUGUUUUGAAUCUCUUCACAUAGUCACGAAGUGACUCCUUUGGGUUCUUUUUUACGUCAAACAAAUGGUCGGACUUCUUUUUGAUCGAGCAAUAAGAUGAAUAUUCUUUGGUGAAAACCAAAGAAAGUUCGUAGAAAUUCUAGAUAGAUUGUGGCGGCAGGGUGUAGAACCAAUCUUGUGCCUCGCCUUCAUAGUGGUGGCGAAUAUCUUGCACAUGAGAUCAUCGUUGUUUCGAUAAAGGAUCAUUGUGCUUCGGUAGCGCUUUAAGUGUCUCUUCGGGUCUUCAUCCCCUUUGAAAGAUAUGAAAUGUUGCAUACUGAACUCGCAUGGAGGCUCUGCCAGCUCGAUCUCAUCCGUGAAGGGUGACCUGCUUAUGUUGGUCAUGUUCCGUCGUAGUGCCUCGUCGGUGACCUUGUUGCGUUAGAAAUCAUGCAAUCGCUUGAUUAAAAGUCUCUCUACUUCUUCCUGAAUUUUCAUUUGUUAGGGUAGCAGAGCUCUCGGCUGCCCCUAGCCAUAACUUACUGGUCUAGGAUGCUCUUCCAUGUGUUUGGCUCGUAUACCGUGGAUGCAGUGUAUGUGGUGCGGUCCUAGUAGGUGAGCGAGUUCUUCGCAGGCUGCUAGUUGAACUUGAGCUGGAUUGAGUGACUACUUCUCUCCGUCCGUCGUGCUGCCUACUCCAAUGUGAGGUGAAAGAUGCUCCUUGCAGGCUUAGCCACGAAUGAACACUUUACCUGGAAGGUUGCUCAUGUUGACUAUCAGAGUAUGACCCUAACCGUGAAUGUAUAUUCACCCGUGGGCUUAGUCGAGAGUGCACGCUCCUCCGCGCGCUAAGACGAGAGUAUACGUUAUCUCGGGAGCCCAAUUGGGAGUGUACACUGCCCGAACGCUCGGCUCGUGGCUGGUCGAGUGGCUGCUUGCCGAAACGCUGCGGGAAAGGUUCGUCUGCCCUUGUCCUACUUCGGGAUACCUUGUUUGGGGCACGUUGGAUUCUGGUGCAUUGCAAAAGUUGAUUCACCAAGGUUGUCUGUUGUGCAAGGGUGCUCGUAAACGCUACGACUUGUCGAGACAAGUGUUGUUCGUCAUUUGGAUUGGAAUAGCUUGGAAGGAAUGUGCCUUCUUGGGCAGUGGAAGGGUGGUAGACUCCGGGCUCGAGAUUUGAGUUGGGAAAUGUCAAAUCUACGAAAAAAUGUGGUGAGAAUGCCCCCGGCUCGAUGGUAGGUCCGGAUGGUUGAGAUAGUCUUGGGCCGACUUGGGCUGCUUGGAAAGCCACGGGAGCAGGCUGGGCCACGAGAGUGAGCUGCUCGGCAGGAGUAGGCUGGGCUACGAGAGUGGGCUGCUCGGCAGGAGCAAACUGCUUGGAGUGUGAUGCACAUGGGUGCGAGGCUUGGGCUCGGCUUGGUAACACAUUGAGUUCGGGUUUGGCUUGGAGUGACAUGACUUGGGCCGUGGCCUUGGUGUCGUGAGCCUUGGAUGGCACGGCUCGGGCAGUGGUAGCUGUGCCAUGGACCUCGCCGCGGGUAGUGGUGACCGUGAUGGCCACCGCGGUGGUUGCCAUGGUGGAGCCCCGUAGUGAUGGUGCCGCUCCUAUGAUCACAUUUAGCCUCGUGGAUCGUCGUGGUCCCAUUUCUUGAAUAUUAGAAUUUUCACUUAUGGAAUUUUCUAAAUUUCUAGCCAUUAUAUUUUUCUUAUACGUUUUAUCAAAGAACCUUUGCAAAUAAAAAAUUCUAAUAAUAAGAACGUAUGAAAAAAUAUUCAAAUGGACUAGAAAAUAGAGAAAAACCUUUUUAUGCGAGAGUCUUCUACGAGUAUAGAUCUCAACUCUCAAUGAAAGCACCAAUUUGUGGAUGCAAAUUUCUUCCUCCUUGAUCCUAGACAAUUUUGCACCUACAAAACAAUUAACACCUUAGGUUAAGGCCAAGAGCCUCACACGCCCACGAUGAAUGGGGGGGCUUUGGCCGAAGAACCUCUGAUGCCAAAGUUAGAAUUUAGAGAGAUAGAGUGUUCAGAGAAUUUUGAGAUUUUUGCCAAAGUGUUGGAAUGGAUUUUUGGUGAGAAUGGGAUCACUUUUAUAGGGAUAGGAAGUGGCCGGCCUAGCUAGGGUUUUUGGGUUUAAUUUAGGUUUAAUUAGUCAAUUUAUUUGGCUAAUUAAACCCUAAAGAAUAAAUUGGUGGUUACAAAAUUGAUUAUUUGUAUAAAUGGGGUAAUAAAAUGGAGAAAGGUGAAAAAGGUUAGGAAAAGGGAGGUGGCCGGCUUCUUAGUGGUUUUAGGUGUGAGUGGGUGUUUUAAUUGAUAAUUAAGGGAUUCAUUAGGUAAUUAAUCAAUUUUUAGGGAAUAUGAAAGGAAAAUAUUAUUUAGCUAAUUGAUUAGCUAAAUAAUGGAAUACAAAAUAUAUAGAACAAAUUAGGUAUUAGGAAUUACCUUAUAGAAAGGAUUUGAUGAAAUAAGCUUUAAAUUGUUACCUAUUUUGGGCACUUUUGACUUGGUUGAGGAUGAUUGUCUGCCGCUCACGCGUAGGAAUCUCGAUAUGCCUCAAGGGUAUUUUUGUUCUCUUUUACCCAAAAAUCCACGUGUCGCCUUGUGAUUAUUUUGGCUCCACAACAACCACGUCAGCAUUUAACAGACCAAUGGAUGGAAAAUCUAACGGAGGUAUUAUUUUGAAAUAAAAUAACAAGUGAGGUAUGAAAGUGAAAUGUUUUAAAGAUGUUGUAUGGGGUUGUAAUAGACCUCAAACUUGAGGGUCCUAUGUAAUUUACCUAUUUUUAUGUUAAUUAUGAAUAGGUCAAUCAUGUAGAACCAAAUUAAAAGCUAACAUCAAUAACAACUACCAGAGACAAAAGCUCUAAUCAAUGCUUCGGAAACAUAGUCUUGUAUCUCUAGGUGUAAUGAUAUAAUUUGUUGGAAACUUAAAAGAAAAUUGGUGAUUUUGUAUAUAAUCGAUAAAAAGUUAUAAUAGUGACAAUAUAUCAGUAAUAUUUAUGUUAAUUAGGAAUAGGUCAAUCAUGUAUUUAAUACUUACAUGCAUUUAAAAUAAACACCUUAUCAAUGUUUUUUUAACUGUGCUCAGUUUUUCUCCUUCGCUUUGGUUUUGUUCUAUUGGAUUUUUCAACUAUCAUUAAUUGUGAACAUAACUGAUCAUUGAGACACAAACAUCCAAGGGAGAGUACCGUGGAACAAAAUGUGGAUAUCUUUAUACAUUGUAUGGUAGUAAACCAUCAUAAACACCAUAAUAAUGUAGAAACGCUCUUGGGGUACCUUUGGAUGAUAACUCAUGUAUUUGUUGCCCUACGUAAAGAUGGCUAAUGAUAAUGGAAGUCUAAUUUUCUCAUCCCAAUCUCUCCUGUCUCUCUUGUUCUCUUUUCUCUAUAGUUUAUUUCCAACAAGUUGUGUUAUUUUUUUUUUUUAGUAUUGUUAAGCAACCAAUAGAUUUUAAUUAGCAGUCUUUGUUUUUUUCUUUUAUAUUUUUAAUCAAUUUCAGUUGCUUAUCCGUUCUAGCAAAUUGAGCUCUUUUACAGCAAUUUUUUUCUUUAAAUGAAAUUAUUAUUAUUAAAAGAGUGAGAAAAUUCGAAAUUAUUACAACAAUUUAAAAAAAAGAAGUUUCGAAUCAUAAACACAGAGGGAGUUUACAACAUUUUAAUUAAGAAAUUAGGCUUCAGCUCAACUCAUCUUUGCAACGUCGGUUCCACUUCACAUCAACAUGCAAUGUUUCAGAAGGUCACGCGGUUUUGGGGUUGUUGUGUACCAAUAAUAUUAUAUAUAUAUAAAUUAGGAUUGAAGGAUACACGCAUUUUGUAGAGCUUAUUUUGUUAUGUAUUUUAAUGAUUUAAAUGCUUACGUUUUUCUUCACUACAAAUGAGUGAAUUAAUGAUUUUAGAAUUUGUCUAAUUUUUUACAUUGAUUAUUUAUGAAUAUUGAAUUGAAAUAUAGACGAUUCAAAAAUCGUUGAUAUACAUUACAAAAUGAACUCCACAAAAUAAGCGUCAAAAUAUGUAUAUAAAAUGGACAGCGUGAAAGGCUUGGAAAUUGGAAUAGGUUUGAAAAUUGUGCUUUUUGUAGCAAAUUGUAGCAAAGUUUGCUUGGACUUUCACAACCGUAUAAAUUAUGCCGCAGCACUCUCUAUUUUCUCUCUCGCUCUAUAUCGUGGUCCCUCUCUCUCGCCGUCCUCGAUUGCUCGAACUCACUAUCCUUUAUUGCUCGAACUCACCGUCCUCAAUUGCUCGAACCCACUGUCCUUUAUUGCUCGAACUCACUGUCUCCAACUUCCUCUGUUUGGUUCCCGAUGAAGAUGGUAAAACAGUAGGGGCAAGAAAUUAUGACAAUGUUAGAUUUGCAUAUUAAUCUGGUAGGGCUACAAUUCUCCAAUCCACACCCCUUCCAUCUAUGCUAGUGUUUGUACCCAAUAUUAGAUAUCCGGUCUGUGCAAUCGAGAUCGUUGAAUGAGAAAAAUUCUAAGCCGUGGGAUCAAAUAUAAUGAUGUGGAUUAAAUAAGAAAAAUUUAAAUGUUUAUCUUGGUUGAAUUACCAUGAUAAUAUUGUGGAAUUAUCUUCUGCAUAACGGGAUAGCGAGAAAAGUCCAAGGGUGUAGGGAAGUUGUGUGGCUGACUACCGCUUUUUUUUAUGGUGUCAUUAGUAGAGUAAUAUCACACUUAACAUUUAUUUGUACCAUCUCUCUAAUAAAGAUAAAGACCAUCAAUGCAUAAAUAAUGAUACAAAUAUAUAAUAAGAGUAUCAUAUUUGUAACUAGAAUAGGAGAAGAAAGACUUCAAGAUGGGGUCAGCCAAAUAAUUAGCGUCAGGAUAAAAAUAUGAGUAAUGAUAUUUGUAAACAUCGAAAUUUCGGUAAAUAAAUGUUGACCGAUAAAUCAAAGUUUCAACGCUCAUGUAUUACAUAAAUUUUACACGUAGCGUAUGUCUAAACAAAAAAUCGAAAUAAGUUGGAAAAGUCAUCAAACAGGACACAUGUCAACACCUGGCAGAAACGACUUAUUUCAUCUGGAAUAUUAUAUUCAAAAUUAGGCAUUGGAAAAUUCUAUAAAUAGAAGCCAAUUUCAUUCAUUUGAAGGAACCAAAAUCAUUAGGCAAAAUUCUUGAAGCUCUGAAGCUCUGAAACUCCGAAACUCUCAAGCAUCCAGGUUCCCGAAGAAUCAAGAAAGCUCUCUUCGUUCUUCGUUCUUCGUUCAUCGUUCAUCCUAAGAUCAAGCUCCAACGGCCCUUUAGAUCAACAAUCAUCCACUAAUUCAAGAUCAAGCCCCGACGGCCCUUGAAGAAAGUGUUCUUCAUUCUUCGUUCAUCGUUCUUCCAAGAUCAAGCCCCAACGGCCCUUUGGAUUAACAAUCAUCCACCAAUUCAAGAUCAAGCCCCAACGGCCCUUGAAGAAAGUGUUCUUCGUUCUUCGUUCAUCGUUCUUCCAAGAUCAAGCCCCAACGGCCCUUUGGAUUAACAAUCAUCCACCAAUUCAAGAUCAAGCCCCAACGGCCCUUGAAGAAAGUGUUCUUCGUUCUUCGUUCAUCGUUCUUCCAAGAUCAAGCCCCGACGGCCCUUGGAUCAACAAUCCACCAAUUCAAGAUCAAGCCCCAAAGACCCUUGAAGAACUUCUACCAAUUCAAGAUCAAGCCCUGACGGCCCUUGAAGAAAGUGUUCAUUGUUCAUCAUCCGUUCAUCCCGAAGAAUCAAGAAAGCCUUAUUCGUUCUUCGUUCAUCGUUCUUCCAAGAUCAAGCCCCGACGGCCCUUGGGUCAACAUCAUCAACAAAUCCACACAUCCAACCGUUCUUCAAGAUCAAGCCCAAAAGCCCUUGAAGAUCCGUUCAUCACCGUUAUUCAAGAUCAAGCCUUAACGGCCCUUGAAGAAACACUCAUCCUCAAGAUCAAGCCCCAACGGCUCCUUGAAGAUCCGCUCAAAUCCACCUUCAAAGAUCAAGCCCACGGCCCCUUGAAGAAACAUCCAACAGUUCAUCCAAGAUCAAGCCUCGACGGCCCUUGGAUCAACGAAACAUCUACAAAUCAACACCUUACGGAGAUCGAAUCAGAUGAUCAAAUUAGAGAGAGAUUGUAACCCUAAAUCAUCAAAAUACAAAUAUUAUUUUGUGCACGUUGUUCUUAUCUCUUUCGUUUCAGGAAAUUUUCGUGUUCACAAUAUUCUUACCAUCUAAAUAUACUAUAAUUUUAUACCAUCUUAUGUGGCAAUUGAGAUGGACUUCCACAUAAGUUUUAAAAAAAUCUCAUGUCAGCUAAGGUGGAUAUUUACGAUUUUACGAUUUUACUCAAUGAUUUUUAUUAAUAAAAUAAUUAAAAAAUAAUAAUGAAACCUACUUGCUCCCGUUUUCAAGCCUCAUCGCUGGGCCUCCUCCCUCUUCGCUCUCCAAUUUCACCUUCCUUCACCAACGAUCGAUGGUGCUCGACCCCCUUCAUCAUUGCCAACUGGCCGAAUAUCUUGAUGGUGCUCCCAGUGAUUGUUUUGCUCUGCCACCAAAUCAAGUUUGCAAUUUUAAUGGUUUAUGCCUUCUGGCCAAGUGUUGGAUUUGAUAGGUUUUUAAUUCCAGCAACAUUGAACAAAAAUAUGAAAAGGAUUGGAUACGAUAUUUUCCUCUGUUCUACUGCUGAGGAUUUUCCGAAUAGAAGAAGAUUUGGAAGACAACCUCUUUUCUUUUUUCUUCAUGGACUUUUGGUUAGCACCAAAAUCUUUUCCUAAUCCUCUAUAGGAAUGAAAAUUUCAUUCCAUGUUAUAUCCCGAUGUUGUCCAAGGUUUUGGCUUGAAUUUUCAUUGGAAUUAUCAUAUGUUGGAUCAGAUCAGGUGGAGAGAUGAAACGUAUCUAACAAGGAAGUUGAACGGGUAGGGUUUGAGCAAAAAUAAACAGAAAUUCCACCUAGGUUGACACCUAAGCUUCCACAUCAUGUGGUAUACUAAAUGUGGUAUAAUAAGAUGGUAAGAAUAGCAUUAUUGAAUGGGUAAUGUUAAGAGAAAUUUUUAGUUGUGACGGGAACACGGAUGGUACACCAUGCGUUUUUAUGUAAAUGGUGGAAAAUUUUAAUUUUUAAAUUAUUAACCUUUUAGCACACAUAUCCCACCAUUUAUAUGAAAACACGUGAUGUAUCACCUCGUGUGAUAGUCACAUUGAAAAAUCUCUCGUAAUGUUAGGAAAACUAAAUUUAUAAACAAAAGUUACAAAUUAAAUGAUGGGUUACCAAUAAGAAUGAUUACGUUUAUCAAUGCUUAAAUAAUAAAUCAUUCAUCAACUUCCAGUCCUUUAGUUUUUAAAAUUUUGUCUAACAUUACCCUUUCAAAACUCAUGAAAAUAAUUUUCAAUUUUUUUAACUGAAAAGUGAAAGUUACUAAACAAGAUUUCAGUUUUUAGCUUUCAAAAAAAUAAAAACAAAAGCUAAAAAUAAAAUGGUUAUCAAACAUCCCUAGAAGUCAUUCUUAGUGAUAGUAAGGUCAUCUCCAACCGAAAGAUCCAGGGGGCUAGAGGGCCGAAAAUAGUCUGAAAACCAUUUCCAAUCAAAGGCCAUGCCAAAGGGGUCGUGGACCCCAUUAGACAAAAAAGGGCCAAAGGGCCAACUGGCUGGCCCCAGUUCCAACAAUAACUAGAUGACGUCAGUUAACCGUUAUUUUUGAAUUUUUUUUUUAACAAAUUUUAACUUUCUAAGCCAUUAAACAACAUUAAAUUAAGUAAAAAAGAAAAUUCCUAUAACUUCCUAAGUCAUUAAACAAUAUUAAAUUAAGUAACAUGAAACAACAUUAAACAAUAUUAAACAAAAUUAAACAAUAUUAAACAACAUUAAAUAACAUUUAACAACAUAAAAAUUAUACAACAUAAAAAAAAACAUUUAAGAACAUAAAAUUUAAAUGCCUACUUCAUGCUUCUUUUGGCCCAAAGAUGUGCAACAAGAUCCUAAUGUAGGUACUUGUUUGUGGCACGAGAGCGUAUCAUCCUAACCGUUAGAUUUGAUUUUUUUUUGUUUUCGGCCAAAUUUUUUUAAAUUUAAAAAUAAAUUAUGUUUGACCUUUUGGCCCUCGAUUGGAGAUAGUUUUUUUUGUGACAUGACUAUGUUUAGCCCUAUGACCCUUUGGCCCUCAGUUAGAGAUGGUAAGAAAUAUGACCCAACAAUGUUCAUUAAAAUAUUAAUUUCUUGAAGAGCCAGAGGGCUAAAACGAGCCAUCCUUCGGUUGGAGAUGGCCUAAGAAGAGACUAGAGAUAGAGAGAUUCCUAUACUUAGCUGUGAGAGUUUCCUAUAUAUGAUUUUCAUUAACAAGAUUGAACUGAUUACAUAGAGAAGAAGAUCAAGUAUGGUUAUUUUUAUUUGGGAGACUUUGGAUGUGGUCCUUAGUUAUGAAUAUUAUUUGAUUGAAAUCUUGUUGGUUUUUAAUUUUUUAUCAAGAUCCCUGAAAUUAAUGUGAUAAUUUAUUUCUAUGUAAGUUACUAUAUUUUUUUAAUUAGAAAUUAGAAAUUUUAGUUGUUUAUAUAAAUGAGAUUUUAAAUUAAAAAAACCAUAAUUUGUGGGAUUAAAAAUAUUAAAAUAUAAAUAUACUAUUGUGUGUGUGUGUGUGUGUGUGUGUGUAUAAAUAUGGGUACAUUCAUCAAAAUUAACCAAAAAAUUUAUUGUAUCAAAACAUGGGUACAUUCUUCAAAAUCACAAAAAAAGAAAGAUAUUAGGCUUAAUAACAUUAGUAAAUUUCUUCGAUUAAACUUGACAUGGAUACAUUUUAAAAUCAAAGAAAAAAAAUGUACCCAUAUAAGUUUAAAAAUGGAUUAGAAAAAAAAAUUGAAUAGAUUUUAUACAAAAAAAGGGUACGUUUUACAUAUAACAAAUUGGUAUAUUUAAGAAUGAGUACAUUUUAAGAUUAAAAAGUUUUACAUGAAUGGGUUCAUAUAAUUAGCAUGGGUACAUUUAGCAAAAUAAAAAGUACAAAUACAAAAAAAUAUAUGUGUACAAAUACAAAUAAACUUUAAAAAAUAUGGGCACAAAAAGAAAUUAAUAUAUGGGUACAAAUUAAAACCGAAAAGAAAAUUGGUACAAGUUAAAAAAGAAUUACAAAUUAAAAAUGGGUACAAACUAAAACUAAAAAUAUAUGAUAAAAAAUUUAGUCAUAAAUAUAAAUAUACUAAUUGUAACAUUUUUAACAUUAAAUGAAUAUAUUUAGACAUAAAAAAUAUAUUUUAUUAUUGAAAUAAUUAAUGAUGUUAUUAAUACCCAAGGACCUUGAUAAAAAAUUGAAAAGAAAUAGAAUUUUAAUCAAUGGAGUAGCAAAAGAAAAGAUGAGAACCUAAUUUCUCCUUUGUAUUGUGUAGACAUUAUAACUAUACAUUCAUAAUAACAUGAGUAAUGUUAUAUUUAUCACAUUUGUACUCUUUCUCCAAUAAAGAUAGGGUCCAUCAACACAUGUGGGUUCUAUUUGCCCAUCAACACAUGCGAAUCUCAUUUUUAUUAGAAAAAUAGUACAAAUAUGAUAUGGAAAUUAUGAUAAGAUCGCAAUUUUGUAAUAACAUAUAUACUCAACUAUUUAUAUACCAACUCAUCUCCCUUUAGUGUAGUUAAUAUUGUUUGUUCAACCAAAAAAAAAAAAACUGAACUUGUCAUAAUCAUUGAAUCCAUUUACCAUGAACAAACGGCAGUUUACUAAACUUGCCCUCAGAGUAUAUAUAAAAGGUGAAUCACAAUCUAUUGCAUUAAUAUAAGGAAACAAUUUAUAGGGUUUGACGGGUGACUUAAUAUGCUAUAUGGCACAAUGAAAAUUAAGUUCACACUUUAUCCCAAAUAAGGUGUUGCACCUUUAAUUUAUGGAUGCUGGUUUGACGUGUGACCGAAAUAAUCAAAUUGUAGCCAUUAAUCAUUUUACAAGUAAUAAUAUGUGGUUUUAUUGUUUACGAUUCACACAACAAUCUGCUAGGAAGUAGAAAAUGCAGUACUUGUCCCUCUCACAGAAGUCAUGAAUAAUUAUCAAAUUCAAAGAUAAAGAAAAACCACACAAUUUACAAGAGGAAAGAAAAUGAAGGGAUAAAGAAAGUAAGAAAGGAAUACCUCUAUGGGAGGACUCUUAUUUGCUUCAGAUGCCUACAAUAUUCAUCAUAUAAACACUGAUUAAGUAGUCAUCGAAAACCAAAACAAAUGUCGAACAUAGGGUGAAAAACAGAAAGAAUAACCGCAGCUCAUCAUACCAAUAGAGAUAGAACUGCCCGAUGCCCAAGUAUGACUGAAAAAUGGCAAUCCAAACAUGGCGCCUUCUAGCUCAUCAAACUGUCAAAACCUAGGUUCCACCAAAAAGAUACAAGUCACCUAGUUACUUGUAAAAUAAAAAUCUGUUUCAAAAUAGUGGAAAAUAUUAUUAACAUUGUUCAAAGUCCACAUUGUUGUACCUACCAAGAAACAAGAAGGAUUGUAUCUUAUCAUGAAAAAGAACAUAGGUACCUUUUCAAUUGUAAUUGUACAAAAAUGAGAGACCACUUCCGAACUUCUCUUGGAACUUCAAUCAAUUUCUGCCCACUUUUAAAUGCCUUGACAUACUUAAGCCUAUUUCUUUGAGCUUCAGUUUUGGCUUCUGAUGCCUUUAAAUUUCUUAAAGAUUCUUACCAAGUUUUACAAACUCACUUCUAUACAACCAUUUGUCAGUAUACAUACCAUUUUCUUUGAGCUUCAGUCUUUGCAACACCAAAACCCCCCAAAUAGACCCGGAAUUUUGCAAUGUGCAGGGAAUAUACAAAAAAAACCCUCCUAUCCAUCUAAAACGAAAUCAGAACGCAAACCACAAUCAAAAUCCGUAAAAUUAAUUUAGCCAACCCCUAAAUCUAAUAAUUCUAACAAAUAUUAUAGUAUCAAUUGAGAGAGAAUUUGAGAAGAUACCUAGAGAUGAAAGGAAGAGCGUUUCCUCUGAUAGGGGUUCCGUGAAAGCAUCUGUUGACCAGAAAAGAAAAGGCAAAAAACCCCAAAUUACAUAUCAAGCAAUUAUAGAUAGAUCGAACCUUGAAAAUUGAAAUUUCAAACAAGAGAAAGGUUAUAAACUUACAACGAUCUGGGUGUUGGUAACUGGGUUUGGAUUUGGGUUUCUGAUAAGAGAGAGAAUCGUAUGAGGAACCGAUAGAGGAACUGCACCGGCAACAGAGAGCAAUUGAUAUGGUGGAGAACAGACGAGAAUAGCUGCUUGGAUGGUCAAUCCAAGAAGAGAAAAUCUUGCCACAAUCGCGGUACUUGAAAAAAAAAAAAACAAGUUUAAAGGAGGGAAACAAUCGCGCCUUUUUCUAAUAGACUCUGUCGACGAUAUUCUUGACAAAUAGAUGCUUCGUCGGGUGAGCUUAUUUUUCACAACAUUUUAUUUAGGAUUGGGUUCGGUUGGUAAACCGUGUCAAAUUUCUUGUGCCACUUGCCAGCCACAUAUACAUAAUUACCGAAAAUCAGUUACCGUUAGCCAACCGUCUUCUUGCGGUUGCCAAAAAUCGGUUCAGCCAAAAUGAUUGGCUGGUUCGGUUGGUAAAUGGCACAACCGGUGGUUUCCACUUCUUCCUCGCUAUCUUCCAGUUCCAAGGGCUCAAUUUGAUUUUCAGAUUGGGAUGCUUGUUCGGUUGCAUUGUGUGGUUCAUUUUGGGUUAAUCCAUGUUGUGCACUAGUAGUUGAUUGGCUAGACUCCAUUAUCCUAAACAUAAGCAACAAAUAUACAUUCAAAAUAAUAUAUAUGUACGUGUAUAUAUAGUAUCAGUAAUCAUCAUGCUAUCAAUUUUGUUAACAAUAUUUUCUAUAUAUUGAUUUUGGCAUGAAUCAUAUACACAUACAUAUAUUUUUAAAACCCUAAAACUAAGGAGUCAUUUAUUUUCUAAACUCUAAAAUUGAGGAGUCAAGCAUGUAAAAAAAUACUUAAAAUAUCUAAAUAGAAAAAGAAAAAGAAAAAAAAAUAAAUAUAUAUAUAUAUCGGUAGGUAUGGCAUACCGCCGGCAUACAAAAUCAAUUACCAAAGCCAUGCCAUUAAUUGUCGGUUCGGUAAAAUGCCAACCGAUUAUGAAAAAAUGUCAAAACUAUACCAUACCAUUUUGAGCCAACCAGUAUGGUUUGGUCAGUAAAUCGGUUUAUGGCAAAAUUUCUCACCCCUAAUUUUAUUUGUCACCUUAAACCUAUUGGUUUCUAGCCUACAAUUCGGAUAUUUUGUUGGGGAAAGAUUUUUGUACCAAUAAAAUUUUGCUUUGUCGGCAAAAUGACAUUUUCUAGUAGUUAUAAUAUUAGGUAGAUCAAAUUUGUAAACUAUGUGAUGUGUCACUAAUAGGAAAAAAUUUCAGUGUGCUGAAAAUACGGUCUAGAACACCAAGUGUCAUAAUAUAUACUUGGUUGGAAAUCUUUUAUUUUCAAGUUUCCAACUAGUUGUAUUGUAACAGUUGGUGUUCCAAGCUAUUUUCUCCAUGCGCUGGAAAAUCUCUUCACUAAUUAAAAAUAAACAUAUUAAUUAACACUUAAGUAAUAAUCAAAGCAUCAACAACUACGUCAUAGAAUUUACGAAAUAUGAUCUUAAUUAAUGAUCUCCAUUACCCUUUAUCUUAGCGUAUACGUACGCCUUCACAUGUUUAUUUGCUGAUAUGCAGCUUGAGUAAAAAUUUCUUUUUAAGAACAUAUAUGUGAAUAUAAACAUAUAUAUCUAGUGAUCCAUGUUGCGUUAUUUAAAAAUAAACAAAUUAAUUAAUUAAUGAACUGUGUACCUGUCUGUGUAGAGUAAUCCAUAUGCAUGCUUGAAUCCUGAUCACCACGAAACCAUAAUAUAAGCUACUCAAGGCCCGGAAGCUAGGAUUGAAGAGAAAAACACCCAGUCAGAUUAAGCCAAUACAUCAAAGUUAAUACUUCCAAAUGUAAGCUUUAAGAUAGAAAAAUCACUUACUUCCUUGAGCAGUCGAGCUUCUUCAAUGGCAUGAAGCUUUUAGCAUGAGAUUGACUGCAUCACAACUAAAAUUUUCUCUUGGAAACUACAUAAGGAAUAGCAUGUAUACCUAUAACGUUGAGAAAGUACGCCAAUUUUUUCCUUCUGCACAUUCAUGUUUAAAAGUAAUCCUCAAAUGAACUUGCCCACAAUGAAAUGCAAUUUGAGGUAGUCGAGUGUGUUCCAUUUCCAUCCCAUCGGAAUUACUACUAAACUUUGAGAUGGUAGAGGAUUCAUGAAAUUUUUUACUUUUGAAAUAGUCUCCUUAGCAUUUCUCGACUAUAACAAUGAGGAAAUACUUCACCUUGUAUCAAACAAGGGAGACCGAAAAUCAACUACUAAUAGCAUCACAGAGCCAGCAGAAGAUUGAGGAGGCCAUGAAAAGGAAAGAGAAAAUACACUCUUUUUUUGUAAGGACAGAGAUAAUACAUUCAAUAAAGGGUACUGAUGUUUAUAUGCAAAGCUGAUUAGGUUUAAAUAGUCGUAUUUAUUCUGUACAGUGCCAAUAUUACCACCCGUUAGUACACUUUCAAGACACUGUAAUCCAGUGUAUGCACUAUGCAGUACGUAGUACUCCUCAUUUUUUUGGGGAAAUUCAUUAUUGGUCUUCAUAUCUUCUUUAUUUUCCUUGUCCUCAUUGUGCCACGUGUUUAAAUCACUAAUUAUAGGUAAUCUUUCAAUUUAAUUAAAUCUUAUGUAAAAAAAGAUAAUUAAAUAUCAUUUAGUAUUACAAUAUAGUGAUAUUCCUCUUUAGUAUAAAAUUUUUAUAAUUAAAAGCGUUCAGCUUUUUAAUCUUCAUUGGAAUAUUAUCUAUAAAGAAAAAUUAUUCGAAUCAGAGAUCAUUUAUGCAUUCAAAUGUAUAAAAUACAUCGACAGUGUGAGAACCAACUAAUAUAUUUUUGAUGAAGUACAAUUAUUGAAUACAUUUGAACGAUCAAAUGAUAUAUGAUUCAAAAUACAUAUUAAGAUAAUAAAUAUAAAAGAAUUGUUAUUUGCACUUCAAGAAUCUCAUUCUACACUCUAAAUUUUCUAUAUAUUAAAAGAAAAAUAAAUUUGUGAAAAGUGUAGAAUGAGGUUUUUUUAAAUGCUAAUAACACUUCUCUAAAUACAAUUAUGAAAUUAAUUAAGUAAAGAUACAUGACCUCGUGAAUGAUGAAUGUAUUAUUCAAAAAAAUAUUAAAAACAAAUUGAAAAAGGACGCUGUUGUUGCCACCACUUAUGCAAUGAUCGUCGCUGCCAUCACCAACCCCCAACACCCCAUUACAGCUCAUAAAAGCACAUCAUAAGCAAUUUAUGAAAUAAAUUUACUGGAAUACUAAUUUCCCCCUUAGUUUAGGUCACCAAUGUUUAAAUUUAGGGAUCGUGAUAUCCACACACAUUUUUUACUUCUUUCACACUUUUUUUUUCGGUUGUCGGAUCAGAUGAAUUGAAGAAAAUCAAUGAACAGAAAUUAACAAGGGGUGUGUGAGAAGUAAAAAUGAAUGUGUGGAUAACACACCCCUAAAUUUAUCACAACUUUCAUUCCAAAUUUAAUUUUUAUCCGUAGUUUUGUUUGUUCAAAUUUACUUUGACAUUUCCAUUAGUAUUAAAAUCUAAUUUAAAUUUUAGUGUUCAAGCUAGAAAAAGUGUUCCAUUUAAUAUUUAAUCUCAGUUUUUCUCUUUAUUCUUUUAUUGGGAUUUGGUUGCAUCGUAUCUCCAUUUUUCUCGGUGUUGUAUGUUCAUAAGGCCUGUGAAACGUUGGCACGGAGUGAAGGGUACUCACUUUUUGGCCCAAAAUGCAUAAGGCAUGUAGAUAUGUUAAUCAAAUUUUGUAAACUAAAGGAUAUAGAAGUUGAUAAUUAGAUUAUAAUUUAAGAUAAUACUAAGGAGACUAAAUUUGCAAACUAAAUGAUGUGUCACCAAUAAAAAUAAGCACGUUUAUCAACAAUUAAGUAAUAAAUCAAUCAUCAACUUUCAUGUCCUUUAGUUUCCAAGAUUUAAUAUACAAAUUUAGUCUCCCAAGCAUUACUCUAUUACUUAAGUAUUGAUUAACAGACUUAUUUCUUAUGGUGACACAUUAUUUAGUUUACAAUUUUAGUCUACCCAACAUUACUCUUUUGAAAUUGUCUUGUCCACUGAUAUAAUUCUAUUUUUCUUGUGAUCAAAACUUCAAAUGUUAGCAAGUCGCACGUAAAGUCGCUUAUGAGAGAAUGUGCUCACAUUGUAGUUGAAAGAUUAUGUGGCUAGCAACAUUACAAAUUUAAUUUGGUAUAAUUCUAAAAUAUAGAUUGAGGAAAAAAUGAUCACAUUAACUAGAAACUGAAAAGGUUUCAGCACAGUUUGUUCAAGCAAGAAAUUCAAUUUUGAUGCUACCGAUCUUAACAGCCUGAGCGCCGUACCUGGGCACCAAAGUCACCACCACACUCUCAUCAUCUUCAGCACCCAAAUCCUCCAACAGGUCCGUUAACCCCAACCUUAAACAACUCUUGCUCUUUUCCUUCUGCUUAUGUGGCACACUCACAAAACUCCCAGCAAACUCGCUCUUGUCGGGUCCACUCGGUGCCGCAUCCUCAUCGUCCACGUCAUUCACAUACACACAUCAAACUUCACAGCCACAUCUUUGUCAAGCUCAAUCCCCUGAAUCACCAAUAUCUCCUCCUCAUCCUCUUUCUCCUUCUUGCUCCUCUUCUUCGGCUUCGGCCUUGACACCACCGUACUUAUCUUCGUCUCCAAAUUUAUUGGAAAAUCUUUACCCGCCACCACCUUCCCUGAUGACGUCGUCUCAGUGGCCUUCGCCACUCCAGCCGCCUUUGCCUUUCUCGCAAGCUUUGUCCGACGUGGCGUCGGUCUAGACUUGAGCCAUGGAAUCUCAACAUCUUCAUACGUAUACCCUAGCUUUUUAUUAUCAAGAGUGUCCCUCACCGUGACCCUAACAAGCUCAGCAUUCUCGUCAUAAAACAAAAACCCCGUAUCCAACCAAUCCUUAUCGUUAAUAUCGUUAUUUUUAGUCCCUAUACUUUUCCAAAUAUUCCACAUUCGAUCUAUAUUCGAAUGGUGCGAAAAAAAUAUUGGAUCCCUUGCAGCGGAGUAAAAAUUCCCCAUGUCUUCAAAAUUAGGCUGCGUGUUAUCUCCGGUCCAUAAAUGAACCGGACCAUGUGGGGUCGUUUCGAUUGAACCGCCCCCUGGAUCUGGUUCAGUGUCAGCCCUGUAGGGCGAACCAAAGAACAACAGCGGUUUCUUGGAGUUGGAAACCAUCUGCCUAUACAUGAUUUUGAGGUUGGCGUCGAUUUGAGCAUCCUUGGACAUUGUUUCAUCCGUGCCGUUGAAGUCAAGAUCGAUGAGAGUCGGCGGCUGAUGGCUGGCAGCGCGGAGCUCGUCGUAAAGCGGAGAGUCCGGGUUAGCGAACAAGGCAGGGAGUUGCAUGCCAGCUGGCGCGUCCCAGUUCCAAAACGGCAACGCGAACGUCGGAUCGUCUAUGAGUUUGGCCAAGAUUCUUUCGUAGAAGUAUACGUAGUAACGAUGGAAGGGGAAGAAAAGCCAGCAUUGAUGGAUUUGGAGCUCGAGGUUGGGGAAGCCGACUUGGUCGUACGCGCCGUCGCAAUAGGCACAGUGGAGAUCGGCUUGCUGGGUGAAGCUACGCGGAUCGUCGUCCGGGAGGGCUUUCAUGAGCUCGAUGGCUUUUGAAUAUUUUUCGAUGUAGGCUUUAUCCACGGUGUGAGCUGCCGGCCUGACGCGGAGUUUGGUAGGGGAGGGGAAUUUGAAGUCUACGAUUUUUUGGGACGUUGGCGGGCAACAGUUGAUCGGGACUGCUCCACUUGGAAAGUCCGCAGCUCCGCAUUUGGCUAGGUCAGGCGGCAACACUGGCUUUGCAACAGCGAAGGGGUCGCUGCCAAGACCAGCCACUCCGGCUUUGCAACAGCGAAGGGGUCGCUGCCAAGACCAGCCACUCCACCGUAGAGGCUUCCGAGACCUAUAAGAAGAUAGAAUUCAGUUCUUGGCAGUAGAGGACUCUAUUGCAGGGAAAAACUGAUUUGAAUUAGGAAGGCUUAAGUAGUUUUCCAUAAGGAUUUUAAUAGGGAAUCCAUAUUCUAAUAUGAGAAGGAUAUGUGUGUACAUAUAUAUAUAUAUAUAUGGCAAUCUCUUCUCUCACAGGUGUGUGCUCUUUUGGAACUAAGCCCUAUUCUUAGUUUGAGUGAUAAAUACCCUGACAGAGAGAAGAAGAAUUGAUGUGCUUUUCAGGUUGAUCGAGAUCCACCAUGACUGCAUCAAACGGGAGUUCUACAGGUUAGUAUAAUUAGGUUUUAUUUGGAUUGAUGUUUUGUGUCUACUUGGUUGUAGUUUAAGUAACUGAAUCUUGCAGCUAGAUUUUGGUUUACAUGUGGUAUCAGAGCCAUAGAUUCAUGUUCUUAAAUUCAAUCGAUAAAAUUGAUUGAAUCCAAAAUAAAAUUCCGAUCUUCAGACUUCGAAACAGGUUCUGGUAGUUAAAAUUAGGAAAAGAAGAAACGGUGCGUUUUGAUUAAAAUAUGAUGAUUAAUACUUGACCGUUAAGAGCUAAUAAACUAUCUUCUCUUCCGAAUUGGGAAUACAAAUCGACAUCUAUCGAUUUCGAUUUCGGGGUUUGAAAAACUGGGUUAUAUGACAUCUAUCGAUUUCGAUUUCGAGGUUUGAAAAACUGGGUUAUAUGAAUUGUUAUUGAGUAUCCACAAUUUAUAUUAAUUGCUUCCGCUGCUGGGUGUUGAUGCUCAUAGAACAAACGGGUAUGUCUCCUGAACAUUGAAUUGAAAUUUGUUUUUUAAUCAAUCUUAUCUUGAAUUUCAUUAUGUUCUACAGCAUGAUUCGAAUAGUGAGCAUAAAAAUAUGCUUAUUUAUGCUGAUUAGUCCUAUGUUUAUGCGUUUUUCUCUAACCAUCUAUGGAAGGGAGUUCUUCGAUAAGAACCUCUGCAGAUUUCACUUGUUUUAUGCAGAAAGUUUUAUGAAGAACUGUUCAUUUGAUAAAGAUCUGCUAAAACUGUGUUCUUAAAUGGAAAAAUCUUUUAUUCUAUAUGUGCUUAUCAAUUCUUCAUUGUUAAGAUUAUAUAUAUGGAUAAAAGGUUUUGAUGAUAUGAUGUACAAAGGAUUGUGAGAUGAAAUCUGGAACUCUAAACGUUCUUCUGUGAUUCAUUGUGAUUUCAUUGUGCUACAGUGUCUGCAAUAUCAAUGAAGACUCUGAAUUUGGCUAACAUCCCAAUUCUUACUGGUGGGGGAAAUUACAAGAAGUGGAGAAGGGAAAUCAGUUUGCUGUUGACUCUAAACGAGUUUGAUAUAGCAAUCGAGAAUCCCAAACCCGUGGUCAAUGAUCAGAGCAGCACAAGGGCUGAAAAGGCAGAUUUUGAGAGAUGGACAAGGGCUAAUAAGGUAGCAUUGUCCAUCCUUGAGAGUGGCAUGACUGAUACAAUCAGAUGAGGAAUUAAGAAGCACGAUUUGGCUGCUGAUUACCUAAAAGCUAUUGAAAAGAAAUUUCAAGAAUCUGAAAAAGCUGAAGUGAGUCAGUAUAUGUCUUUAUUAACUACUUACAAGAUGGAGGGUACAAGCUCUAUAAGGGAUCACAUAAUGAAGAUGACAUAUGCUGCAGAAAGACUCAAUGCAAUGGAUAUAAACAUAGGUGAAAAGCAGUUAGUAUUCAUGAUUCUUCAAGCACUUCCCAGUAAAUAUAGUCAGUUGAAGAUCUCCUACAAUACUCAAGACAAAAACUGGGAUAUUGAUCAGUUGAUUGCACAGUGUGUGCAAGAAGAAACUCGUCAAAAACAAGAAAGAGGCAAAGAAGUUGAGGACAUCAACUUUGUGCAAACUAUAAAUGACAAAAAGCAGUUCAACAACAGAAGCUUUUCUGGUUCUGGUAAGAGUUCUAAGCCUUUUAAAACUUCUAAUAAGUUCAGUAAUUCUGCUAAAGUAGUUGACUCCCCUAGAAAAUCUAUCAAGUUUAAAGCUAAACCUAAAGAUGUGUCUAAAUUAAAAAUGUUUUUGGUGCAAAACUAAGGGCCAUUUAAAAGUUAACUGUGAAAUUUUCAAAGAUUAUGUAAAGAGCAAAGAAAAGGAACAAGUACUUGUCUGUAUUGAAUCAAAUUUGUGAAGUAUACCUGUUGAUUCUUGGUGGUUUUGAUAUACCGGAUGCUCAGUGCAUAUAACUAAUUCUUUAAAUGGUUUUCAAAAACAAAAGGAAUUUGGAAAUGCUACAUAUAAUGUUUUUGUUGGGGAAGGAACUAAAGUUGCAGUAGAGUCAAUUGGGAUAGUCAAAUUAGUCUUAUGUUCUGGUUAUGUUUUAGAGUUGAAAGAUGUGUGCUAUAUGUGCCUAAGAUGAGAAGAAACUUAAUUUCUGCCCUCUAAAAUUGUAAAAGAUGGUUUUUCUUUUCUUGGUGAUGAUGAGUGCCUCAAAAAUUUUCAAGAAAAACUGUCCUUGUCCUAACACUAUUUUAGGGACUGCUUUUUUGUCUGAUAAUUUAUGGAAUCUAAAUUGCACUGUUAAGGCACUCAAUCACACGAUUUUCAGCAUUAGUACUAAGAGAAUGAUAGGUCAGGAUACUUCAUACAUUUUAUGGCACAAAAGACUAGGACACAUCUCUAAAGAAAGGAUAAUUAAGCUGUAAAAAACUGACUUGAUUCCAAAAUUAGAUCUUUCUACUGCAACUGAAUGUGUUGACUGCCUAAAGGGUAAAAUGACCAAUUUUAGAAAAACAGAUGCCAAAAUGAGCCAGGGGUUACUUGAAAUCAUACACACUGAUAUCUGUGGUCCUUUUCCAGUUAAGACAAUAUGUGGAAACAAGUAUUUCAUUAAUUUCAUAGAUGAUUUUUCAAGGCUGGGAUAUACCUUUCUGAUUAAUGAAAAAGCUGAUGCCCUUAAGUGUUUUAUAAUUUACAAAACUGAGGUUGAAAAACAGUUAGGCAAGGUUAUUAAAAUUGUUAGAUCGGAUAGGGGAGGUGAAUACUUUGGCAGGUACACUGAAUCCGGGCAGCAAAAGGGACCAUUUGCUCUCUAUCUCGAGAAGAAUGGUAUUGUGGCGCAGUACACCACACCUGGAACGCCUCAACAGAAUGGUGUUUUUGAAAGAAGAAACAGGACUCUUAUUGGUAUGGUUAGAAGCAUGAUGUCCAGAUCAAAAUUGCCAGGAUUCUUGUGGGGAGAAGCUUUGAAAACAGCUAAUCAUAUAUUGAAUCGAGUUCCAAGCAAGGCAGUAUCUACCACACCCUAUGAGUUAUGGCAUGGGAGAGUUCCUAGUUUUACUUAUUUCCAUGUUUGGGGUUGUAAAGCAGAAGCUAAGUUAUAUAAUCCUAAUGAAAGAAAGCUGGAUUCAAGGACUCAGUCAUGUUAUUUUAUUGGCUAUCCUGAGAAAUCAAAAGGAUACAGGUUCUAUAUCCCUCAAGGUCACACUCGGAUCCAAGAGACACACAAUGCAGUUUUCCUAGAAGAUGAAGAUGUCUCUCAUUUGUCAAGGGAAAAUUUCAUAUUUGAAGAGAUGCAUUCAGAUGGUGGGGACCAUGUGACAAUGGAUUAUAAUAUCGGUCUCAUUGUUUCCCAAUCAAUCAUCAAUUGCCAUUGAAGAUAUGAGUGAAGAUUUAGGAGUUCCUGAUGACAACUCUGUAGGAGUUGAUUCCACAACAUAAGCUGCAACAAUUCCUUUUGCAGAAGCAUGUGAACCAGUUGCUGUUCCACCUCCAGUUGAAAUCAGAAGGUCACAAAGAGCUCGGAAAACCACUGCAAGCAAUGACUAUGUGUACUUAUAAGAGACUGAGUUCGAUAUUGGUGACAUUUGAUGAUCCUCUUACAUAUACUCAGGCAACUGAAAGUCCUCAAGCAGUUCUUUGGAACAAUGCAAUGAAGGAUGAGUUAGAUUCAAUGUCCAAAAACCAGGUUUGGACAUUGGUGGAAUCCAACUCUGAAAUUAGGCCAAUAGGCUGCAAGUGGGUAUAUAAAACCAAAAGGGAUGCUGCUGGAAGAAUUGAAAGAUAUAAAGCAAGGUUGGUUGCUAAGGGGUUUACUCAAACGGAGGGGAUCGACUAUAAUGAUACUUUCUCUCCAGUUUCCUCCAAAGACUCCAUGCGAGUUAUCAUGUCUUUAGCUGCCUACUUCGAUCUUGAAUUACAUCAAAUGGAUGUAAAAACCGCUUUUCUUAACGGAGACUUACAAGAGGCUAUAUACAUGAAACAACCUGUUGGAUUUGUUGAAAAGGGGAAAGAGAAUUUAGUAUGCAAGCUCAAUAAGUCCAUAUACGGCUUGAAACAAGCAUCAAGGCAAUGGUACCUAAAGUUUGAUCAAAUUGUCUCUGCAUAAGGUUUUGUAGAAAACAAACUGGAUGAUUGUAUAUACAUUAAGUUCUCAGGUUCCGAGUUCAUCUUCUUAGUACUUUAUGUUGAUGCCAUUCUCCUAGCUAGUUCAUGUCCCCAAUUGCUUCAUAGCAUUAAGAGAAUGCUAAGUGAUAACUUUGAGAUGAAAGAUCUUGGAGAAGCACAUUAUGUACUAGGAAUAGAGAUUGUUCGAGAUAGGAAAAUGAGGCUCCUUGGUUUAUCUCAAAAGGGGUACAUUGACAGAGUGUUGGAGAAAUUUCAUAUGGCAAAUUGCAAUUGUGGUCAGGUUCCAGUCAAUAAAGGUGACAAGUUUUCGAAGAUUCAAUGUCCAAGAUCUGAUUUGGAGGUGAAGAAAAUGCAAGCUAAGCCUUAUGCCUCGUUGAUUGGAAGUCUUAUGUAUGCAACUAUCUGUACAAGGCCUGAUAUUGCCUUCAUAGUUGGUAUGCUAAGACGAUUUCAAGCAAAUCCUGAGAAGCACAUUGGGGGUGGCAGCCAAGAAGGUUCUUCGAUACUUGCAGAGAACCAAAACUCACAUGUUAGUAUAAUGGCCGAACUGAUUCUUUGGAGCUCAGGGGGUAUAUACUCGGAUUUAGCUGGAGAUGUGGAUGACAGGAAGUCCACAGGGGUUAUAUCUUCAUACUCAAUGGAGGGGCAGUUUCGUGGAAAAAUGCAAAGCAAACUAUUAUAGCCACAUCAACUAUGGAAGCUGAGUUUGUAGCCUGUUUUGAAGGCAUGAAACAGGCAGCAUGGUUGAAGAAUUUUUUGACAGAUUUAAAGAUUGUGAAUUCGGUUCAGAAACCAGUAACAAUGUUCUGUGAUAAACAACUCGGCUGUGUUUUUUGCUAAGAAUAAUAAAAGGACUUCAGCAUCUAGAUUUGGAUGGACGAAGUUUCUUAAGGUCAGAGAACAAGUCAAGAAAGGAGUUAUUGAAGUACAGCACAUUAGCACUACUAUGAUGAUUGCUGAUCCCUUGACUAAGGCACUGCCAAUUGGAGAAUUCAAGAAACAUGUUUCUUCAAUAGGAGUACUAGAAGGUUUUGAUCAGUGGGAGUAAUCACGUGUGUGUUAAAGGCUUGGGAUUGCAGAAGCAGAAGUAUAUAUGUGUUUCAAGAACUGUAUGUGCAAUUCUGACAAGCUGAACUAAGGAUGCUUUAUGUUUUAACUUGCUUUAGUUAGUUUGUUAAGGUUGUUUGUGUUUUAAUAAGUGUCCUUGUCUGCUACUCAAUACUUUGGCUUUCAGGUGUUGAGGUACGGAUACUGGACUGAGUUAGAAUUUAGUUUCAUUAGUAACUUUGAAAGAACAGUUUGUCUGUUUUUUAAGUUUGUGGUUAAUGAUGUUAUAUAGUCAAUUACUAUGUUGCUUUUCUGUGAAGAUUAAUGUGUGUUGUGAUCUUUUGAAAAGUGGGAGCAUAAUGUUUGACGGUUUAUGUUAGUCAUGAGUCAUAUUUACAAAUUGAAUAUAUGUGAGCCUUGAAUUAAUACUACAAUUUGGUUGUGGUCUGAGAUUCUUGGUUUCUAUAUUUUGAGAUGUAAUGGGACAGUGGUCAUGAUGGUUAAAUCUUAGAUGAGGUUAUGUGAUCACUUCUUAUGAUUGGUGACGGCAAGGUUUGAUCUUUGUCUCAUGUUCAAGUGGGAGAAUGUAAGAAUGUGAACAUGAGAUAAGAUGAUCGGAUAUUAGUUGUUUGAGUCCAAUCCGAAUAAGAAAGCCUCUAAGAAGAUGGAAUUCAGUUCUUGGCAGUAGAGGACUCUAUUGCAGGGAAAAACUGAUUUGAAUUAGGAAGGCUUAAGUAGUUUUCCAUAAGGAUUUUAAUAGGGAAUCCAUAUUCUAAUAUGAGAAGGAUAUGUGUGUACAUAUAUAUAUAUAUAUGGCAAUCUCUUCUCUCACAGGUGUGUGCUCUUUUGGAACUAAGCCCUAUUCUUAGUUUGAGUGAUAAAUACCCUGACAGAGAGAAGAAGAAUUGUUGUGCUUUUCAGGUUGAUCGAGAUCCACCAUGACUGCAUCAAACGGGAGUUCUACAGGUUAGUAUAAUUAGGUUUAUUUGGAUUGAUGUUUUGUGUCUACUUGGUUGUAGUUUAAGUAACUGAAUCUUGCAGCUAGAUUUUGGUUUACAUAUUUUUCGAUGUAGGCUUUAUCCACGGUGUGAGCUGCCGGCCUGACGCGGAGUUUGGUAGGGGAGGGGAAUUUGAAGUCUACGAUUUUUUGGGACGUUGGCGGGCAACAGUUGGUCGGGACUGCUCCACUUGGAAAGUCCGCAGCUCCGCAUUUGGCUAGGUCAGGCGGCAACACUGGCUUUGCAACAGCGAAGGGGUCGCUGCCAAGACCAACCACUCCGGCUUUGCAACAGCGAAGGGGUCGCUGCCAAGACCAGCCACUCCACCGUAGAGGCUUCCGAGACCUAUAAGUACAUUUCUUCUGUCUAGGUUUACUAGAGAAGGGUUUUCAUGGUCGUGAUCGUUGGAGCUAGUGGAAGGGUUUUUGUUUUGGUCACUACUAUUAUUUGUGGCUUUGCACGAGACAGCUUGUAAAUUGGAAUGCCUAGGGUUUCCAAAUGAGGAUAUUCGGUGAUACUUUUGGGAGAAAGGGGAGAGAGAAGUUGUGGGGAUGAUACUUGUGGCGGAGGUGACGAGUGGAGCUGACAUAGAAGCCAUGGUACUUGACUCUGAAUAAUACGUUGUAUUGGCUUUGCUUUUAUAAUGUGUUCUAGGUUUUACGUUUCUUUGCACGGGUGGCAGGCCGUACACACGUGGUCGGUCCUUAAGGGUUUGACGAGGAAUACUACGCAGUCAUUUAGUACAUGACAACCAUACACUAUAGCACGUGGCAUGUAUUUAGAGAUCGAGAGAGAAUUGGGUAAGGUUCACGAGGGAUUGUAGUUUCAGAAGGUGAAUUGGUUUUGGUCUUCUUGUGUACCAAUAAUUUUUACUUAGUCAUUUAGUGCAGGACAACCAUGCACUAUAGCACGUGGCAUGUAUUCAGAGAUCGAGAGAGAAUUGGUUGGGUAAGGUUCACGAGGGAUUGUAGUUUCAGAAGUUCAAGCGGUUUUGGGCUUGUUGUGUACGGCUGUGGGUCUGCUGUCACGGACUCUCUGUCUCAUUUGUGUCUUAUUUUUUAUUUUUUGACACGUUUUAACGUCAAAUCAUUAUAGCAAUGUUAUGCAAUUGGGAGCUAAAUGACCGAUGCUCUUAUUUUUUAGUUUGCUUUUUUUCCAGAUCUGAUCAAAUCAUGAUAGCAAUGUUAUGCAAUUUUCAAGAGGGAGAGAUGCACCUGGGAGAGAAACGGUACGGUGACUUCUAAAUCACCGUCCAACAGAACAAUUCUCAGUAGAGACUACUAGAGAGAGAUGCACCUCACCAAUGAAAAAUUUAACUGCAAAAAUUCUGGGUAUCGGGAGUUGUGGGGUGGGUCUUGGCAGUUUUCUUAUUUCUUUGAAUUUUUUAUAAUUUAUUUUAUAAAAGUAACAGUGUUUUGUGGGGGUUAAAUUGUAAAACACGUGUCAUCAAACUAAAUAAAGAGACACCAAAGAGACAUGGAAUUCGGGACAACAGACCCACAGCCGUUGUGUACGGAGGCAGACUCUCUGCUCUCCUACUUUCUGUGUCCUCCUGUUUUGUGUAGUCACGAUUAAAUCACGUCAAUAUUUUAUAUUAUUAUUUUAUAGAUAUAAUAAGACAAAAAAGAAUAGUAAUUUAAAAUAUUAACGUGACUUAACUGUGACCACACGAAUAGGAAGGCAUGAGAAGUGGGAAGGCAAAGAAUAUGCCUCCGUUGUGUACCAAUAAUAUUAUAUAUAUAUAUAUAUAUAUAUAUAUAAUUAGGAUUGAAGGAUGUAGAGCUUAUUUUGUUAUGUAUUCUAACAAUUUAAGUGCUUAUCUUUUAGGUUUUCUCUUAAACAGCAUGCCUAUAAAAAAUCACCAAAAUUCAAACCAUAUGACCAUUAGAUCCAUAGUCAUUUUAGUGUUAAAUGAACUUCACAAAAUAAGUCUCAAAAUAUGUAUAAAAAAUGGACAGCGUGAAUGGUUUGGAAAUUGGAAUAGGUUUGGAAAUUGUGCUUUUUGUAGCAAAUUGCAGCAAAGUUUGCUUGGACUUUCACAACCGUAUAAAUUAAACUGUUCGCUUUGUUGGGAAAAACAAGUUUGCCGCUGGUCUUGGGUUCCAAGAUCGGCCAAUUUGACGGCACACUUUUUGGCGUUGAGAAGCAGUACGGAGAUGUGCAGAUUAACUUGGAUUGAUACUCCUCCAUCUUCGUUGGUUCGUGUAUUGAACAAAGAUGGCCUUCCUUGCCCUCCUUAAUAUUUUUUGUUCUUCCUGCAGUGGAGGCGGUGACGCCUUGCUCUUGGUGCAGCGUCUAGUGUUCUGUACCCUCCUCUUCUGCAUAUGUUUGUAUUUCCCCUCGUUGCCCCUUCUAAGUGGGCUUCCUAUUGUUUUGGCUUCGGCCCUGGUUAUGAAAUAUUUCCAAUCUUACCCAAAAAAAAAAAAAAAAAGAAGAAGAAGAAGAAGUCAAGCACGGUGGGAGACUGGUCAUAGUUUCUAGAUUGAUGCUCUAAUUCUAAUGUUAUACAACGCGUACGCUAAAAUAUUUUUAUCAAAAUAUUAGUUUUAGUGUUAUCAAAACAAUAAUGUUAUUCUUACCAUGUUUUUGUAUCACAAUUAUAUACCACCUUAGAUGGCAUAUGAUGUAGAUAGCCACAUCAUUUAAAUUAAUAAGCAUUUAAUUUCAAAUGUUAAUCAAUAAUUAAUAAAAUGAUUGUUAAUUAAAUGAUGAUUAUGGUAUACAAGGAGUCUCCUUCUUCCUUCCCCUUUCCAUUCUGCUUUUUCUUCCUACCACUUUCUGUUUUUUUUUUCAUGCCAGUUUUUGUAUUGAUUUCUAUUGAUUUCCAUGAUUAUGGUCAAUCUUUAUAGAAUUUACUCGUAUACCACAACCACCAUUGAUUUCUAUCUCUAGACUCAUGCCCCGUAGCCCUAAUCCUCAUUCCCCUUCAAGUAUUUCUGUCUCCAAUCUUCUUUGGUACUCCAUGGUUGUUCAUCUCGUGAUUUUUUUUUAUUAUUUCAUUAAGUAACGCCUAUUAGCUUUCAUGCGAAUUAGGAGUCAAAAUCAAAUUUGUCUAUCGGAUUAGGGUUCAUGCCCAAUUAAGUUACUAACGCAAGAGAGAUUUUGAAGUCUACAAUUUUCCUUAUUUAAGUGUUUUAAUUAAUAAGAAAAUUGAAAUUAAACGAUUUAGCUUGUCCAACUCAUCUGCCACCUAAGAUGGUAAAUAAAUGUGGUAAGAAUAGCAUUACUCUUAUCGAAAUUACAAAAAAAAAAAAAAAAAAAAAAAAAAGCUGAUUCAAUAUUUAGUUAUUAAAAAAAAUAUAAAAAAAGUGAUCAAGUAACUAUCCAAUACCCAUGUAUUGGGUGCUUUGUUUGAAAAUUUUCAAAAUGAUAUUGGGCUCGUUUGGAUAUGUUUUUAAAAUGACUGAAAGCGUUUUUAGAGAAAAUAUUUUUUUGAUUCCAAAAGCACUUAAAGUGUUUUCUGCAAAAAGCACUUAAAGUGCUUUCUGCAAAAAGCACCAGUUAUGUGCUUCUUCCUAGAAGCACUUUAAGUGUUUUUCAAGCAUUUACUUGCUUUUUUACUAAGGAUUGGUUCCAAAAACAUUUUCACAAAAAGUGUUUUCAGUCAUUUUAAAAGUACAUUCAAACGAGCUCAUUGUUUUUCCUAUUUUAAUCAAGUGCGUCGUCCCCUGUUGAGAAUGAAUCUCAUAUUAUGGGGAGAGGGGUCUUGCAUGGAUGAGAGGAGGGACCUUGCAUGAGCUUAUAAGUAAGUUGGGUUACUCUCUAUAUUGCCAAGAGAAAUUUUAUUUGGACCUACUUUUCCUCUCUCUAAACCCAACUUUAAUAUUUUGUUACCUAAACUCUCUAGUUUACCCUCAUAAAUUAUAAACAUAAAUAAACUGGAAAAAGAAAAACUCAUCAAACCUAUUUCCCAACUGUUCUGGCGUCUCUUCCCUGUAUUUGUUGGGUCUAUCUCCCUCCCGACUGUUUUUUUUCCCUGAUAUUCUCUGUGUGUUCCCCCACCUCUCCCACACCCACCGAUUCUUUGUGGUGGCUAUUCCACCCAACGUCCAGUGAAUCUUUCCAUUUUUCUUCUAUUGCGCGUGAUAGGGCCUUGCUGUUAAUAGGCAAAACUAAGCGGCAUCGUCGACUCUGUAAGCGACUUGUUGCAGAAGUCCAAAAUGGAGUCAAAAGGAUUUUGUAUUGGGUCGGGUUGUUGAAGGCGAUGGCUGAUUUAGCAAUCUCGCCUAACUACUUCUAUAUGCAGGAGAAGGAAGAGGGAGGAAGGUCUAAAGUGGUGGUUGAGUGGUGGCGAUGUAUGUGGGUUCUAUCUCGGUUGAAUGGGUGUAGAAAGAUAUUUAAUUUUCAGUUUCUUAUUUUAUUUUGUAUAAGGGAUAAUAUCGGAAUUACAUAAAAAGUUUUUUUUAUAGCUGGGUGUAGAAAUAGUAUUGUUGGGUCUAAAUAAAAUUACCCUAUUGCCAAACAUAGUAUUGUUGGGUCUAAAUAAAAUUACCCUAUUGCCAAUUAGCUUUGUUUGAAAAUUUUCAAAAUGAUAUUGUUUUUACCAUUGAACCCUUGUUAUAUACAGUGAUGGCUAAUUUGUCAAGUUCUACGAAGUUGGGAUACCCAGCGUUUUAGCAUAUAACAUAACUUAGUAUUACAAGCAUAAUUAAUUAAAAUAAAGGAAAAUGAAGAGGAUAGCUUAGUAUUACAAGCAUAAUUAAUUAAAAUAAAGGCAAAAGUAACAGCCUGUCCCUAAAAAUGACGAUUUUAUAAUCUUAACACGUGAGUUUAUGAAGAUGCCCUUCGAGGCAAAGUGUUGACUUGUGUUGACUACCGCAUCGUGUCAUGUGAGACUCAUCUUCUUGGCGUAUUCUCGUUUUACUUGUCACUACGGACGCAUGGGCGCAAACGGGACAUGAUUUGGAGCUAUAACGAAUGAGUUAUUAACAUUUAAAGUUAAGGACAUUUUAGUAAAUUAAUUAAUUUCAGAUUAUGUUGAGGGGAAAAUCUGGAGUGCCGGUGGGUGGCCCAGAUUAAAGGAAAUGAAGAAUGGAUGGUGGAGGUGUAAAGGAAAGAAGAUAAAAGAAAAAUGAGAGGAAGUGUGUGACUAAUAGGGAGAUGAGAGAGUUAGGAUGGCCCAAUCAGAAACAAACGAAAGGAGGAAAAAGGAGAGAAGAGGGGAGCGGGGGAUCCCUUCGACCCGGUUCCAUUUUCCGACCCGACCCGAUCCUUUUCAUCUUCUUUGAUGGUUUUUCGUCGGUUUUUUCCGACGAACCACGUUAUCUAACCCCUUGGAAAAUGUUCCACAACCUUCCCUCAACUAUUACAAUCCAAAAUUGUAGAAAUUUAGCCAUGAAAGUAUGAAAACCACACCGGUGGGUGCGGGAAACCCUUGUCGUCGAUUCUCCCAUUAUUGCAACGAUUUUCACCAAUUACCACCACCUACAACAUCCUCUUGAGGUCUGGAAUAAAGCCCAAACAAGUUUUGCACUACUACAAUAUUAGCUUUAGAUGGCAGAUGAUGGUGGCGGAUUUAGAAAAAUAUUGUCGGAUAAAUUAUAUCUGACACAUUAUUUAAUUAGUGGUGAAUAUAAGAAAAAUCAUGUCGGUUAUAACCGACAUAAAUUCGUGGCAGAUACUAGCAGAUAUUAAAAAACUCAUGUCGGUUAUAACCGACAUAAAUUCCUAGCGAAUAAUUACUGACAGAUAUUAUAAAACUUCUGUCGGUUAUAACCGACAAUAUUUUUGAAUUGGGGGAAUUUAAAAUUUUGGGAGGGAAUUUAAAAUUUUGGGAGGGAAUUUAAAAUUUUGGAGGAAAUUUUGGGGGGAUUUUUACCCAUAUUAAUUCAUGGCGGAUAAUUACUGACGAAUAUUAUAAAGCUCAUGUCGGUUAUAACCAACAAUAAUGAAAAUGUUUAUGUCGAUUUUUAUUAAAAAAAUGUUUCUGUCAGUUUUAACCGACAUUAAUGAAAAUAUUCCACAGUAAAACCCCUACUUCUUCUCCUUGUGCUGGUGCCUUCUCCCUUCCCCCUUCUUUCCCCCUUUUCUCUUCUCCUCAUUUCCUUUUCCUUUGUAUUUUUGAUUUUGACAAGGUCUCUCCUUUAUUUGAUUCUUUGUUGUUCAUCUCUCACAAAUGUAGAGAGAGUAAAGGAGAUGCUUAGAGCGCUUUCUUUGUUCCUUUUUUUUUUCUUUUCAUUUUUUCCCUUUUCAAACUCCGACUAUGUCUUACAUGGCCGGUCCCAAGCCCGGAUAAAGGAGGAGGGGGAGGGCGUCAGGUAGUCGACAGCCGGCACUCCAUGAUCACGUCGAAUCCUUAUGAAAAUGAAUCCAGAACAAAAUCGCGCUAAAGCUAGGGCGCCACCCGUAAGUGGCGCGCUGUGUGGCCCGAGCACAGUGAUAAGUGAGCAAGGGUCGCUGUAUCUCCAUCGGCACUCGGAUGCAGUGUUAAAUGAGCAAGGGGGCCAUAGAAACUUCUUUUCGAACGACUCCACUCAAAGUUGUUUGGGAGCAUAUGCUCCUAUCAACUUUACCCGGGACACACAAAAGAAGUACUUUGAUCCUAUUAGACGGGGGAGGGUGAAGAAGCUAGGACAGAAGGGUAGAGUUCAAGAGAGCAAAAUGCGUUUAGGAACGUGGAAUAUAGGAACCUUAACGGGAAAAUCUAUGGAAGUAGUGGAAGUUAUGGUGAGGAGAAGGAUAAAUAUUAUGUGCCUACAAGAAACUAAGUGGGUUGGUAGUAAGGCAAAGGAUCUAGAAAACUCAGGGUUUAAACUUUGGUAUUCGGGCACAAAUAGAACGAGAAACGGUGUUGGCAUCAUCGUGGACAAGACCUUGGUACAAGAUGUUGUAGAUGUCAAGAGUGUAGGAGAUAGAAUCAUGGCAAUCAAGAUUGUAAUAGGACAAGAACUUAUCAAUGUGAUUAAUGCGUACGCACCUCAAGUAGGGUUGGAUACGAGUUCGAAGGAGAAAUUUUGGGAAGAUCUUGGAGACUUGGUGCAAGGAAUUGCUCAGACGGAGAAGUUAUUUAUAGGAGGAGAUUUAAAUGGACACGUGGGCAGGGAGACAGGCAACUAUGGAGGUUUUCAUGGUGGCCAUGGUUUUGGGGAGAGAAACGAGGAUGGGGAAGCUAUCUUGGAUUUUACAAUGGCAUAUGAUCUCUUCUUAGCCAACACCUUCUUUAAGAAGAGAGAAGAACAUGUGAUCACCUACAAGAGUGGGUCGUCAAAAACACAAAUAGAUUUUCUUCUAAUGAGGAAAGGGGAUCGUAUAACUUGUAAGGAUUGCAAAGUUAUACCAGGAGAGAGCGUGGCUAAUCAACAUCGCUUGUUGGUGAUGGAUGUACAUAUCAAAAGAGUAAGACAAAAGAACAAGACUUGGAAGUGCCCAAGGACUAGAUGGUGGAAUCUAAAAGAAGAAAAACAAGUCAUUUUCAAAGAGAAGGUAAUCACCCAAUGUGUGUGGGAUAGAGAGGGGGAAGCUAGCCAAAUGUGGGAUUUCAUGGCUAGUUGUAUCCGAAAAGUAGCAAAAGAGGUAUUAGGAGAGUCUAAGGGCUUUGCCCCACACUAAAAGGAAUCUUGGUGGUGGAAUGAGGAGGUACAAACAAAGGUGAAGGCUAAGAAGGAAUGUUGUAAAGCCUUAUACAAGGAGAGGACCGAUGAAAAUGGUGAAAGGUAUAGAAAAAAAGCGAAGCAAGAGGCGAAGAAAGCUGUCAGAGAAGCUAAGUUAGCGGCUUACGACGAUAUGUAUAAACGACUAGAUACCAAAGAAGGAGAGUUGGAUAUCUAUAAACUAUCUAGAGCAAAGGAAAAGAAGACAAGGGACCUAAACCAAGUGAGGUGCAUCAAGGAUGAGGAUGGAAAGGUUCUUGCUACAGAGAACGCGGUUAAAGACAGAUGGAGAGGUUAUUUUCAUAAUCUUUUCAAUGAAGGACAUGAAAUGAGUGCUUCUUUAGGGGAGUUGAGUAACUCAGAAGAGUGUAGAAACUACUCUUUUUAUCGUCGAAUCCGGAAGGAAGAAGUGGUUGUAGCUUUGAAGAAGAUGAAGCAUAAAAAAGCAAUAGGCCCAGACAAUAUACCAAUCGAAGUGUGGAAACUUUUGGGAGAGACAGGUAUAACAUGGCUCACUGACCUUUUCAAUAGGAUUUUGAAAACGAAAAAGAUGCCAAAUGAGUGGCGAACGAGCACUUUGGUGCCUAUCUACAAGAAUAAGGGCGACGUACAAAAUUGCAUGAACUAUAGGGGUAUUAAGCUAAUGAGUCAUACAAUGAAGCUCUGGGAGAGAGUCAUUGAGCAUAGAUUGAGGCAAGAGACACGGGUUUCGGACAACCAAUUCGGGUUCAUGCCAGGGCGCUCAACCAUGGAGGCAAUCUAUCUCUUACGAAGAUUGAUGGAAAGAUAUAGAGAUGGGAAAAAUGAUUUACACAUGGUCUUUAUAGAUUUGGAAAAAGCGUAUGAUAGGGUCCCAAGAGACAUUCUUUGGAGGAUUUUAAAGAAGAAAGGAGUACGAGUAGCAUAUAUCCAAGCUAUAAAGGACAUGUAUGAAGAAGCAAAGACUGCCGUAAGAACUCAUGAAGGACAAACCGAAAGCUUUCCCAUAACUGUAGGAUUACAUCAAGGCUCAUCCUUAAGUCCUUACCUUUUUGCGUUGGUAAUGGAUGAGUUAACAGGACAUAUUCAAGAUGAUAUUCCUUGGUGUAUGCUUUUCGCAGACGAUAUAGUGUUGAUAGAUGAAACUCAGGAAGGGGUAAAUGCAAAGCUUAACCUUUGGAGAGAAGUGUUGGAAUCUAAAGGUCUUCGCCUAAGCCGAUCAAAGACAGAAUAUAUGGAGUGCAAGUUCAGUGCAAAUGGAGGCCAAAACGAGUUAGGGGUGAGGAUCGGAGAUCAAGAAAUACCAAAGAGUGACCGUUUUCGUUACCUAGGAUCUAUCUUGCAAAAGAACGGAGAAUUAGAUGGAGAUCUCAACCAUAGAAUACAAGCUGGAUGGAUGAAGUGGAAGAGUGCAUCUGACGUGUUGUGUGACCGUCGUAUGCCACUGAAGCUCAAAGGAAAAUUUUAUAGGACGGCAAUAAGGUCGGCGAUGAUUCAACUUGGCGGGUUCGAGCAAAUAGGCGUUGGGCCAUAUUAGACACAGAACCUGCACACUGAACACUGAGAGCUAGCGAAUCCUUAACAGCUAACUCAUCAGACCGUUUGGAAAGUAGUCUGUUAUCUUUGGGAGUGAGAAGGUUCCUGGCCACCACCGCAGCGGUCAUAUCAUUCUUCAUCACGGAAUCCCCAACGGUAAGAGGACCAGUAGGGGAGACAAAGGAUGGGCGCCAUAUGUUGUCUGGAGAAGGCGGGGCUGCCUCUUCAACAAGGUUCAAGUCAAAAAACGACGGUCGGAGGGCCAGACAUUUUCAAAGGUGUUGAAGAGAGAAGAGGUCGGACACAAAUCAAGAUCUUAGAAGUGCAAGAAUGAAGCUUCUACUGGUGGAGAUUCAAGUGUGCUUUGGAACUUAAUGCCAGCCCCUAUAAAAAUCUGCACUCGACGGAGCUUCAGAAAUCGAAGAGGCGUUUGCUUUCUCAAAAGCUGGGCUGCUUAGAGAUCACGAGGGUUGAUCUCAGGAAUCGAAGAGGCGUUUGCUUUCUCAAAAGUUGGGCUGCUCAAAGACCACGAAGGCCGAUCUCAGAAAUCGAAGAGGCGCUCACUUUCUCAAAAACUGGGCUCCCCAGAGACCACGAGGGCCGAUCUCAAAAAUCGAAGAGGCACCUACUUUUCCAGCCUUGUCAGCACCUGUCACACGCACACUCAGCUUUGCGGAAAUUAUGGGCAUUCUGUCGAAGACUUCUGGGGAAGUAGAAAACACAUGAAUCUUACUGUUCAAUCACCCACUUCCCACACGCAAUAAUAGCUCAUGGGUACCACAGAUAACUUUGCCAAAGUUCUCUGCCAAAGUUGAGCACGUGAAGCUUGCAGCUCCCACUACAUCGCUCUGACCAAGAAGGGUAAAAAGAAUAGCAAAGAAACAGCACUAACAAAGUUUAGACCCAUAAAUUUUGAAGGUCUAGCUACCAUAUUAUUACCCACAAGGGUAAAGGAACAGUACCACUGCUGGAUAAUUGGAAAGUCCCUAUGUGUCAACCUCUGUGCUUCGUGGCAAGGUAGACUAGCAAACAUGCCCAACCUUUACUCACAUUCGAGAAAACACUCCCAAUAAGAUUGCUUGCUCCAAAAUCGAAGAGGCACCGUCCUCCGAAUCUCGAGAGCCAGACUCCCAACAUGACUACUUUCUUAAAAAUCGAAGAGAGGGUAAAGGAACAGUACCAUUGCUGGAUAAUUGGAAAGUCCAUGUGUGUCAACCUCUGUGCUUCGUGGCAAGGUAGACUAGCAAACAUGCCCAACCUUUACUCACAUUCGAGAAAACACUCCCAACAAGAUUGCUUGCUCCAAAAUCGAAGAGGCACCGCCCUCCGAAUCUCGAGAGCCAGACUCCCAACAUGAUUACUUUCUCAAAAAUCGAAAGAGACACUGCUCCCCGAAUCUUCGAGAGCCAGACCCCCAGCAUGAUUGCUUUCUCAAAAAUCGAUGAGGCAUCGUUCUCCGAAUCAAUCGAAGAGGCGCUCGCUUUCUCAAAAGCUGGGCUGCUCAGAGACCACGAGGGCCGAUCUCAGAAAUCGAAGAGGCACUUACUUUUCUAGCCUUGUCAGCACCUGUCACACGCACACUCAGCUUUGCAGAAAUUAUGGGCAUUCUGUCGAAGACUUCUGGUGAAGUAGAAAGCACAUUAAUCCUACUGUUCAAUCACCCACUUCCCACACGCAACAAUAGCUCAUGGGUACCACAGAUAACUUUGCCAAAGUUCUCUGCCAAAGUUGAGCACGUGAAGCUUGCAGCUCCCACUACAUCGCUCUGACCAAGAAAGGUAAAAGAAUAGCAAAGAAACAGCACUAACAAAGUUUAGACACAUAAAUUUUGAAGGUCUAGCUACCAUAUUAUUACCCACAAGGGUAAAGGAACAGUACCACUGCUGGAUAAUUGGAAAGUCCCUGUGUGUCAACCUAUGUGCUUCGUGGCAAGGUAGACUAGCAAACAUGCCCAACCUUUACUCACAUUCGAGAAAACACUCCCAACAAGAUUGCUUGCUCCAAAAUCGAAGAGGCACUGUCCUCCGAAUCUCGAGAGCCAGACUCCCAACAUGACUACUUUCUCAAAAGCGAAGAGAGGGUAAAGGAACAGUACCAUUGCUGGAUAAUUGGAAAGUCCCUGUGUGUCAACCUUUGUGCUUCAUGGCAAGGUAGACUAGCAAACAUGCCCAACCUUUACUCACAUUCGAGACAACACUCCCAACAGGAUUGCUUGCUCCAAAAUCAAGAGGCACCGCCCUCCGAAUCUCGAGAGCCAAACUCCCAACAUGAUUACUUCCUCAAAAAUCGAAGAGACACUGCUCUCCGAAUCUCGAGAGCCAGACCCCCAGCAUGAUUGCUUUCUCAAAAAUCGAAAAGGCAUCGUUCUCCGAAUCUCGAGAGCCAGAUACCACAGACCACUUUUUCAAAGUGCUCUGACAGAGUUAAAACAUGUGAAACUGGCAGCUCCCACUACCGUGCUAUGACCAAGCAGGGUAAAGGAAUAGCAUUACUACUUGUUGUUAGGGAGACUCCUAUAUAUGUCGACCUCCAUCCCCAACGGACAGGCAGACCUGCAAAAAUGCUCAACCCUUCAUCAUAUCUGAGUGGGCACUCCCAACGAAGCCUUUCGAAAUAUUCAGCUUUCUUUCCCCCCGAUAAUACCUCUGCAAACAAGCUAUACUAGAGCAAGAAUAUCUCAUAUCAUCAGGGUUAAAAGCAAGAGUAUCCCAUAUCAUGCUUUUUCCCUGUCUUUUCCUUUGGCCUUGUUUUUACCUGCAAGACAAGGAGAAAGAGAGCAAUCAGUCAGCACUUGGAAUCAAGCUUCCAACCAGGAAAUGACUGCCUGGAACCCCUUACUUGGCAUUGCUCUCGAGUACUCAUCUUCAACAUCUUAUGUUUCCAGGGAAGAUUCUGCAUCUGCUUGAGGAACAGAUAGGGCAAGUGCGAAGGAUACAAGGAAGCAUGCGGAGACAAGCGUAACAGCACACGUGCCGAUACAUCCAUUACUCUGUCAAAAGCAAAAGUAUCCCAUAUCAGCAGGGUGGAACGUACUCUAGAUUUGAUGGACUUGUUUUGACCCUCAAAUUCUUCAGUCGGCCUUAUAUUCUGGAGGAAACCAGAAAACCCUCCAGCUCAGUUCAAGAAUAAGCCUGUGGAAAGUUACUUCUUCAAAAGCAAAAGUAUCUCAUAUCAUCUCUUCUCAUUUUUCUUCUCUCUUUAUCCUUCAUGCUGCUGCAAGAUGGGGAGAAGGUGAACAAUCAGUCGGAGCUCUGAUUGCUUACCUUGUCUGUCACCUCUUUCAGCAGACCCCCUAGCUCGGCGACUUGGGGGACUCCUACUAAAUGGUUUGUAUCGCGCUUGACCAAGCCUGAAACUACAAGUAAGCUUCAAGUGAAAUUGAUACAUUACCUUGUGCAUCUCCACCAGUUAAAGAUACCACCCCUGGAUGGAGGAAGAGUACUUCCAGAGAAGAUGCCACAUCUACCUAUGAGACAGAUAAGGCAAGUCAAGACGACACCACACUCCGAUACUUAGAAGUUUCGUGAUUAUGAGAUCAUUCUCCCACAAUAUUUCCUAAUGUCAUUUGUACUAAAUCAUUCACUUGUACUCACUAAAGGAGAGCUUGAACCUAUGUACUUGUGUAAACCCUUCACAAUUAAUGAGAACUCUUCUAUUCCGUGGACGUAGCCAAUCUGGGUGAACCACGUACAUCUUGUGUUUGCUUUCCUAUCUCUAUCCAUUUAUAUACUUAUCCACACUAAUGACCGGAGCAAUCUAGCGAAGAUCACAAAAAGCGACCGUUUUCGCUACCUAGGAUCUAUCUUGCAAGAGAACGGAGAAUUAGAUGGAGAUCUCAACCAUAGAAUACGAGCUGGAUGGAUGAAGUGUAAGAGUGCAUCCGGCGUGUUGUGUGACUAUCGUAGGCCACUGAAGCUCAAAGGAAAAUUUUAUAGGACGGCAAUAAGGCCAGCGAUGUUGUAUGGCACAGAAUGUUGGGCGGUGAAGCAUCAACACGUACACAAAAUGGGUGUAGCGGAGAUGAGGAUGCUUCGUGGGAUGUGUGGGCACACGAGAAAGGAUAAGAUUGGGAAUGAGGAUAUCCGAGGUAAAGUAGGAGUAGCCGAAAUUGUAGGAAAGAUGAGAGAAAAUCGGCUCCGGUGAUUUGGACAUGUGCAAAGAAGGCCGACUGACGCUCCGAUUCGAAGAUGUGACUACGGGACAGAGGUUCAGGGCCGAAGGGGUAGAGGAAGACCUAGGAAAACUUUGGAAGAGACUCUAAGAAAAGACUUAGAGUACUUGGAUCUAACGGAGGACAUGACACAAAACCGAGCGCAAUGGCGUUCUAGGAUUCAUAUAGCCGACCCCACUUAGUGGGAAAAGGCUUUGUUGUUGUUGUUGUUGUUGUAUUUUUUCCCUUUUCAAAAUCGAAAUGUUCUAAAUUAUUUCACUAAUCCUUGCUAGUUUGAACUGCAGGAGUCUGUCUCUGGAUUUGAAAGAUUAUCUGGACUUACAGUUUUGAAGAAUUGGGAUUCUAGUGUUACACAUAUUAUUGCAUCGACAGAUGAAAAUGAAGCAUGCAGAAGAACCCUUAAAAUUUUGAUGGGUAUCUUGGAGGGGAAGUGGAUUCUGAGUGUGGAGUGAGUUUUACUGUUUUCGUUUUAAUUGUUCUUCCUCAAGUGCUUGGACUUUACAAUUGUAAUGAGUACAGAAGCCGAAAUGAGAUAUUGAUAUACAUGUUCACAUUGCUGAUAAUUCGUUAUCCGUCUGUUUGUGUAGGAAUUAAUGCUUGCACAUAAGUAAUGAAACUAGUUAAUGAGGAGCCUUAUGAAAUCAACGUUGACAUUUAUGGAAUCAGGGAUGGUCCUCGACUUGGUAGACUAAGGCUGCAGAACAAGGUUAGCUUUUCCUCGAGUUUAACUAUCAUCACGAAAACUUUAGAUUUUCAUGGAUUCACCAUAGGCAUUGUUAAUCUUGUUCAGUCCAUAAAUAGGUUACACACUUAUCUUAACAAAGGUGAGACCUUCUCAAUUCCUCAUCGAGAUGAAUCAAGAGCAUAAUUGUAGCAGUGAUCAAGAGCAAUUUUUUUAUGUUUCUUCCAAAUUGUUGAGAUGAAUCAUCUGUGUUUUGUUCUAAUAAUCUUACAAAUUUGUUGAGCAAUUUUUGUAAAGUCAGAAUCUUUGGUUUCGGUUGUGAGGUAUCUGAUUUGGGUAUAUGUGUUUUGCAGGGCACGGUGGUUGUGGCGGAGGAAGAUUAGGAUUGACGACAGAGCUCUGGCCAUGAACUAUCAGCUCUGUCUUUCUCUCUCUAACUAUGAAUUGAAUACAAAAGUCUGUGUUGAUAUGGAAAAUGUAGCUCAAAAUUAUUACACAAAUGGCAAAAAAAAAAAGUUCGAGUGUGGAGUUUCACUUACUGAUACAGGGCUUUUGAAACAGGGUUGUCUAGACUGUAGAAGAAAUCCAUGGCUUUUGGAAGAGGGGAUGUUCCAAAUCUAUCUUUUCUCCCUCUCUAAUGUUCUUCGAGGGGUUCUUGUGAUGCAAAAAGUGGUUUAUAUAUAUUUUUUAUUAUUAAUAAAUUUUCUGUCGGUUUUAUCAGACAAUAAUUCUUUUAUUUAUUCUUAUUAAUAAUUUCUCUGUCGGUUAUAUCUGACACAAUUUCUGUCGAUUUUAGAGUAUUUUCUAUCGAAAAUUUCAUUUCCUGACGCAUCAAUUAUGUCGCUUAUUAUAUCCGCCACUGCACUCAUUUCAUGUCGGAUUUUGCUUAAUUUCCAACAGUAUUAUACAUUUCUUGUCGGUUUUUAAACCGACACUAAUGGGUACUUUUGUAGUAAUGUUGGGGCGUCGGAGUUCGUUUAAGGUCGAAUUGAGCACACCCAAAUUCAAGGGUUCCGUACGGUUCAUGGUAAUUUGAGGUAUUUCUCAGCCAAAUUGUCCUUAGUCACAGAUAUGAAAGUUGCUCCACUCGUUGAGAUCUUCAUUUAUGUCAAAUUUGAGAAUUUUUAGAAAUAAUUGGAUUUUCCAGCGAAUCGGGGCGGCGGACCACCACCGGACAGCGCAUGGCUAGUGGGCCCCCAAUGUCAUUUUACGUUAAAUUGGUAUCUUGAUUUUAGGUUUGAUGUCUAUAUGUUAUGACUUGAUAUGUGAACCUAGUUUAAUUAAGGUGCGUUAAUUGGUAAAAAUAUGAAACGACGAUCCGACCGUGGGAUCGUCACCAAUCUUUAUUAUGUUAUAGUACAUUAUAUUUGAGAAUCAUAGGGACUGACGGAUAGGAAAUCCGAUAUACGGAUCUUCCUGAAAUGGAAUUGUAAGUUCGAAGAAUAAACGUUAACCGCCACUUUGUUUUGACUAUUGGUGAAGAUCCAACCGUUGGAUCAUAAUGAAAUUUUAGGAUGAUGUUUUAGAAGCAUAAUGUGGAUCUUUGGAAGUUAUUGAUUGGAAAUCCGAGGAGCGAAUCUUCCGGAUUGAAUUACGUAAGGUUGUGGACCCUACCGUCGAUCGUUGACUGACGAUCGACUUUUGGUCAAUGGGGCUUAAAUCACUCUAAAAUGUUUUUAGGGAUGUGUUUUACGUAAAUUACAUUAUCUAUGGAUAAGAAUUCUGAGAUGUGGUUUGAUAAUUGUCCUGGGCGCCGAUCGUUAGGAACGCUUCGAUGGUUGUGCUAGGAAAUUGUAGCAUAGACUCCAGGUGAGUGAAUCUUUUCCUUCUUAUAUAUAUAUAUAUAUAUAUAUGAUUGACAAUUCCACAAACGUUUAUAAAUUGAUUAUUGCAUAUAACUACUGUAAAUACUUUGAAGUACUUAUGCGAACUACGAAUGGCUUGAUCCCUAUUUAGGGUACGUAUGCAGUCUAACAAGACAUUAAAUGCAGUCAUACAAUAAUUGAGAUUAAACAAUUGAGACAAAGCCUUGUAUGGGGAACUGGGCAAGGUGAACGAAUUUGGUAAAAAUGUGAGAUUUAACCUUCUGAAUUGGUGAUUAAAUGUUGGUCAUAAAUCAAUGUGUAAAGAAUCAAGAAUUUGAAGUAAGGAAACGUAAGUAAUGAUAAUUAAUUAAACUAGUGUCUAGUUGGGCUUGUCACCUAUAAUUAUCCCCAAAAAUGAAUAAUUCGGGAGUAGGGCGUUAUAGCUUCUGCAUUUUUAUGCCACAUUAUAUAUAUAUAUAUAUGUGUGUGUGUGUGUGUGUGUGUGUGUGUGUGUAUAAUUGGAAAUGCUAUAACGUGGUUGAGUAUCAGAUUUCAUCAUGGUUUAUCUAUAUGUAUAUUACCUGCACACAAUUAUUAUGAACACUUUGAAGUGCAAAGGUGAACGCAAGACACCCAGGAAAGUUCAGGUGAGUUUAUGGUAUUAGUUGAAAUGAUGGGGUUAUGGUAACUACAUGUAUGUUUAGGUUGCAAUGAUAGGCAACUCCGACACUGUCGUACAAGUUGCCCAUGAAUUGUAUAUGUUACAAUAGAUAGAGUUAGAGGUCAUAAACCUGCACCCCGGUGUUAGUGCUCCCACCCGUGGCUAGGGCACAGUCUUUCACGAGAUGUUCACCUCUCGCAUCUUACGCUCACCUUGGAUCCAAGGUAGGUGCACAGUCAUGUCAUAAAGACCACUAUAGGUGGUUCCGACUAGUAGAUGACCCGUGAUUAUUCGCACAGUCUUCACGUGAUUGUAGCACUUGAGCGUAUUUAUUUACACCCAGUCCUGUCGUACAGACCACUUUAGGUGGUUCCGACUCGUAUGCAGGUAUACUUAUUGAGCUAUGGAUAAGUCGUACAGGUCACUAAAGGUGACUCCAACUUAUGAGCUAGCAUAUGUGAUGAAAUAUGUGAUGAGCUAGCAUAUGUAAUGAGAUAAGUGAUGAGCUAGCAUAUGUGAUGAGAUAUGUGAUGAGUUAGCAUACGUUAUGAGAUAUGUGAUGAGUGAUAUAAUCAUAAUUGCAUACAUUUUCAUGCCCUUUUAGUUUAGAUUUUUGUUAUCCUUUUGAGUGAAUUUAGUUUGUUUCACUUAGUUUUAUGUUUUUCUUAGAUUUGAAGUGUGAAGAUGAAGAAAGAAGAAAAAAGAGCAUUUUUAGCGAUUGAAAUGAGUUUGGCAUGCUGGAAGCAGAGGCUAUUUGUGCGGAUCAGCCAACUUUACGGAUUAAACUGUACUUCCUUAGAAUGCCAGCUGUUGAGUCUUAUACCAUUGGAAAGAUAUGAAAGUUAGCUUUCAGAGGAAUUUUACGAUUCGUGAUUCCGAGUUUCCUAGAAGACGUUAUAGUGGUUUUUCUACCAGAUGUCUGCCAGCAAGGUUUUACGCGGGAUUUGCAAAGAGAUUCCAGAUUUACAAAGUUUAAUUAAAGGAAACAAGCAGAGAAAAAAGAAGAGGAAGCUUUUAGAAAAGUUCAGGACUAUUCUAAACGGUGCAUAGUUAAUAUAUUUAAUAGUUUAGUGUGCCACAUCAUCAAUAAACUAAUCUAAGUCAGAAGAGAAAUUCAAGAGUCCCAUUCAAGUAAGUAUUCCAGCAGUUUUAUUCAGGAAUAAAGGAGGGCAGACCGUCGGACUUUAGGAGCGGACAGAGAGAGUUUUUGGGUUUUCGAAGGUGCAGAGAAGAGGUCGCAGCAAGGAGUGAAACAGAGUCGCCGAUCAUCUGGGCAAUCCAUCACCAUCGUGUGGAAGUAUUUUAUGUUUUUCAGAUUUUUAAUUAUGUUUUCAGAUUUUAUGAGUAACUAAACUCUUUUUCUAAGGUUAGGAUGAUGCCCUAGCAUGGAUGUUUAUGGUUUGUAAUGUUAUUCAUUGGAUUUCCAGUUUCUUUUAGAUGAAUGCUUAAUCACUGUUUGAAUUGUUACUGUUUGUUUGAGUUCUUUGAUUGAUCACCUUAGGACUUUGCAUCUAGUAAGAUUGGAAGAUGAAUUUGAGACUGAACUAACAAUAUAAUUCAAUUAGCUUCUUGUGGUUAAGUGUGGUAAAUUACAUUAUUGCUUGAAAAAGAAUAAUGGUUUGUUUGGGUCCCUUGUUUUCUAGAGGGUAAAGAGUCCUACUUGUUAAAUUUAUGCCUUAACUAGGAUAGACUGCUUGUUAGGAUAUACGACCUCUGCCUAAACUAGGAGAGAAUCAUUCACAUAAGGAAAACUAUGGUCUAAUAUGCCUGACAAGGACUUAGAUACGGGAAUUAUCAUCUAAAGAAUUGAAAGAUCCAUUGAAUGCAUUGAAACCUAAACUAGAUUGCUUGUGGUUGAUUCCGAAUCCCUAGAUUUUCAUCACUUGCCUUAAAACACAACCGUUUCUUUUCUUUAAUUUCAGUUUUUACUUAAGGUUCUGUUUUUGUUCAUUUAUAAAAUCAUCACAACAAAUUUUUUACAUCUUUGAUUGACUUAUUAAUUAAGAUCGAGUCUAGUUCGUUGUUUGGGUUUGUGUGUCUUUAAUAUAAUUAGAUUUGGUUUAGUUUAUCAAAUUGGAGAUUGAAUUAGAAUCCUCGUGGGAACGAUACUUGGACUUGCAAAACGUUAUAUUACGACUAUCUUGUGCACUUGUAAGUUUACACCAAGUUUUUGGCGCCGUUGCCGGGGACUCUAAUUGAGUCCCCCAAUUUGAUAUCAUAUUCCAUAUCUAAUAAGUAGUUUAUUGUAGAUUAUUCAAUUUGAUUUUGUUUUGUUCUCUAGUUUCGAGUAAGAGUCAUAACUAUUAAGAUAAGUAAAAGUAAUUUUCGUCACUGUUUUAUUUCAGUUUUGUAUCACUGUUUCGACACAGUUUUGGACUAAACUAUUCGAUUUUUUACCAGGAAUAUUGUGUAUCGUUGGAAAGCCCCAGAAGUCUAGUUUUCAACCCAAAAAACAGAUCAAUGAUUGGAUUUUUGAGCUGCAAGAAAUGUACAAAAUACUGAGCAGUGGUCAAACAAGGAGCACAGUCUGGUCGUAUAUGCAAGGUAGACGUUCGUUGCAAUUUGAGUUGAUUCAUAUAGACCAAGAACUUGUGCGUACUUUAAGAGAACAGUGGAGGCAGCGAGUGUGUCAAGAACCAGCCAUGGAGGAAGUAGUUAAUAAUGGUGGAAAUAAUCCUCCACCAUUGCUACCACCACAACCAAGGCUCAUGCGUGAUUAUACAAAGCCAACGGAGUACAACGCACCGUCAUGCAUUGUUUUGGCUCCAAUUGCGCAGCGAUUUGAGAUUCGUCCACAAAUCUUUCAGUUGCUGCCUAUAUUUCUUGGGAAGGAGGAAGAAAAUCCAUACCAUCAUAUCAAGGCGUUUUUCAAGCUAUGUUCCACAUUCACAUUCACCAAUGUUACUGAAGAGCAAAUUCGACUUCGGUUAUUCCCAUUCUCUUUGAGGGAUAAAGCAAGCAGUUGGUUGGAUUCUCUUCCCGAAGCAUCUAUCGACACAUGGACAAAAUUAUCGAAGAAGUUUUUGUCCAAGUUCUUCCCCGCUCGAAGAACCAAUGCUCUGAUCAAUGAAAUCAUGAGCUUUCGACAACAAGAAGGUGAACAGUUUCAUGAAAGUUGGGAGCGCUAUAAGGACUUGUUUCUUCAAUGUCCUCAUCAUGGUUUCAACACUUGGCAAAAGGUUCAUUAUUUUUACAAAGGUUUGAACUCUCAAUGUAGGAGUUUGGUUGAUUCAACGGUUGGUGGAACCUUGAUAGACAAAACUCCAGAAGAUGCCAUACAUGCCUUUGAAACUAUAUGUGAAAAUUCUGAGCAUUGGGAUUUUCCUACAAAAGAUUUGAGAGUUCCAACUGCAUCGUCAACAAAAAAAGGAGGCAUUUAUGAAGUUAAUACAAGGACGGGCUUAGAGGCACAAGUGGCAGCCCUCACCAAGCUUCUCACACCACUUGUAAGCAAGAUAGCCACGCAGCCAUGUACUUUAUGUGCGAGCAUCGCCCAUGACAUGGAAAAUUGUCCAACAAAUGCUAAUCUAGAAGGCAUCCAAGAGGUCAAUGCAUUUAGUGGGAGGCCCCGGAAUGAUCCAUAUUCUAAUAAUUAUAACCCGGGAUGGAGAGAACAUCCAAAUUUUUCUUAGAGAGAUUCACAAAAUAGCAUGGGAUCAUUCACUUCAACAAAGCAAUAUCAGCAACCUUAUCAAGCUCCUCCAAUUCAACAAAAAGACUCGUCUAUCAAGGAUAUGUUAUCUCAACUCUUAAAGAAAACUGAUCGGUAUGAACAUGAAGUUGUGUCGCUUAGACAAAGUCAGACGGUGUUGGAAAAGGCUCGAUCUAAUUUUGAGACUCAGUUGGGACAGAUAGCUACUACUUUGAACAAGCUGGAGUGAGCACAAGGGCAAUUUCCAAGCCAAACUGAAACAAAUCCUAGGAAUCAAAAGCAUGUUCAAGCUGUCACCACUUUGAGGAGUGGAAAGACGAUUGGUAAUAAUGUGGAAAGUUCAAAAAUUAAUAAGGAAGAAGAUGAAGGGGUCAGCACAUAUCGGGCAGCAGCUUGACAAGACAAGCUAAAAAAGAGAAGUAUAUGGGAGAUAUUUUAGAGCAAUUUAGAAAGGUGCAGAUUAAUAUUCCUUUUCUCGAUGCCAUCAAACAAAUUCAAUCAUAUGCGAAGUUUUUGAAGGAACUUUGUACUAACAAGAGACGGUAUGAAGAACAUGAGGAGGUGAAGUUAUCAGACACGGUUAGUGCGGUUCUUCAAAGAAAAUUGCCACCAAAACUUCAAGAUCCUGGUAGCUUUACAGUCCCAUGUGUCAUUGGAGAAAGAAAAUUCGAAAAAGCUUUGCUUGACUUGGGAGCCAGUGUGAAUUUGAUGCCCUAUUCUGCUUAUAAACACCUCAAAUUAGGCGAACUAAAGCACAUAUCCAUUUCUCUACAAUGCACUGAUCGUUCUGUGAAAUAUCCAAGAGGGAUUGUUGAAAAUGUACUUGUGUGUGUUGAUCAAUUUAUUCUUCCUGCUGACUUCAUCAUUUUGGACAUGGAAGAAGCCGAAAUUCCUGGUCGUGACUUGCCUCUCAUUCUUGGCAGACCUUUCAUGGCUACUGCAGGUACGAAGAUUGAUGUUAAAUCGGGAUUAUUAACUAUGACUGUGCAAGGUAUUACUGUAGAAUUUCAGGUCUUCGAAGCAUUGAAGAAGCCCAUGGAUCUUUAUGACUGCUUUCGUGUUGAGGUAGUGGAUCCAAUUAUAAAAAAAAACAUUCAUUGAAUCAAGCAUCUCAGAUCCUCUGGAAGUUUGUAUCUCUCAACAUGGGAUGAGUUUUGAAAAGGCUACCAUCAUUGAAGCAGAACGAGAUCUCAAUGCCGUAACGUCCUACUCUCUUAGAUGCCAGCCCAAAUUUGAAGCGUUGCCACUCACAAGCCAAAAUUGUACCAUCCAUUAUACAACCUCCAAAGCUUGAAUUGAAGCCUCUUCCAGAGACUUUAAAGUAUGCAUAUUUGGUGAUUCAGAGACUCUUCCUGUGAUUAUAGCUGCUGAUCUUAACCAAACAGAAGAGGAAAAGUUGAUGCAAAUGUUGAGGGAGCAUAAAACAGCAUUGGGAUGGAGUAUUGCAGACAUAAAAGGAAUUAGUCCUCAAUUUGCAUGCAUCGGAUAUAUCUUGAGGACAAGUCAAAGCCUUCUAGAGAGGCACAGCGACGUCUAAAUCCACAUAUGCAAGAAGUGGUUCGGGCAGAAGUUCUUAAAUUACUGAAUGUCGGCAUUAUUUAUCCUAUAUCUAACAGCAAAUGGGUAAGUCCACUGCAGGUUGUACCACAGAGAUCUGGAAUUACAGUUGUCAAGAAUGAAAAUAAUGAGCUUAUACCCCAGAGGACUGUCACGGGUUGGAGAAUGUGUACAGAUUACAGAAAGAUCAAUAAUUCAACUCGAAAAUAUCAUUUUCCACUCCCUUUCCUUGAUCUCAUGCUUGAGAGACUUGCAGGCCAUAGUUAUUAUUGUUUUCUUGAUGGCUAUUCCAGAUAUAAUCAAAUUCCCAUAGCUCCGGAAGAUCAAGAAAAGACUACUUUCACAUGUCCAUUUGGAACUUUUGCCUAUCGACGAAUGCCUUUUGGGUUAUGUAAUGCUCCCGCAACAUUCCAAAGAUGCAUGAUGAGCAUUUUCUCAAACUUGGUGGAAAGGUGUAUCGAAGUGUUCGUGGAUGAUUUUUCCGUGUUUGGGUCAUCGUUUGAUCAAUGUCUUCAUCAUCUUUCAUUGGUGCUCUAACGGUGUCAAGAAACCAACUUGAUUUUAAAUUGGGAAAAAUGUCAGUUUAUGGUGAAAAGUGGUAUUGUUCUUGGUCAUGUAAUUUUAGCUGACGGAAUUGAAGUUGAUAAAGCUAAGGUGGAGCUGAUUUCGAAGCUUCCUCCUCCCACUUCUGUAAAAGAAGUUCGAUCCUUUCUCGAGCAUCCAAGUUUUUAUCGCCGAUUUAUUAAAGAUUUCUCGAAAAUCACCAAGCCACUUUGUGAUCUGCUUGCUAAAGAUUCUGUGUUUAAUUUAAAUGGUGAGUGCUUACAAGCUUUUGAGACCCUCAAGAAAGAAUUAACACAAGCCCCAAUCAUAAAAGCUCCAGAGUGGUCUCUUCCUUUUGAAAUCAUGUGUGACGCCUCUGAGUAUGCAAUAGGUGUUGUGUUAGGGCAGCGAGUUAACAAACUUCCUCAUGUUAUAUUUUAUGCUAGCCGAAUUCUCACUUAACAACUUUCAUAUCCCUUAGUUUCCAAAAUUUAAUAUACAAAUUUAGUCUCCCAAGCAUUGCUAUAUUACUUAAGUAUUGAUUAAUAGACUUAUUUCUUAUGGUGACACAUUAUUUAGUUUACAAAUUUAGUCUAUCUAACAUUACUCUUUUGACAUUGUCUUGUCCACUGAUAUAAUUCUAUUUUUCUUGUGAUCAAAACUUCAAAUGUUAGCAAGUCGCACGUAAAGUCGCUUCUGAGAGAAUGUGCUCACAUUGUAGUUGAAAGAUUAUGUGGCUAGCAACAUUACAAAUUUAAUUUGGUAUAAUUUUAAAAUAUAGAUUGAGGAAAAAAAGGAUCACAUUAACUAGAAACUGAAAAGGUUUCGGCGCAAUAUGUUCAAGCAAGAAACUCAAUUUUGAUGCUACCGAUCUUAACAGCCUGAGCGCCGUACCUGGGCACUAAAGUCACCACCACACUCUCAUCAUCUUCAGCACCCAAAUCCUCCAACAGGUCCGUUAACCCCAACCUUAAACAACUCUUGCUCUUUUCCUUCUGCUUAUGUGGCACACUCACAAAACUCCCAGCAAACUCGCUCUUGUCGGGUCCACUCGGUGCCGCAUCCUCAUCAUCCACGUCAUUCACAUACACAUCAAACUUCACAGCCACAUCUUUGUCAAGCUCAAUCCCCCGAAUCACCAAUAUCUCCUCCUCAUCCUCUUUCUCCUUCUUGCUCCUCUUCUUCGGCUUCGGCCUUGACACCACCGUAGUUAUCUUCGUCUCCAAAUUUAUUGGAAAAUCUUUACCCGCCACCACCU